CUCGAGUGUAGAUAUUGCUACACAGUGCUAACCGUGUGCUGCUCCCCCUGCUGGCCGAGCCCGCUCCUGCAACUCAUGGCAGUGGAGGGAGGCGGUUCGGGUGGUAAAGUGUCUGGGAGGAAGUGAAGUGUUUCCCAGUCACAUUACGGAGCGGCUGGGGAGAACUGCUUGCCACAGGGACCGGGGCCGGCUAUGAGCAGAUAGGGCUACCAGAGCGCGGUACGGAGGGCGAUGGCUGUACUGGCCGCACUAUGGAGGAGCCUGCCUGUGGCUGCAGGAUCCCAGGUGAGACCCAAUCAGUACAGAACCGGGCACACAGUGUGCUCAGGGCAGCUCCCUCCUACUCUCCACUUUCACAAGUUUCUGGCUCCUGUCACUCUCGCUAUUAAACAAGUCUGCAGCAGUGGCUGAGAGUCAUGGUAGUUGCAAUUCAUUAGAUCCUUUCCAAACAAGGCUGGCUUGCAAGGAGUUGUUGUGGAUCCGUUCUUGCAUUGUUACUGUUUUCUCUGUCGUUCUAGAACCCCCUCCUGGUUUAAUGUGUUGUUCUCUGUGCAGUUUUCUUUAAUCCUGUUUGUUGUUGCUCUUUGCAGCCCCAUUACAUGACUCAUUCAGCUGAUGGCAGUGUUUAGUGAAGAGCCUUGUGAUUGUGAUGUGUAGGGCUCCCUGAUUAUAUACUGUGUGUCCAUGCUGAUUACAAGCAUCUCUCUUUAUACACAUUUCAUUUGUUCUUGCUCAACCACAAGGCUUAACCCAAAGGUGUCUGGCUUGGUAUUAGUAUCCUAAAUAUUGACUCCACGUAUUCUACGCAGAAAUCUAAAUUUAGACUUAACUUUGAGGGGUACUUGUGAUGCACUCUAGUUGUUUUGUUUGUUUUUUGGAGAGAGAACUGAGCAGGUCAAGCUCUAUCCUUGCAGCAGUUUUAGGAACUUUUCGGUAACCUCACAGGUGAUAUGGUGUUUAAGCAGUGUUCCUUCUGAGGACAUUCUAAAACGAACUUGUGUGGUAACAAAAGAGUUAAUAUUUACCUGUCUGUAUAGCCAAUCAGUAUUUUGAUGUGUAAUCUGAAAUUCUAUACAUUAGUCAUUUAGACACUACCCUCUGAAAAGUCUUUUCCAAUGACCCAGUCAGAGGCCGGAAUAAUGGAAGUAUAGCAUCAGUCUUUAAUGCAGUGCAUAGAAAAGCUGUCCAAACUGGUUCUGAGAGCACACUCCUUAAGAUAUCGAAUAUACAUUAUAUCCGUGAAAGAGAAUUAAAAAAAAUUUAUUUUAUAUUGGCAGGCUUUACACCUUUCUUUGUCUAAUCUACUAAAAGGAAAGUACAGUCUUCUAAUUGGGUGUAGGACAACUCCUCCUCACAUGUCUGCUGGCCUUGAAAACCUAAGCAAUUAUAGUGCUGAUCACACACUUUUGCCUAUUAACCCUUCUGUUACCAGACAGCAAGCUUACCUAAUAUAUCAGGCGGAUUAUACUGGUUUGCAUUUUAGUGUUUUAUAUUUAUUUUUAUAUAUAUAGUGUGUGUGUGUGUGUGUUUAAUGGAUGUACACUUAACAGAAAUACAUGUGGGGAAUUGACAAUUGAAUUGCAAGUUCUAGGCCGCAUUAGCUACAUAAACCCUAGUUUAGUAUAUAUUACUGCUGCAUUUAGUCUCUGUAUUGCAUAGCUCAAGGUUGCCUGCAAUGUUCUACUUUGAUUCUGUGAAGUUGCAAAAAAUUUUUGGCUGUCCUUCCUGCACAAACCCAGGUAAACGGUGGUUUAUUUUCGUCGUCUUCUGUCCUAUUUUCUAACUUUAUUUUCUUUUGGGUGUGGUAGUUAUAUUAGUCUAUAGCUUUGUAAAGAAUUGUCCUGAUCACAGGAAAAUCUCUUGCAAUUCAGUGAAGGGAGUGAAGUGAGUAAUGCUGAAACUAUGUUUGCAGGGUAAAAAUCAGGCAUGGGUUUAAUCACACAUCUUCUGGUGAAUGCUAAAAAAAACCCCCAAAACAAUUUUUUUCUGUGGAUGGCUCUGCUAUAAAGGCAAAGACCUGUCAACUGUAAAAUAAAGAGGAACUUACAUAUUUGAAAGACUUUUUUUUUUUUUUUUUUUAAAUCUAUCACAUAAAAUGUAUCUAGUACUUUUAUUUAUUUAUGGCAUCUUUAUGGGAGUGAUAUGUAAUAUAAUUUUGUUUUGAAGUGGGUUUUUUUUUUUUUUUUUAAACCAGGCCUGAUUAGUUCUCAAACAAGAAUACAUUAAUAUUACUUGUUAUUUUAAAAUUCUAGUAACAUUUUAGCUCAAAACUAAUACGUAAGGCACAGUAGGAUCCUAUGCUGAAUGAAAGGAAUGAAUGUCAUUUGUCAGUCUAAAGAUGGCUUACUGCAUAGCCUUCUUUAUUAACAAUGUUCAAUUUUAUGUGGGCACAAGAAUCAUUGCUAUCUAAGCUAAUCUUCCAAGACUUUGAAAUUUGUAUUCUCACACUUGAAGCAUGUUUUGGCAAGAAAAGCUGCCAUUAUUGGUGGACAGACCAUGGCCAUGGUAAAAUGUUCAGUUUCCUUCUCUGCGACUUCCUGGUUUCCCUAUACUACUUAUUUCAACAUUUUUAAUUUUAUAUUGUAUUCUUUUGUCAUCUUUAUUUUAUUUAAAUUUGUAAAGUAAACAUAGGUGAAUGGUACCCCAGUAAUGAAACUACACUGGUAUAAGACCUGCAUUCUGAAAAGGCACACAGAGUAGUUCAUGCUAAUCAUUUUUAUUUUUUGUACAAUAAAAGUAUCACUAUUCAUAUUAUAACCAUAAAUGUAAAUAACCUGAUAUAGGUAGUAAUUCGCAGACAGAAUCUAUAUGGAAAAUUAAAAAGCUAACAUAGCGUAAUAUAGUACUAGAAAAGUGAGUAUAUUAGUGAAAAUGAAUGCACUCACAAACAAAAUUGAAUUCAGGCUUCUCACCCUCCAAAAGGGAGAACAGAAAACAAAUAUAGUGAAGCAUGUAAUUAUAUUACAGAAUCAUAAUUUAUUUAUUUAUUUUUUUUUUUCAGGUUUAACAGAAGUGACUUUAUUCGUAGUUUUUGACAUUAUGGAAGUAUUUAUUUAUUUUUUAUAUUCAUAUUCCAUCUUUUGAAGAGUGUUCGGAUAAUUUCCGUUAUCAUUUUAAUACCUGUAGAUAUGUUAAUAUCCACAUUUUUUUAUUUUUUUUAUUUAUAUUUUAUUAGAGUUAUAAGCAAGUAUAUCUCUGUGCCAUUAUAUGCGAGGGAUAAACAAAUAGAGAGUAUACGGUUCAGUGUUGUUCAGCAAACACACUAAUGUUAGCAAGAGAUGUAGAGCAUAGACAAGUGACAAGUGAGAGGGGCAAAGGAUAAAUGAAAGGCGUCAAUCAAAAACAAUAGCAUUGGUCCUUAGGUUGGGCGUAGCGGUUGACCACAUAAGUCAGUAUAAUUAGUUUGUAGUCCGGCUAUUAGCAAUCGCUAUGGAGUGUCCGAACUGUCCCUGACGGUAGGUACUUGUUGUUUAGUCGGACUUCUCCGCUGGUGUGCUCUUCCUGAGGUUCUUUUCUCACGUGGAGUAUCUGUCCUGGUUGCACCCUCUAACGCGUUGGUGGCCGAUAGGCCUAAGUUAUGAUAGAGCUUCUCUGGGUCAUCCGAGGAUGUCAGGGUGAAUGUGUCCGCGCCUCGUGUGACGGCCAGGGAACCUUCUGCGUUCCAGCGGUACUUGACUGAGCAGUCACGCAACUUCUUAGCCACCGGUGCCAGCUGCCUCCUUUCUGCUAGAACAAGGAAUGGGAGGUCACUGUAGAUGGAUAGGUUAUGGCCCUCGAAAUGUACUCGACCCAUUGUUCUGGAUUUAUUCAGGAUGGCGGAUCGCACCGCAAUAUCUUUGGUAGUUGCAAUAAUGUCUCUUGGUGCGUCCGCUGGUGCCGCUGCAGCUUUGCGCACCCGAAAGGCAGCUAAGAUGCAUGGGGUGUCUGUCGCCUUUUGAAUUCCCAUUGAGAUAAUCAGCUUUUGGACAUAUGACAGUAUGUCUCCCCCUUCUACCUGUUCAGGUAUGCCUCUCAGGCGCACAUUUCGUCUUCGGUGCCGGGACUCCAGUGUGGUCACUAUUUUGUGCAGUUGUUUGACCUGUGAGGCGAGACACUCCACCCGUUGUGUAGUCAAUUUGAGUUGAGUAUCCCGAGCUUGUUCUCUGACCUCAGCCUCUGAUACUGUAUGUUGCAAGGCCUUUAUGUCAGCUUGUGUUUCUCGGAGGUCUGACUUCCACACUUCCCUUAGGUCCACUAGUAACUUUUUAAUGUCGCCUUUUGUGGAUGGGGAGGAAUCUUCAUCUGAGUCAGCUUGCAGGUAUACCCCAGCUGGGUAGGGAGGGUUACUGGAUUCCAGCUCUCCAGGGGAGUCGUCUGAGGCCCCUUGCUCACUGUAACGGUCAGGUGCCAGUGCCACCCUUGCGGGUUCUGGGGGUGCUCUCUCAAAGGAUAGCCUUAUGUCCUGAAGUGCUUGCCUUUCCAUCUGCAUUAGCCUCUUGUGUUUGCGCCCCAUAGUUGCUGUAAGUUGUUAGGGGUGCUAGCAAUUACCCCUGCCGGUGUGGGGGGGGGAUGCAGUGGUCUCUGGUGGGGUCAACACUGGCCUUUAAGCCUUCAGGUACCUGAUCGGCGGGGCUGGCCACCUCCCGUCUGCGCACACGUGGUAGGCCGCGGUUUGAGUUGCCGCCGAUUUCGGAGCCGACACUUUCGUCGCGGUGUACUCGUUCACCGGGUGUCUCUCCAGCCUCUGGUGAGUAGCCUGGCUGUGGAUGGGCUCGGUACAAGUGGUAUUUACCCCUGUUUGGGCACUUUUUUGCCGGAGCUCAGGCGAGUUGCAACCUCCCGGCUCGGCAGUUAGGCUCCGCCCCCUACAGAAUCAUAUUUAUUGGUCACACUUACAGGAGAAAAGAUAUGACAGGCAUAUCUCCAAAUCACAUGGAACUCCAAGGCUGAUAUAGAAAAAGUCCAAUAGAAGAUCCAAUGGAGCAGGCAGGAUACAAUAGAAAUAAAAUUAAAAUAAAAUAAAUAUAAAAAUUACAUACAGGAUAUAAAAACAAAUAGCAGCAUGUAUAGGUUCAGAAGUAUCCAACGCGUUUCGUCCGACAAAAAAGGGGACUUCCUCAGGGAUAUAUCUGUGAUGGCACUUCCGGGUAUAUAUAGCGAUGCAUACAAUCAAUAUACAAUUGAUUGUAUGCAUCGCUAUAUAUAUACCCGGAAGUAUAUACAAUUGAUAUUUAUUUUAUUUUAAUUUUAUUUCUAUUGUAUCCUGCCUGCUCCAUUGGAUCUUCUAUUGGACUUUUUCUAUAUCAGCCUUGGAGUUCCAUGUGAUUUGGAGAUAUGCCUGUCAUAUCUUUUCUCCUGUAAGUGUGACCAAUAAAUAUGAUUCUGUAAUAUAAUUACAUGCUUCACUAUAUUUGUUUUUUGUUCUUCUUCUAUAUAUCCCACGGAGGAGGACUAUCUACUAAGAUUACUACCCUUUUGGAGGGUGAGAAGCCUGAAUUCAAUUUUGUUUGUGAGUGCAUUCAUUUUCACUAAUAUACUCACUUUUCCAGUACUAUAUUACGCUAUGUUAGCUUUUUAAUUUUCCAUACAGAUUCUGUCUGCGAAUUACUACCUAUAUCUCAGGUUAUUUACAUUUAUGGUUAUAUCAUCACGUAUUUGGGAGGUGUUUCCACUUUGUUUUUUCUAUUAUAUGUAAUUUUAGGUGUUAGUGAGGUACACCUGGUAUCUCUCCCUUAUAUAUGAUUUCUAUAUCAUUAUAGUGUGUAUACUUUAUUGUUCUUGUUUGUGAUUCACUAUUCAUAUUGUCUUUGUUUCCGUUUACCUUCAGUGUGAUCUUUAUAACCCAACACACUAAGAUUUGAGGGAAUGGGGCACACCGCUAUGGCAAAGGGUACAAAAAGGCAAAACACACUAGCACACCCCCCUCUCCUCUCCCCCGUAGAAUGCUUAGAGAAGCACUUGCUGUUAAAUGCUCAGGGAAACAGGAAUGGAUUUGCAAUGGUAAAACUGUCUUUAUGUCUGUAACCAUUGUGUGUUAGAGGUCUACAGAGGAGAUACCGAAAAUACAUUUAUAAUACCCCUAUCUAGUUAAUCAAACUAGAUGUGUGAUUUUUUUUUUGAUUUCUGGAUACAGCAUGUACCAUAAAACCUCCCACUUCACAGCUUUCUAUUUUCUACACUAAAGGCAGAUAUUGGCAUACUACAUAUAAAAAAAAAAAAAAUAAUAAUUAAAUUAAAAAUGCUUUAAACAAAAACACUUUUGAUCAGCAUGAAAACUGCAAUUUAUGCCUCUCUAUGAAUAUAAAUGCUCUUUUGCUACACACUUCAUCUUAUUUUGGUGAUAGAUUCAAUUAAAAUUCAUUUAAUUUCCUGUAAAUGGAUUGACAUAUAUAGAGAUUUAUUUUGAUGUUGAUGUUUCUGUACGGGGUCAUUCUUGUUUCUAAACUGGGCCUAUAAUAGAUGGAUGCACUCUGAGUCUUUAAAGUGCAAUAUUACUUACCUUACCAGAUUUUGCAUGAAAAAUAUUGCCAGCUAUAAUCUUCAUAAUUAAGACAAAGAAUUGGGUUCAUUUAAAACAGCAACUGUACCGAAACUAAUCAGAAAUGCAUGCACAGUUGCAUAAUUGCUCGGAUUGAGUUCAUUUCAAGUUCUUGUUGCACUUCAGCACAUGGCCAAUAAUUUUUUGCGGAAGCACUGAAAAAUUGUCGAUGAGUGUUUCCCAUACAUACACACCUUUAAUGUUAGUUCCACAGGUUUGCAUGGGAGGUUACUGACAAUGACUUGCUUGUGUCUUGUUGCUACUGAGGUAUUUAGAGUCAUGGAAGAGAAACAUCCUAGGCGCUUUUUUCUAUUUCACUAUUUUUAACUAUUCAGUAUCCUUCAGCAGAAGUGAGUAAGAAUGGCUGUGGCCCAUAGAUAAUGAGGGCAAUCUAGAGCAGGCGCUUGAUAUAACUUGAUAAUCUGCACUGCUUAUCACAUAAUUGACAUUGAACUGGCUCCAAGUCACUGUUCGAUUUCACUGUUUAUGUAUGAGUAAGUUCUUUUCCCAUAAGGCUACGAGAACUGUUCAUCCUGGUGUAUGUGCUGUCAGUGACAUUUGAAUAUAGGAAGCAGCCAUUCUGUAUUAUUAUACAAUAAUAAACCUACCGUAUUUGUUUACCAAAAGUCUCUGCAGUCUAUUACAGAUGCAUAGAUAAAAAUCUUUUGUUUUCAAGGUGUCUCCUUCAUUAAUCCAAUUUAGCAGUGGGUAGAGAAAGCUUAAAGGGACACAUCAGUCAAAGGAACCACCAACUACAGCUUAAUUUCUGCUUAAUCUAUUGUAUGGACCUGCAGACUGAGCUAGGAAAUUGCUGCGUUUUCAGAGAAAAGGAGUGUUUUACAUUGCUGCCUAGUAACCGCUCUAGUGUUCUAUCUGAAAUAACAUUUUUUUAACUUGUUUCAAUAAAACGUCAAAGUAAAGUGGCAGCUUUCUUUUUAAGAGUACAAAGUGAGUUGCUUAUUUAUAGGCUGGCCAACCUAUCUCAAAGUGUUUUCCUCUUUAGUAUAGCACUUGGAUGAUGAAUAGUGCCAGUAAGUUGUCAGGCAGUAAACAAUCUAUAUGUGCGUAAUUUCAGCUUGAAAUGCUGCACAUACAGAGAUAUCUGCACCGGUGGCACGUGUGUCUUAGGUAGCUUGGCACUCUGUUCCGGGCUGCCUAAUGUUAAUUCCAUGCAAAAAUUGUCUGUCUGUCUGCACACACUGCGCUCUGGUAACACCCGUAAGCAGUUUAUGUCUGCCAGGGGAAUCAUGUAUGUCCACGUCACUCUAAAUUAGUUAAUUUUUUUUUGUUUUUGUAAGUCCACCCCACACUCCUUCCCUUCCCUGCUCAGAGUGCAUACAUGCUUUGAGAUCAUUUGAUUGGACCUCGGAGAGGGAAGAAGUGAUGCAGUGCGUGACGACAGACUGGGCAUGGAAAUGCUCAAGGAAAAACCUUGCAUGGUGCUGGAUUCUCGAUAAUUUUAUUCUUACUCUCCAGGUUUUGGCACUAAUGUAGGAUGUUUGGUCAAAUACACUAGUGUCCAAUAGAGCAUUAUAAAUGUUGUGAAUCUGACCCGAUCGGCAUGGCACUCAUCCUUGUCUCCGAGCUACGCAUGUUAACAGGGUGGGUCACUUGCACGGCCUGCUCCUGACAGCCUAAUGGACACUACCUUCUUGCAGCCCCUUAAGUCAGUCCUUUGAGGACCACUCAGGCAACUAUAUUCUCUUUUUGGGCGUGACCCAUCAGUGUACAAAUGAGUAUAUUUAAAGGCACAUUGCACCUCUUUCAUUAUCCUAAUGUGGUUUCUGUUUCCGAUUAAUGCCUUCUUUGCCGAGUUCCUAAUAUUUCUGGUUUGGCAUUGGCUUGUCUUUUGGAUCCUGGGUAUCUCUGUAUCCCUGACCUAGCUUGUUGUAUGUUUUCCUGCUGUUAUGUGUUUUUUUUUUUUUUUUAAAUCCAGCUGGUACAUCUGAUUAUCCGCUCUAAGGUCCAGUGACGCAUCUAUUCUGUUUCUCUUAUUGGUUUUUCUAAGUUCUGCAUAUUAUGGUGUAUUCACUUUGACAAUAAAUCUAAUAAAAUAAUUAGCAAAGAAAGAUUUGGACUAACCAUUGAAGUUGCACAGUUGAGAGAAACUGUGUGCAGGCAUUCUACUCACUCUUCAGAAGGAGGUUUCACAAAUCUGGAGCCUCAUGUUCAAGUCUAAAGGGUCUGAUCUCCAUGAGAAGCCUUUAUUAGGCUUUUUCCCUUCGAAUAAUAGACUGUCAAUUUCCUCCUGGGGAAAAGGGGAGGGCUUCCAAAGUCUGCAUAAGACCUGCAGCUUUUGAAAGUUGUUUUAAGAUGUACCCCAAUGAAAAGUGCAGGCACGUAUUAUUGGGGUAUAUCUGCCGAAUAGUGAAUUUUAAAUUUUUGCCCAUUUGGGAUGUGGAGUGUUACUUUUAAUGGAUAUUGCGAUGACCUACAUUUUAAAUUGGAUUUGUUAGGGAAAAACCACAAAUGUGCAAGUCUUCGUUGUGAAAGUGAAGCAAUAUUCAAUGGAAGACGACAGGAAGAAACUGCAUACAUUUAUCUGGAGAUGUAGAACGGUUCUGGUGUACCUAAUGUACCACACAGGAGAGAGGGAGACAGACUAGCACUAAGCUGCUCGAAAACUAGUAAUGAUAGGGAUUCACUAAAAUCCUAUAUAGAACAAGGGGAAAAAAACUCUCUAGAAGAGUAGGAAUACCAAGAGCUGGCCAGGUGACUAAUGGCUAAAAUACUACUACAUAGAGAAUAAAAAUAUAUAUAUGGUACUAUGCCUUUAAAUCUGGAAUGGACAAAGUAUCCCUAUAAAUGUGCAAAAAUGUGAAUAAAGGUGCUAUGAGUGGAGAUCUCAAAUAAACGGGAUAUCCCUUUAAAUAUGCAAAAAUACAAAGAGAAUGCUGCUAUACCUUUAAAUGUCCUUUAAGAAUGUGCAAACAUGCAAAGCAGUGCUAUAUAAGGGGAGUGAUAAUACAAAAAGGGAAAGAUGAGAGACCAAAUUCUCUGCUGGAUGACCAUUUAUCUGGAGAUGAUGGUAAUGCACAUGAAAUACUUUGGAGAAAAAGAACAAGAUUAUUCGGCUUCAGUCCAUUUUAUAAGUGUUCUGCAGUGGAGGAAGUGAAACUUAAACGCCAGCCACAAUAUAUUAUUGAUUGUAAGUAACACCCUUCCUGUACAGAUUAACUGUGCCGCAGAAUUAAAAGGAAAUUUAUUUAUUUUUGUAGUAAAUUAAAAUGACAAAUACAGCAUAAGUCUCCAGGGAGCACUUAUACCAUAGGCAAAUCAAAAAUAACAAUUGAGCAUUAAAGGAACCACUACAGCCUGCUGGUGUGGCACCAUAGUAUUUAUUUAGGUGCUGCCAGGCACUAUAAAUAUUGGAUUUGUUAGUGUGUGUAUGUAUGUGUUUGUUUGGUGUAACUUGUGACUUCUUGGUUUAACAUUCUGUACUCUGAGUGAUAUAUAUAAUAUGAAAUUCAUCAAUAGCAAAUGUGACAAAAAGCAAAUGCAGAUUUGAACAUGGAAAACUGCACAUCAGUAAACGUUAUAGCCUAGAAUUUAUUGUAGAAAAGAAAUGCAGACUAUAGCCUCAAUUGAACAAGCUUUCUAAAAUAUUCAAUACUGUUAGAAAAAAAAUCCAAAUUACUUAUCUACAAAAAUUACCAUAGACUUUGACUUCAGUCAGCAUGAAAGUCUGUGGUAAUCUUUUGAAAUAUCUUAAAUAUAUAUAAUAUAUACACAUCUAGAUAUCUCAAAAUAUUAAAGCAUUUUUUUAAUAUUAAAUUUGAAACUCUUAUCCAAAAUUAUUACAUUAAGGCCUAUGUUUCCCAAAAAAUAGUUUUUGGCCAUUUUUGUAUGCUAAGGACCAGGGCUGUUUUAACACUUCUGUGGUGUUUGUGUUUAGCUGUAAUUUUCAUCUCUCAUUUACUGUUCCCAAAAAAAAUUAUAUCUUGUUUUUUUUCAGGACAAGAAGGGCAUUCUUUACAUACUGGAAAAAAACUGCUAAUUAGAUUAACAUUUUUGUCUUGAGUUUAAAAACACCCAGUGUUUACAUGCUGUUUUUUUGUUUUUUUUUGUGUGCAAGUUAUAGAGCUAUAAGUACAAGUAGGACAUUGCUAUUUCAAAAUAAAUAUAUAUAUAUAUAUAUAUAUAUUUUUUUUUUUUUAACUUUAUAAAUAGUGACAUUGUAACACUGUUAUCUGUCAUAAAUCUCUGAAUCACACCUCACAUGUACAUAUUUUGUCCAGUCUUAUGUCCAGUCUUUUUUAGUAGCCAUUUAGUCACAAACACUGGCCAAAGUUAGCAUUUAUAUUGGUGUGCUAUAUUUGUAAAAUGCAAAACACAAUUAUGAACGCUAACUUUAGCCAGUGUUUGUGACUAAGUGGCUACUAAAAAAGACUGAACAUAUACCCCAUUUGCAAUACCUUGGGUUGUCUUCUUUUGCAAAUGGUAUGCCAUCAUGGGGGUAAUUCUCAUUCCUGCGCUACCAUACACAUAGGCGUGCGCACGGGAUGUGCUUGGGCACACCAUAAUUCACGCGGCCCACGCAUGGAUCGAGGCCGGCAGGGGAGAUCACAGGAUCUCCCCGGUCGGUCCAUGCAGAGCUGGCGCUAUCUGAGCACCGGCCCUGCUGUGUGCCUCCAUGGGCCGGUGGGGAGAUCUCCCCCACUGGCCCAGGAGAGGACCCGGGGAGUUCUAGCCAGCAGCUGCGCCGGGCUCCUCUCGCAAGGAGUUCUAGAGUUCACUCUCACCACUAAGACCACCAGGGAUCAGGGAUGGCAACAAGGAUCCUGCCUCCCAGGCAAAAGGUUAGAAGGGAGGGGGGAUCCUUCUUACCUUUCUUAAUCUGUCCCCCCCACCCCCACACACAAUCACUCCAAACAAAUUCACACACACACAGCACACUAACAGCACCCUCACACAUACAGCAGUAUAUAUGUGUGUGUGUGUGUGUAUAUGUACACACACAUACAUACGGCGUGUGUGUUUGUGCUUUAGGGCGCACACCCUAAUGCAAUAGGCUGUGCACGCUUAUGACCAUAUGCUCUCAACAGCAACAUAGCUAACCUGGCAAAUUUCAAUGUAAAAAAAAAAGGAAAAUCAAGCUUUAUAUUUGUAACUUUCAAAAACACUAUAAAACCUGUACAUGGAGGGUACUGUUAUACUCGGGACACUUCGCUGAACACAAAUAUUAGUGUUUUAAAACAGUAAAACGUAGAACAACAAUGAUAUCAUCAGUGAAAGUGCUGUUUGUGUGUGAAAAAUGCAAAAUAGUCACUUUCACUGACAGUAUCAUCGCUGUGAUAUGUUUUACUGUUUUGAAACACUAAUUUGUGUGCAGCGAAGGCUCCCGAGUAAAACAGUACCCCCCAUGUACAGGUUUUAGAGUGUCAUGUAAAGUUACAGGGUUAAAUACAGUGCUAGCAAAUUAAAAUCUGUGGACCUUUUAUGAAAUUACUUACAUAAUUUUGUAUAUGGAUAUAUAAAAAUAUAUUUUUAUAUAUACCUAGAUAUAUAAUUUCAUUCUAAGUGUAUUUUGAUACAUAUAUUAUCAAAUUACAGUCAGAAUAAAAUUAUUUAUAUAUAUAUAUAUAUAUAUAUAUAUAUAUAUAUAUAUAAAAAAAUCUUUAUUUUUACUUAUUAUUAUGUAUGUGUGUAUUUUUAUAUUAAUGCAUUUAUAAAUAUAAAAAUACACUUAAUUUCACAUCAUAUUUAUAUUUAUAUAUAUAUAUAUAUAUAUAUAUAUAUAUAUAUUAUAAUUUUUUUUUAUUAUUUUUUUUUUUUACUAUGACUGCUUUUAUUCUAAAAUUUUUCACCAGCAGGGAGACUGCUUGUCAGUUCAUGCAGUCCCUCUGCAGGCAGGUUCAUGGACACCUAUUGCGGCCAUGUGACCGCUCUGUUAGUGAUCACAUGGCCGCGGGGGCCUAAUUCGCUGAAGGGGGACUCCCUGGGCGGUCAGGCAGUCCCCUCAGACCGGGAGCGACGGCGAUCGGGUGACUAAAUAUUUCUGUUAUGACGGUUCAGGACUCAAGGGUAUCUUUCCUCAAGGGUAUCUUUCCAUCGUAAAGGGGUUAAAGGAACACUGCAGAUUCUUAAAUCUGAAAAGAUUUAUGUUUGAAAAGUGUCUUUUUUUUUUUUAUUUAUUUUUUUUAUUUAGCAAAUAGUGCAGAUUUUUUUAAAUUUGACAAUUUUUAUUUUGUUGGAAAACAGAGGUUCAGAGGGGUACAGAAAGGAAAAAGGGGGGGGGGAUAUCAGGGGGGUGCAUACAGUUUCCGUUAGAUUUGACAUUACAGUUGAACAUACCACUUAUCAGCGUUUGUACAUUACCCGUCAUUUCUACUUACUUACAGUGUGUAAUACUGAUUGUGUUUCCAUUUGAUUACAUAUCGUUUAUUCAGUGAGUAGUGCGGGUUGUUGUACACGGCCCUGCACGUCUGCUGUGUAUGGAGGGUUGUUACUUGUUACCCCUGUGUGUGGGUCCUCCUGUGGUGGCUUGCUGAUUGGGCUAAUCUCCUCAAUGGAGACACAUGUGGUAUGCCCGUCUGUGUAGAAAAGGGCCACCUUUGCGGGAGGGCUGUGAGUUGUUAGGCCACUCUCCCAUGGCGGGCUAAUUCGGUCGCCACUGGCAGGCCUGUCUCUUUGUCUAUGGUGUGUGGUUCCUAAUUAUCAUUCGCCUUUUCAGGCUAUUUGGGGUUGUUCCUCAGGCGUGUACCCCUGAACGAUUCCAGGAUGGGAGAAGGAGGGUUGAGGCUGGGUGAAAUGGGGCGGGGAAUAACUGGGGUAACUAAUGUCAUGUGUGGCUGCUGUGAACCGCCGAGGUUCUAUUAUUACUCAGUUGUAUCAGUGUUGGCAGUGCCCCUAGCUGCAUCUUGGGGGGUUUUCUUCUCUAUGUAAGUGGUCCAAAUCUUUUUCGCUGUAGCGCUCCCUUUGCCUAUUUUUGUUUGGUUCCACAAGAUCACCUCAUAAUCCAGGGUGGUAGUGACCAUUGCUGUCACCUCCGCUGUGGAAGGGAUCUGAGGGGUCUUCCAGUGUUUUGCCAGUAAGAUGGACGCUGAGGUGAGCGUGAGGAACAUCAGUUUAGUUAUGCUAUGGGGUAUAUUGGCGGGCAAAAAUAGUGCAGAUUUUAAUAGCAAUUGACACUUUUAUUAAAAAGGUUACAACCCCCUUGGCUCUCAACACCUGUCACUUCCUGGUCUGAUUAGCUCAGUGGAGCUGAACUCAAGAGGAAGCAUUUGCCCAGAGCACCUGUCUUGUAAAGACUUUUCACUGAACUGCAUUGGGAUGUCUGUGACUGGACAGCCACAUAAAGUCUGGGAGGGGUAAGAAUGGGAGGGUUUGCUAAGGAAGCAUACAAGAGAACUGCAGGUUUUUGUUUUCAUUUGGGAUAUAUCUACUAUACAGUGAUGUUUAUUUUGUAUUUGGGCAGUGGAGUGUCCCUUUAAGAGUCUAAACCCUUAAGGUACCAUAACAACUUAAUUGCCCAGGGUGUCCCUAUAAUGCUUUGAUUUAGUGAUUCCAGCAUUGUAAUAUAAGUUUAGAUCCUGCUUGAGUCUGUCCAGAAUUAACAUGUAUUUCCCCCCUCCUUCAUUGCAUGCUUGUUUAUUUUUAGUUUGAAGUCCUGUUUGCUAGUAUAAUUGUCGCCCAGCCAUAGAGCAAGCAUUGUAACUGGGUCUGUGUGAUGUAUUCCAAAAGGGACAGCUGCAGCAUGAAGUAGAGGCUUAGUACAGUCAUGACAUGCCGGCAACUGUUACUAAUUAGAUUUACCUCAAAUUGGCUGGUGACUCAUGAUGCGAUAAUGUAUUUCAGACUGCUUUUGGUUUGUCCUGUUUCUUACACUUAGCGGUAGACACGAAGGUUACAAAGAUCACUAUUUGAAAUUAAAACUGUAAAUAAUUUUGAACUUUACUCCUUUUAUAACAAUGUCUCAUCAGUAUUUAUUCCCCACAUUGCUCAUUUAAAGAAACAUUGCAUUAGAACCACUUCAGCUCAUUGAAGAGGUUAGAGUGCUUGUAGUUUUCUGGCACCUUCCACUGUUGUAUUGCUACAUAUACCUAACUACAUUGGGAGGUAUGCGAUUGUAGUAGUGUUUGUCUAUAGGAAGGUGUCACUGGUGACACCCAUAAUGGCUUGGUCUGCCUGGGAAAAGGAGGGAGCCCACACCCACUGGAUGGUGGUGAAAAUCUGUCUGGCCGGCCCCUGACUGACCGGACCUUGCGUGGAGCACUACUGAAGCACUGUCUGCAUUGUCAUAAUGCCCGCUGCACAGUGCAAGCACAUCUAAUAAUGUGCUUGCUCUGUCAUGCCCAGGGACUGUUACAUGGUGUCCCUGGGUGCGGCACACUAGGGAAUUAACAGAACCCCAAAAUCUGGACUGUCCUGCCCGAAAGCACAGCUGUUGGGGGACAGAAUGUUAAAAUGUUCCUCCCCCUUCUUCCUCUAAUGUGAACGACUAAGGAAGAGUUGUGCUUCGCCUUACACCAUACCACAUAAUACCAGCAAUAGCUGCCAAUGAUAAGCUGAUACCAUAUUCUAUUAAGACUCUAGUGAGUUAAUGCAUUUCCAAUCACCCACAAAAUUUAGUUGUAACAUGUAAACUAUCUUACCAAUAUUCUGUAUUAAAUAUUAUUCAGAAAAUUCCCUUUUAUUUAGGUAUUUUAUAUUUGUACUAAAUAUUUAUCACCUUACAUGACAAGACCGUUCAGAUGGUGGUUGUCACAAAGGCACCCUACUUCAAGAGUGUGCGUGACGUAGUUGUGGUGGUGAAAGGGUUAAAUUUCACUAUUUGUCUGCACUAGACUGGAAAUAAUGACAAAAUCCCCCUUAACACCACCCUCACUUAAACAUAAUUAUAUAACUAUUAGGGAUGCACUGAAACUUCGACUGCCGAAAUUUUCGACCGAAAAUGGGCCUCUCCUGUUUUGGCCCAAAACUGGUCAAAUUUGCCAAAAUUAAAAAAUACAUCAUAUAUUACAAUGAAAGAUAGUAAUGAUAACUUGAAAAGUCAAGAAUACUGCACUUGGGACAGGGGAGGGGGGAGAAAAGAACACUGUGGGACUGGGGAGGAGUGGGGAGAAAAGAACACUGUGGGGAGGAGGGGGGAGAAAAUUUUUCAUGUUAGAUUAAUUAAAAAGUCUAAUAUUAAAUAGAAAAUGUUUCUUUUUAAAUCAUUUGAUUUGGGGAGUAAUUUUCGGUUUUGCAGUUUCCAAGCCUGUUCCUAGAGGUGGAGAUAAGGCGUAUUUACAGAAAUAAUAUGUAGCCACUCCCUUGUGUUCCAGAAAACAACAAUCCAAUAGAAACUUUUGGUUUUAUCACAUCUUCUGUACUUACCACAGAAAUGAUUCCCUCUAUGAAAUUGUUACCAUUUUCCCAUUCCAGAGAUGUCACAUGCCUUUCUUGUGACCUAAUAUAGAGGAUAUCACAAUCCCUGCUACACGGUUUAGGUUGUGCAACUCAUGUUUAGGCUAAAUUAAAAGAUUGGACUUGUCCCAUUCCAAAUAUAAUAAACAUGAGGCUUAAUUAUUAAGCUGUGGGUAAGUAUUAAUGUUUCUCUUGGAUAUGCUACUGGAACACAAGGGUCUUCAUGAAACUAAUGCCAUUACCAUAUCAAAGGGUUGACCUAUCAAUUGAGAGUUUAAGGCCAUAUGGUCAAAAUCCGUUUACAUUGAAACUAGACAUACAGGCAGCUCAAGUGUAAAAUGUCUCACCUUGCAGGGCCUUUGAUCGAUCACAAGGGUAGUCAUUUUCACACCUUGCAGAAGCCCCUUUUGAUCAAAAGAGCAAUUUCUCUCUGCCAUUUGUCCUGUACCCCAGGGGUUAAAUUAUUGAUGCACUACACAAGUUAUAUUAAAUUGCAAUAUUUCAUAGUGUAAUAAUAAAUUAUGCACCCUUGCCGUGACAGGGGACAUUUAUCAAAGUGUUCUGUAAUAGGAGUCAAUAGAGUGGGCCUGCUGUGUUCACAGUGAUUGCCCCACUUUAAGUAUUUUUAAACUUUUUACCCUCUAUUGUUUAAUUUCUCUUCAACCCUGUAUACGUUCUCUAUGCUUUCUGCCAGGUGCUAAUCUUACAGAGUUUAUAGCAAUCACUAAAAGGGAGAUGAAGUCGAUAAAUGCAUAUUGUUAAAGGGACACUAUAGUCACCUAUUAUUAAAAUACGUCUGACGUGUGCAGGAGAGAGAAGGCACUGUGUGCGCCCCUUCUCUCUCCUGCUUGUCAGCAGAGGAGAGGGGGCGGGCAAAGACCGCGAGCUGAACUGUCAGUCAGCUCAGCUCGCGGCUUCACGAGGCUUCCGGCGCUGGAACGAGGUGAGUAAAAAGGGCGGGCUGCCUGGCGUGUCCCUUUAACUGAUUUAUUUUUCUUAGUCAAUAAUUUUAUGUUAAUUUACUCUUCUUCUAUGAUUAUGUCCGUGAGUCUGUUAUCCUGCAAGUUGCAAGGACUUUUUUUUUUGAUCAGGAUAUUCACGUUUUAUGCUCUGUAAGUGUAACCUUAUACUACUGACCUGAUGAAGGCCUUAAGCAAGAAGUGGAAUGUGAGCUUUUAUCUUUUAAAACAAAUGCAGUCGUUCUGUUUCCUUGAUAUGGCAAAGUCCCAUAUAAAUCUGUAUAUUUUGUAUCUUGGUCAUUUUCCAAAUGGUAUAGACAGGGUUGAUAAUUUCCACUAGCCAUUGGCAAUUGAAAAAAUGUCAAGUAAAAAAUUCACCCUUGCAUAGUGUCAUUAAACCUCCAGGCUUGCAGUGACGAGUGUGUGGUUGUUUUUUUUUUUUGUUUUUUUUUUUAAGGCAUGCUAGUAGCUCAUGCCUCCCAACUGUCCCUAUUUGGGUGAAAGUUCUAACUUUAGGGACUGUCCCCAGAAAGUGUAGUGAAACUGUGAUCCCUGCAUCUUGCACUCUCCGUAGGAUUGACAUGCAUUCACGCCAAGAUGAUCAGUCAAUCCUUCGGGUAAACCUCUUUUGGGACAAUAUUUGUCGUCACUGGCCCUACCCCUUCUAUUCCUGCCGACUGGCUUCCUGCUUGUAGGGACAAGGAUUUUGGAAGGUAUGGUAGCCUACAAUUUGAGUUCUAGUGUUUCUGCCUUUGGAGGUUGGGAAGUCUUUCCAGUUCCAACCAGGAUGAAAGGUGAUAGCACAUACUUUGUUCUAGAUGAAUGAUGAAUAUGACGUAUAGCGAAGGUGUGAUUUUGGAGCGUUGAAGCAGGUGAGCGGAUGGUAGACUCUGACAUUUCAGUUGAGGUCAGUAGGUUUGAUGUUGUGUAGUAUUCACAUUCUGCCAAAGGAAAAAAACAAGGAAAAUUCACUGGUUUCGUGGACACUUUGUGAAGUGACAUAUUGCUGUCACACGAGCAGUAGGGGCUGUAGUGGGUGCAGGACGUGAUAGGAGCUGUAGCAGGUGCAGCAGAGGAUUGGAAGCUGUAGUGGGUGCAGGGAAUAGGGACUGUGGUGAGUGCAGGAUGGAUAGGUGCUGUAGUAGGUGGGGGUAAUAGUGGCUGUGGUAGUAGGUGCUGUACUGGAGGCAGGGGAUUAAUGGGGGAUGUAGGGAAGGCAGGGGGUAAUGGGGGGCUGUAGUGAGUGCCAUUAGCUGUAAUUGGGCAAUAGUAAGAGGAUGAUUUAAUAAAGAACAUUAAAAGCAUUUAUUCCCUCCUUCUCGAGCCUUACCUUGGUCCAGGGAGGAGAGAAUCCCCGGUGGUCCGGUAGAGAACAUACUUGUCAACUCCCCUUCUGCCCGGCACCGGUAAAUGUAUCAGUGUUGCCGUGGUUACGUGCAGCAGCACUCUAAUACAGUAGGAGGCGGAAGACCAAGUUCUUCCUGCUCCCGCAUGGCAUCAGGGCAGUCUGGCCAGUGAGGGAGAUUUUUGAUGAAAAUCGGCAGGAGGCAAUUCCCCCCCCCCUUACCUUCCUUUAACGACACCUAUGGUUUACAGCUUAAGAGUCAUUCCCAGAGUUAAUACCCUACCUGUUAACAAAUAUUUACUAAAGGCAGUUUACACCUGCAACUGUUUAUUUUGUUUUGGCGAGCCCAGCCUUUUCCUAAGAAAGCAGCGUGAGACUGGGUGCUGAGCAGUUUAAUGAUUUCUUGCUGCUUGUCAAUAAACUGAUUAUAUCAUGGUGAUUUAUUUUUAGUAUUAUUAACCUCCUUAAUGACCAGUGACCUUAUAAUUCUGCUAUGGAUGUCCUUCCCUUAAGGACCCAUUAUGGAAUAUUUCAGUCAUGCAGCGACUGUAAGAGGGAGUUAGAGAUCAUAUUGUGGCAACUUGUCAUAUUAUUAUUUAGCAGCAGAGAGGGAAAUAAUCCCUCUCGUGCUGCUAGUGUAUAGUGCAAAAGGCUCAGGGAGUGCUCUGCACUGCAAGAGAUUCUCUCUACUGAUGUCAGCAAGAGGAUGCCUCUAACAGUAUUGCUAGGGUUAGUUGACAUCAGCAGAGGGAAUCCCUCUUAAUUUAUUGUUAGUUAGGAUUAGAUUCAUACUUAGCUAAGGUAUACAUAAGAGGUAUUGUCCUCUGGAGAUGUUGCUGAAUACAAUUUAAGGAAUUCUAUUACAGUGACAGAAUAAUACAGAAAAAAUACAAUGUUUAUGUAAAUAGUAUGAAAUAAAAAUUAAUAGCACAAACUUGGAUUAAAAAUGGUAAACAAAUGGCACCCCAAUAAAGCUCAAAAUAUAUAAUUUAAGACAGGGCUCGACAAAUUGGUGUUUUUUCAUUUCAAUAAAGUGGCCUGGGUGCAGUUGUCCUGUCAAUUUAACUAUUCAAGGUAAAAUAUUGCCAUUUUGCAGAAAUAGCACUGUUUACCAAGGUAAAACAACCACUGGAGGUGUUUCCACUACAAUGACUUUGUAAAACACAGUCACGUGAAGUUGCAGCCCCCAUAGGAAAGCAUUGACUCGCCACGCAUUAGAUAACCAGCAGUGCCACUGUCCGAGGCUUCCUGUUCAAAGUAGUGCCUUAGGGUAAGAUUUAAAAGGUUUUUGAACUAUUUUAUGCAGGGCAUCCGAUGUCUAACAUCUUAGUGCACCCCAAAUGGGUCAGAAUGCAGUGGUAAGAACACAGUAUGUCCGUGGUCUAUAUUCUGGCCUAUGUUCUCCUAGCAGUUUCUGCAGAGAGCCAUUAUUUAUUAUCAGUUUGUGUUAUGUCUGGGAAAAAGAGUAGUAAUUGGUGUUUUAUUUUGUACAUUACAACUUGACUACUAAAAGCUGAUUGAUCGUUAUUGCCACAAAAGUGCCCUUAUGGAUUAGUUAACAUUGCUGCUCAGGAGACUUACCUACUCAUCAGUGUUAUGUUUUAAUUCUUUUUGAUCUUUUUUGACAUUGUAAACUGCCUGAGAUGGGAGAAACCAUAACCUUUGCAAUGAAAAAGUUGUGGAAUUUAUCACCAACAACCUAAAAACAAAAAUGCGUGUUGAACAUUGAAAAGCAAGUAAAUAAUCCUGAAAUUAAAUCUGAAUGUAAUGUUGAAGGGAACCUGUCUUCGAUGGAAGAAACCUCUUCCAUGACCGUGACAUGCAUGCCUCGUUCCCAAAGUGCCGGCGCUGUGGUUGGUAUGCAUGGAAAUCUCCUGCGGGUGGCCGCUUCUGCUCUCUAUUAUCAAUCAGAUAUAAGAAUGUGUGCUAAAGAAUUGAUUGAGAGGUGUGGAAAGAAAAUGACUAUUUAAAAAAAAAAAAAAAAAGUUUUCUUUAAAAAGAGCUAAAGAACAUUAGUCUCCAAAUUACCCCAGAUGGAAUAAAACCAACCUCCUAUGACCAUGUGGGAGUAGCAGAUAUAUGCAUGUAUGUAAUUUGUCAAUACAUUUUUUUUAACAAUUGUAUGUGCACUACAGCGCAAAUUGUUUAAUUUAGACACUCUAAGCAUCAUAAAACCCUUUAGUAACUAAUGCUAUUAGCACCAGAUUAUGGUUCAAGUAAGUUGUUAUUUUAGUUUUUUUUUUUCCUUCAAAUGUUUGAGAUAAUGAAAUUGCAAGAAUAAAGAAAUUUUCUGACCAUUGCAAAAUAUCACACAAGUGAUUCAUGUGGUGUAUUAUUGGAGUGCUGUACUAUAUGACCGAUAAACUCCUGUUUGAUAUAGUCAAGCUCAGAUGAAUGGAAAAUGAGAUACUCCUCAUUGGUAGAAUUACUAUCUUGCUAGGCAGUAGUGAUGUCCGGAACGGUUCGCCGAAUGGUUCGCCGCGGACGGCGACCAUAUGACCCUGUACCUCACAGUCAGCAGACACAUUCCAGCCAAUCAGCAGCAGACCCUCCCACCUCCUGGACAGCUCACUAAGAAUGCAGCUUCACAAUGGAUGCUGUCCAGGAGGUGGGAGGGUCUGCUGCUGAUUGGCUGGAAUGUGUCUGCUGACUGUGAGGUACAGGGUCAUAUGUUCGCUGAACCGUUCAGGACAUCACUACUAGGCAGUGUUCACUGUGCAAGCUGGAAAACCUGUAAAUUUGCAGCAAACACAUACACUUGUAAUAUGAGGUGUUUGAUUGAUGUAUUAUUCUAUCUUCCUAUGCUAGAGUUGCAACAACUACUCUUUCUUUUUCUUUCCAUAGCAAUAAAAGAUUCCAUUAGUGUUGAAAGAACGAGGCUAUAUAAUAAUAAAUGGCCUACUUGGACUAACUGUAUAAAUCUUUGAAAUGAAUAGUAGAAAUGAACUUAGUUGAAUACUUGUUGGUCUUGUUUCUUGUUAUAGGUGGAUGAAGUUAACCAUUAAUUUCACUCUUUCUUAAGUGCAUAAUUCAUUAACUGAGGGGUGUGAUGGGAGACAUAUGCAGGGUGUGUAUUUUUUUUAUUUUUUAUUUAUUUUUUUAAUUGCCCAAGCAAUUAUUGGAGGGGAGGGUUGUUGACAUGUAGCCAUUGCAAUGCCACAAGGUAAUUUGUAGCCGCAAAAAGGAAAAUAAGUUUUAUUCCUGAGAAUUAUCAGCUGGACUGCUUACUGAAACAGGUACUUUCUGUGUUGUUGCAAUCUCGAUUUAUAUCUUUAUAUAUAUUUUUUUUUUUUCACUUUAAACCAAGUGCACCCACUAAUUUCUAUUCAGCCAACCUAAAACGGCUCUGUUGCUUGCAAUGCGGUGACCUGAGAGUGCAGGGGAAGGUACAUUUUACCUGUCUGGUGCUGUCCCUUGCACCUGCAGCCAGUGGGUCCUUUUUAUCUGCAUGGAGCCUCAUUAGUCUAUUGAUGUCUAUGAAGAUCCUGAAAGACAACAAGAACCUUCAAAUACCUACAUUGCCUUUAUUCCCCAAAGCCUUCACUAGUGAUAGCUGUGGGAAAUGACAAAAAUUGACAAAGGGAACUCUGCCUUUUGUCCGGCUUAAGAAAAUUGCAUAAUAGGGAUCGACCGAUACUGUUUUAGAGCCGAUACCGAUAAUCUGUGAACUUUCAGGCUGAUAGCCGAUAACUUACUGACAUUCUGUGCAUUUACCAUUUUGAAAAAAUAAACAAUUUCUAAAAGUAAAUGCACAAAAUCUAGAUGCUACAUGUAGUGGAUGCAGUGUGUUUAGACAGGGGAACUGUAUGUGUUUGUGUAGUGUGUGUGUGUGUAGUGGAUGCUGUGUGUAUUUGUGUAGUGUGUAUAGUGAAUGUAGUGUGACUGUGUGGUGUGUGUGUAGUGAAUGCAGUAUAUUUGUGUAGUGCGUGUAUAGAAUGCAGUGUGUGUGUGUGUGUGUGUGUGUUUCUGUAGGUAUGUAAUUUGUGUAAAAUGGGGAGAGGAGGGGGGGGCAUUUUUUAAUUACAUUUUUAAAAAUAUAUAUUUAAAAAUUUUUUAUUUUUUUUUAGUCCCCCCCUACCUGCUUGUUACCUGGCCAGGGAGAGGAGAUAUGGCAUUCCCUUCAGCUCCCUUCAGCUCCCUUGUCUAACGCUCGCGGUCUGUGUGCCACGCGGAAGGUUGUCAUGGUAACCCGUGGCAAUGCUCUGACGGCCACGGGAAUCUCAAGAUUUACACAGGGGAGCUGAAGGGAGUUGCUGGUAAGGUAAGAGCUUGCUGGGCCCCCCCAGGACCGCUGGGCUUGUAACGGGCCCGGCAGUCCUGGUAUGUAUUAUCGGCAAUAUCGGUAUCUCUAUUGGCCGAUACCGAUAUUGCCGAAAAUACCGAAUAUCGGCCGGAACCAUAAUCGGUCGAUCCCUAUCAAAUAAGAAAUAAGUAUGUCCUCCUUUCUUAUGUAUGUUAGGAAAAAUAGUACAGAAAUGAAUUAUGGAAUGAUAGGAAAAAAAAAAAAUUAUGAAUCAAUUAAGAUAAAUAUCCCAUGACACAGCUGCUUUAAAAAAAUAAUAAAUAAAACCAAAAAGUUUCCAUUUUAAAAUUAACCCUGUAGAAAAGUUAUCAAUGACUCCUUAAAACACCACAGCAAGAAAAAAUGAUAUAUUUUGUAAGUUUUUUUUUUAUAUCAUCUUUACACCCUGUUCCAAAUUAUUAUGCAAAUUCUAUUUAAGUGUCACAAAGAUUAAAUAUUUUGUUUUUCAGUUUAACUCAUGGAUGGCAUUGUGUCUCAGGGCUCUUUUGAUCACUGAAAACAAUCUCGGACACCUGUGAUAAUUAGAUUGCCAGGUGAGCCCAAUUUAAGGAAAAACUACUAAAGGAGGGUGUUCCACAUUAAGCAGAGCACCAUUUUCAUGCAAUAUGGGGAAGAAAAAGGAUCUCUCUGCUGCCAAAAAGAGUAAAAAAGUUCAAUGCCUUGGACGAGGUAUGAAAACUUAAGCGUGAUCAUCACACUAUUAAGAGAUUUGUGACUGAUUCAGAGCACAGACGGGUUUGUGCAGAUAAAGGCACAUUGAGGAAGAUUUCUGCCAGAUCCAUGCAUCGGCUCAAGAGAGCAGCUGCUAAAAUACCAUUACAUAGCAGCAAACAGAUAUUUGAAGCUGUUGGUGCCUCUGGAGUCCCAUGGACAUCAAGGUGUAGAGUCCUCCUGAGCAGUGGCGGAUUCAGAACCAAAUCUCGGGGGGGUGGGGGGGCGGCGGCGGCACUGGUGGUGGGCUAGAGCAGGGUGAAAAGGGCUGCAGCGGAGGAAUAGGGGACUCUUGUUUAGGGGAUAGGAGGCUGUACACAUGCGGCCACACACAGUGAUAUGGAAACACAAUAACACACUGGCACAUACACACAUAUACGAACAUAUACCUUCACAAACAUACACUGGCACACCCACAGAUACAAACCUAUACCUACACUGGCACACACAGAUACCUACAUACACAGAUACACAUACCUACACAUAUACACACACUGGCACACAAAUACACACAUAUAUAUACCUGCACAUACACACACUGGCACAUAUAUACACACAUACCUACACAUGCACACUGGUGCACACACACAUCCUUACAUAUACACAAAAUGACACACAUACCUUCACAUACACACACAGAUGCAAGGCAAUAGAAUAUACAGGCAAAACUCCAGGUACUGAAGAUGUACCAUAUUUUUCGCUCCAUAAGACGCACUUUUUUCCCCCUCAAAAGUGAGGGGAAAUGUCUGUGCGUCUUAUGGAGCGAAUGUGAAGCUUGACUUACCUGUCUUGUAGCGUGGUGGAACCACCUGGCUCGGCUGGAUCGCGAAGUGCGACUCAGUGCACAUCUCCUUCAGUCCGCUUCAGAAACCGAACCCGAAUUGAUCGCCCUGCACCUGAGCCGUUUCGUGAAGUCGGCCCACCUACAAGACAGGUAAGCACCACCAUGGGACAAGGAGAGGGACACACCAUGGAACAAGGAAGGGGACCACACCUUCAUGGAACAAGGGAAGGAGGACACCCAUGGAACAAGGAAGGUAACAACACCAUGGAACAAGGGAAGGGACACACCAUGGAACAAGGAAGGGACAACACCAUGGAACAAGCGGGGAAGUUGGGACACACCAUGGAACAAGGGGAAGGGACACACCAUGGAACAAGGAGGGGGAAUGACACCAUGGAACAAGCGGAGGGGGACACACCAUGGAACAAGGGGAGGGGGACACACCAUGGAACAAGGGAGGGGGGACACACCAUGGGAAACAAGGGGAGGGGUGGGGACACAACCCUCAUGGAACAAGGAGGACCACACCCAUGGAACUGAAGGGAGGGGACACACCGGAACAAGGGGAGGGGGGGACACACCCAUGGAAACGGGCGUGAGGGGGGACACACCAUGGAACAAGGGAGGAAUACCACCCAUGGAACAAGGUGGAGGGGGACUACCACCAUGGAAACGGGAGGGGUGACCACACCAUGGAACAAGGGAGGGUGAAUAAUUUGCGUGAGUGGAAAGUGCACUAUGGGACAAGGGGGGGACACUAUGGGAUGAGAACACUAUUGGACAAGGGGAGGAGGGGUUAAAAAUCACUAUGGGACAGAGGAAAGGGGGGUUAAAAUAACUAUGGGACAGGGGAGGGGGGUUAAAGAUCAUUAUGGGACAGGAGAGGGGAGUGGGUGGUAAGGAACAAAAAAUUCCUUAAAAAAAAAAAAUAUUCUGAACAAACUGUCCCAUAGUAAGAAACACUAUGGAACAGUUCAGAAUAUUUUUUUUUCUGGGUUUCCUCCUCUAAAAACUAGGUGCGUCUUAUGGUGAGGUGCGUCUUAUGGAGCGAAAAAUACGGUAUUUAUUGGAGUAUAGAACACCUGAAAAGUGGGCCUUAAUCAUGUUUAAGUCCGUCUAGGGCUGAAAAGUUGCACUUUUAUGUGGUGUUCUACCCUUCAAUAAAUACACCUUCAGUACCCGGAGUGUUGCCUGUAUAUUCUAUUACCUUGUAUUGAUGGACUGAUUAGCAGUGUCUGUCUAAUGCAGAACACCUCUGAGGCUGUGGGCCAGAGUGAAAAGCGGAACCUGAGUGCAGUGGUACACACUAACACACAAACAUACUCACAGAUGCACACACUGACACUCACAGAUACACACUGGCGCACACACACAAUUUGCAGCUUCCAUAAUGUUAACCACCCACCCUGCUUCAAUACCUUUUGGUUGCAGGGAGGUGACUUUCUGGGGCUGGCUGAUCCUGGUGGGAGUCUGAAGCUGCAGAGCUCUCUCUUUCUCCUCCCUCCUCCUUCUCUCCCAGCUGCCUGCAUCCUGUGUCUUCUCUCUCCGCUGCCUGCAUCUUCUCAGCCCACGCGGUCUGUAUGCUGGGAGGAAGUAAUAGUCACUUCCUCCCAGCACUCCCUGCAACUUUAAAGGGGCCCAGUCUACCAAAGGGCUGCAGCACACGACCGCAUCCUUAAUGAGGUAGCUCCACAGAUGGCAGCUGCACUAUUUUCUCAUGGGGGGUGGGGGGAAAUUGCCCUUUUGCGCCCCCCCGGAUCCGCCACUGCUCCAGAGUCUUGCAACUGUGCAUAAACUUUCUAUUCGGCCACCACUAACCAAUGCUCACAAGCAGAAAUGGCUGCAUUGGGCAGAAAAACACAUGAAGACUAAUUUUCAAACAGUCCUGUUCACUGAUGAGUGGUGUCCAACCCUGGAUGGUCCAGAUGGAUGGUGUAGUGGAUGGUUGGUGGACAGCCACCCUGUUCCAAAAAGGCUGCGACGUCAGCAAGGCGGUAGUGGAGUCAUGUUUUGGGCCAGAAUCAUGGGAAGAGAGCUGGUCGGCCCCUUUAUGGUCCCCGAAGGUGUAAAGAUGGCCUCUGCAAAGUUUGUGGAGUUUCUGACUGACCACUUUCUUCCCUGAUACAGAAGGAAGAACUAUGCUCUCCAUAAUAAAAUCAUCUUCAUGCAUGACAAUGCAUCAUCUCAUGCUGCAAAGAAUACCUCUGCAUCAAUGGCUGCUAUGGGGAUAAAAGGAGAGAAAGUCAUGGUGUGGCCUCCAUACUCCCCUGACCUCAAUCCUAUUAAGAACCUUUGGAUCAUCCUCAAGCAAAAGAUCUAUGAGGGUGGGAGGCAGUUUAGACCCAAACAGCAGCUCUGGGAGGCUAUUCUGACAUCUUGCAAACAAAUUCAAGCAGAAACUGUCCAAAAACUCACAAGUUCAAUGGAUGUAAGACUUGUGAAGCUGCUAUCAAAUAAGGAGUCCUAUGUUAAAAUGUAACGUGACCUGUUAAAAUUUUAAAAAGUUAAAAUGUUGUUAUAAGUUUGAUUGAAAUAGCUUUUGAUUUCAGUAAAUAUGCUGCAAACACAACAAAUGACAAUUUUCAGUUCUUUACAACCUAUAAAGUGUUUUAAAACUUACUGUGCGUAAUAAUUUGGAACAGUGCAUUGUAAGCUUAUGCUUAAAAAAAUAAAUAAAAAUACUGUUAUCAUUAGGAGGUUUGUUCAAUAAAAUUUGAAUUGUACUCUUAAUAGUUGACAACAUGAGAAUUCUGCUGACUGUUAUUUACAUCAAUUAUUUAGGUAAAUGAGAAAAAUAUAAUUUGCAUAAUAAUUUGUAACGGGGUGUAUUAGUCUGAUGCAACUAAAGUACAAAAUAAGAACUUGACAUUGUGUGUGUGUGUGUGUGUGUGUUUUUUUUUUUUGUCAAUCUUUGUUUUUGUUGAGGUGUAUGAUGGCUCAGUACAGAAAGUAAAACAAGGGGUUAAUGCAUGAAAAAUAUACGUAAUGCAUAACUGGUUUAUACAAUGGUUGCAUGUACUCCCAAGAAUAACGGCCUCUCUUUUUAUGAAAAUUUUAACAGUAGUAUUAUACAGGCUAAACAAGCUAAGCAGGCUAGACAAUAAAGGUUUACUUAACUAAGUCUGAUACACAGCUGAAUGUGACGUCGCGGGUAUAUCUAGGCGUGGAAGUAUCAGCAGCAAGCUAACAGGCUAAUUUACCAACUCUAAUCUUGACCCUCAGCUUAUGUGAAGCAAUGUACGUGCAACUAGUUUAGCUUUCGAAAAGGAUUAACCCAUUGCAGCAAUCGACAUGAGGAGGCUUGUGGGUUAUGAGCCUAUCUGAUAACACAAAUAUAUUUAGCUGAAAGAUAAGCUUGAGAGGGACAUGAGAAAAAGCUUCCGAAAAUAAAAUAUCGCCUUUUAAAAUGGGCUAAAGAGUAUAUGUAAAUGCUUGUUCCUAUAAAAGGAGUGAGUUCAGUCACAUAGACAGAAGAUAUUAUAGACAUGGUGAUUACAUAGACAAAUUAUAUCAUGAUUGCUACUUAGUCAUGCACUACACUUUUCUUCAUAUGGUAAGCUAACAUGCAUGUAACUGAUAUGCCUCUGACAGUACUAGUUAAAGCUAAACAAUUAUGCAGUAAAUGUUGAGUAGAGGAGGCUUUGCUAAUCUAAAGUGGGAUCAUCGUUUACUUGGAGCAGUCCAGGGCAUGGAGUGCUGUGAGCGUUCAUGCAUUUAUUCAGCCCACCCCACAUGGAGGAAUUGUGCUGUAGUCUGCGGGGACCAGUCCACUUGGUUGGGGACUGCCUCUUUGGCCCGUCUCUUUGGCCCGUCUCUCUAUUGGUGGUUGGGCCUGUUCCUCUAGGGUGUAUGCUUUGACCCGCCAGGUGCUUGUCCCUCUGUGCUGUGGUUCACCCAGUGCACCUCCCAGUUCCAUGUCGCUUCAGUGUCCUGUGUCUUCGGCCCAAGGCUUUAACGGGGGCCCUUGCCACAAGUCCAUUGACCCCAUCCUCAGGGUUGUGGGCCCAAGGUUUUGCCGGAUUCCGUAUGUUCCCCUGGGUGUAUGGGUGGCGGUGAGGAGUUACCCUCUGGUGGGCUCCCUGCCCGGAAGAAGAGUGGGGAUAGCUGCUUGGUGCAUGCGGGGUCCCCAGCACUCUGUGGCCAUGCUUCGGUGCUUGGUUCCCUCCCCUGGUUUUGCCUGCAGGCAGAGGGUCUCUCCUCCUGCAGAGCCAUCUUGGGGCCCUAUGUUGCUUAUGAGUAAGGCUCUGGCGGCUGUGUUGCAUAGGUUUCUUGUUGCUCCAGCAUGUGCUCGGUUUAUUCAGCCGUGCCCAGUGCUCCAUCUGUGCCCAGAAGGCUUCGAAGAUGGCGGUAAGUUUGGCUUCGUAGUCUGGCAUGUCUGUGUGGCGUUCAGGUGUUUCACCUGCUGCGCUUGCUGUCGCCAUUUUAGUUGCGUCUCCUGUUCGCCUGUCCUGGUGCUGUGUUUCUGCGGGUUGUAGGCUCAGCUUAUAGCCGCCUCUCCAGUUGCUUGUUGUGGACCGAGAUGACCCCCAUCGGUCCAGAGGGGGGGGUAGGAGGUGAUGCCCUCGAGGUAUCCCCCGACCAGGUCAGUCAGCGCAGGAAGCGGCCCUCUCCCCGGCGCUCGAUCUCCGGUAGGCAUCAGGGCUCUUUGUUGGGUUCCCGGUGGGGUAUCAGCUUGAGUUUGGUGUCGGGCUAUUCUCCCUGGUAUCCCGGACAUGAUUUCUCGUCUCCGGUGCGCGACUGUGCCGUGUUUUUGGGGGGUUUACCCCUGAAAAGUACAAGAAUUAGCAGGAUCUGAAGUGUAGCACAGCCGCUCAACCUGAGUGCCAGGCUCCGCCCCCGUAUGUGUGUGUUUUUAACAGUCGCAAUGCAUCAGAAAGAUUUUCUAGUAAAAUCAAUCAACAUUCCAUCCACACUUCUAGUACAUUCGUCAAUCAUUCGGACGCAAGUUAGGUCAUUGAGAAAUCUGGGAUAACUCUUAGAAUCAGUUAAGUGUGAAAUUCACAGAAUAAAGGUCUUAUUUAAACUUCUAGAACAUAUAUUUUUUUUUUGUAUAGGUCCAAUUGAUUAUUCAUCAAAAAAUAACCUUUCUCCAAAGAGCCUUGAUAAUUAAUUUGAGAUCUUAUUUCAUGCCAAUUGUGGUGUGCUUGCUUUUUCCUAUGUCUGGUUAUGCAUAUUUUAGCUGCCAGCAUAAUAUGGAUCACUAGAUUAAGUGAAAAUGUAUCAAUUUGGGGAGGGUCUAAAUGGAGAAGAAAAACCUGCGGGGUCAAUAAUGUCUCUUACCCCAGAAUAUUUGAGCGUAGUGAAUUUAGAUUAUUUUUCAAAGUGUCCAGCCGCGAACAAUCCCACCAAAUAUGGAGAUUUGAUCCCUUAUCAUUGCUACAUCUCCAGCAUUGAUCGGUGUGGUCAUUGUACAUUUUGUUUAAUUUAGAUUUGACCAUAUACUACCUGUAUAAUACUUUAAAGUACAACUUAAUCAAAUUUACACACUGUAUACCUUUUUUAACCUGUUUGAUGCUUUGUUUCCAGAUAUGUGGCUCAAACGUUUUCUUAAAAUCAAAUUCCCAUUUCAGUAUCGGAGGCUCUUUCACAAAAUUAUCAUUAAAGGGACAGUAUAGUCCCCAAGGUCCCCCAGGUUUUAACCCUUCAGAUGUAAACAGCAGUUUCAGAGAAACUAUGUUUAUGUUGCAGGUUUAAUCCAACCUCUAGUGGCUGUCUUCCUGACGGGUUUGUUUUCCUGACACUAUAGUGAUCCUUUAAUGCUAAGAAAUUUAAGUAACCAUGAUAUUCUUUUCUGAGGGUUGUGAUUAUCUAUCUUUUUUUGACUCUCAGAUAUGUGAACACUUCCACUGGGGCAAGUGAAUAGAUGGUCUGUAAUAGAUGGAAGGGAGUUAAAGGACCCUUAGAAAAAAUAUUUGAGAGAUGACUAAUACCACAUCUGUUCAAAUCCAAAUCUCUAACGUUCAGUUCUAAUAGUUCUAGUGGAGAAGAUUGUGAAAUUCCAUUUUUUUGAUAAAACAUUUUUUCCUUAUAGUUUUGACCGUACUCACAGUUGCCCUAAUAAUAGGGUUCUUUGUCAUUUUAUCUAAUGGCCAUCUCUCGUCUAUACAAAAACAAUCGAAAAGAAAAUCCACUUUAAACUAUUGGGUUUCAAUUCCUUUCCAUAAGUUAGAAGUGUUGUAAUUUUUGUCCCAAGCUAAAUAAUGGGAUAGCAUACAGGCUUCAUGUAACGCAUGUACGUCUGGGAAUCCAAGGCCUCCAUUUCGCCCUGAUUUCUUAAGUAUUGUUUGAGGUUUCUUACUGGCCCAAAUAUACUUAGAGAUGGCUGCUUGAAAGAAGUUCAAGAUUUUGUAACUAACUCUAAGUGGGAUUGUCCUAAAUAAAUACAUUAUUUUUGGAAGCAAGUAGCCUUUUGUUGAUUUCUAUCCUACCCAACCAAGGUAGUUCAAACCUGCUCCAUUUCUUAAAAUAUGUACUAAAUUCUUCUAUUAGCUUUAGAUAUUUUGUACUGAUCAGAUCAUGAUUUUGUAAUCUUUACCCCCAAGUAGUUCAUGAAUCUAUGGUCCCAAUAAAACUCAUAGCUGCCCUUAAGCUGUUUCUUCUUUAAACUAAUAUCUGUGUCUUAAUUAUGUUAAUUUUAAAAUUAGAAAAUUCACCAUAUUCCGUCAUCAGUUUCAAUGCUGCCGCUAUGGACUCGAGGGGGUUCGUCAGUCAGUUCUGUUUGCACUGUACUUCUUCUUUUUGUCUGAUUAGAACCGCUAGAGGUUCCAUAGCCAGGAUAUAGAGCAUGGGAGCAAAUGGGCAGCCCUGCCAUGUUCCGUUUUUGUUUUUGUUUUUUUUAAAAAUAUAUAAGUGUUGUGAUUCCAUAGCCGGGCCAAUGAGUUUUGCAGAUGGAUCAGUAUAUAUAGUCAUGAUACUAUCUCUGAAGUUACCUAUAAUACCAAAUUCUUGUUAAACUAGAUCCAGAAAUUGCCAGUCCAGCCUAUCCAACACCUUUUCGGGCAAUAGUUUCUAUAUUCAUGUCACAGCCUUAAUUUGAUUUUCUAAAAAGUAAAAGCGAGAUUUUUGAACAGAAUAAUGUUCUGCUUUGUAUUGUGUAUGAACUCUUGCUUGCGCGUUCAAGGUACAUUAAGUUUAUGGCCAAUUCCAUGGAUUCUGUUGCAAAGAGAAGUUUGAAAGUACUUAUCUUGAAUUCAGCAAUAACCUGACCAGAAACUGGAAUGCAAUGAGUAGACAUUUUGUUAUAGAUGGAGUGGGAGUAUAAAAGCAUGAUUUAUGCAUGUUACUUAUUACUUGAUUUUAAUAUUCUUAAUAUGAGUUUAUUUUGGAUAAUUACUAUUAUAUAUAAUAUAUGGCUAGUGGAGUUAAUUUAUAAUGUUGGCGGUUAAACAGAUUUUCUCUUGAAAAUGUUCAUGGUGAUUUUUAAAAGGACAGUCUAAGCAACAUAACCACUAGAGCUCUGUGUAGUUAUUAUGCUACCAUCUGAUCCUUUUAACUUACAUUUUUUUUUUUAUAUAUUUUUUUUUUCUUUCUUCUUUAAUCUGCUCCCAAAUCGUUUGAAUAAAAAAAUGUUGAUUUUAUUCAUAGAUCAACAUAGGGGGGAAAAGGAACUGUGGGAAAAAAAAACCCCAGUAUAUAUUAAACAGUUUGAAAAAAUACAGGGGUUCCGUAGCAUAUGCAGUUACCCCUUCCCUUGCCGUAUUACUUAUAUGGAAUUUACACUUGGCUUUUGACACUGUUCCACAUAGAAGGCUUAUCAAUAAACUGCAAUCUUUAAGUUUGGAUUCCAAUAUUGUUGAAUGGGUAAGGCAGUGGCUGAGUAACAGGCAACAUAGGGUUGUAGUCAAUGGAGUAUAUUCGAAGCAUAGUUUGUUACCAGUGGGGUACCUUAGGGAUCUGUACUUAGACCCAUUCUCUUUAAUAUUUUUAUUAGGGAUAUUGCAGAAGGUCUUGAUGGUAUGGUAUGUCUUUUUGCUCGUGGUCACUACUCUAUCCUAAAUCUCCUUGACCUGUCUGCGGCUUUUGACACUGUUGAUCAUCAACAGCUUCUUCUCAUCCUCCGCAAUAUCGGUCUACAAGAUAUUGCUCUCUCCUGGUGCUCCUCCUACCUCUCCCAGCGCUCUUUCAGUGUUUCUUUCUCUGGCUCUGCUUCUUCUCCCCAACUGCUCUCUGUUAGUGUCCCCCAAGGUUCAGUCCUUGGUCCCCUACUGUUCUCCAUCUAUACUGCCUCCCUUGGUAAACUCAUUAGCUCCUUUGGCUUCCAAUAUCAUUUCUAUGCAGAUGACAAGCAAAUCUACCUGAUCUCUCCCUGUCCCUCUUGACUAGUGUCUCUGACUGCCUCUCUGCUGUUUCUAACUGGAUGGCUGCCCACAUCCUUAAACUAAACUUGACCAAAACUGAAAUUCUGGUCUUUCCUCCCUAUAGUGUUGUUACUCCUGUGUCUGUCUCCCUCCAAGUCAACGGUGCUACCAUCAGCUCCACCACGCAGGCUCGCUGCCUAGGUGUUCUCUUUGACUCCGACCUCUCCUUCAAGCCUCAUGUUCAAUCUGUCGCCAAAUCCUGUCAUUUUCAUCUCAAAAACAUUGCGCGAAUCCGCCCCUACUUAACGCCAGAUGCGACUAAGGUGUUGGUCCAUUCCACUGUCCUUUCUCGCCUUGACUACAGUAAUCCGCUUCUCAGUGGUCUUACGUGCUCCCAACUAGCUCCAUUACAGUCCAUAAUGAAUGCGGCAGCGAGGCUCAUCUUCCUGUCCGCCCGCACCUCCCAUGCCUCACCCUUCUGUCAGUCCCUACAUUGGCUUCCUAUAAAAUAUAGAGCUCAAUUUAAAAUUCUGGUUCUUGCUUUCAAAUCUCUACAUAAUGCUGCUCCCACCUAUCUAUCCUCCCUUCUACACAAGUAUGUCCCGUCUAGGCCCUUACGAUCUGCUGAAGACUUACGUCUAUCUUCUGUCCAUACUCCCACCUCUGAUGCUCGCUUUCAAGAUUUAUCGAGGGCUGCACCGUUCCUGUGGAACUCGCUUUCCUCCUCCGUUAGAUGCUCACCCAGUCUCCACUCCUUCAAAAAAUCGUUAAAAACCCACUUCUUCAUAAAAGCGUAUCAAUUAAACUGUUAAUAGCUCCUGACUGAGUCCUCUUCUGCAACUUUCACUAGUCUAAUACUAUCCUUACCUUUUUGUGUCAUUUUACCCCACUUCCUCUAACAUGUAAGCUCAUUGAGCAGGGCCCUAAACCCCUCUGUUCCUGUGUGUCCAACUUGUCUGGUUACAACUACAUGUCUGUUCGUCCACCCAUUGUACAGCGCUGCGGAAUUUGACGGCGUUCUAUAAAUAUCAUAAUAAUAAAAAUAAUAAUGAUGAUACUAAGAUAUGUAACAGGGUUGAUGUUCCAGGAGGGAUAAGCCAAAUGGCAAAUUAUUUAGAUAAAUUAGAAAAAUGGUCAGAGUUGUGGCUACUGACAUUUAAUGUGAAUAAGUGCAGGAUAAUGCAUUUUGGGCAUAAAAACCCAAGGGCAGAGUACAGAAUAUUUGAUACAGUCCUAACCUCAACAAAUGAUGAAAGGGAUUUAGGGGUAAUUAUUUCAGGUGACCUAAAUGUAGGCAAAGUAACAGAGCAGCAGGAAAUGCUUGCAGAAUGCUUGGUUGUAUAGAGAGAGCACUGGUGAGUGCUCACUUGAGUAUUGUACACAGAAUAUCCUUCCGGACCGGAUCUCUAGAAGGAUAUUGAUACUUUGCAGAGAGUUCAGUGAAGGGCUACUAAACUGGUUCAUGGAUUACAGGAUAAAAUUUACAAGAAAAUGUUAAAUGAUUUUAACAUGUAUAGCUUGGAGGAAAGAUGAGACAGGGGGGGGGAGUGAUAGAAACAUUUAAAUACGUAAAGGGAAUCAACACAGUAAAGGAGGAGACUAUAUUUAAAGGGACACUAUAGUCACCAGAAGGAAGGGAGCACAUUUAUAGAUUCUGACAACAUAAAUGGCAUCAGCAUACGAUUCUGUCAUGCCUUGCUGAUUUUAGAAUGUACGAGUCACUAUUGAGGCAGCUUAUGUUCAUUCAGCAGGCAGUGAGUGUACGCGCUAGCACACAUAGUCACUGGAGAGAGGCCAAUGACUACAUCAAACUCCCACCAGAUGCACAUUUUUAUAAGGGAAAAAAGUUUGCUGUAAUUUUUUUUUUUUUUUUUUCUUUUGCAAUCUCAUGUUGUUGUUUUUCUGGUUUUUUUUAAUUUUUUUUUUAGAUCUGAUUAUAUUUUUGAGAAUCCUUAAAGCAGCACUCACACCCCCUGCAAAAUGAGUACUUCAUAUAGAUACACAAAAACAACACACCUCUAUACUGCCACACAUACCAACAAUAAGUGUGUGUGUGUGUGUGUAAAUAUUUUCACCCCUCCUGGGUGGUAUGUUUAUUCCUCUUUCUUGGGUCUGCUACCAGAGGCCUUGGAGUUUGAGGGUUCUGCGCAGUAUCUUAGCCGUUCCUAGAACUGCUGCACUCGAGAAGAACCACAUUAUAGAAGGCAUAAUGGGUCUCUUGGCCUUGUCCAGUUAGGUAUGAAAUGCAUAUCUUCCCAACUGGACCGCUUAGCACUUGUGGGCCCCGGGGACAACCAGGCCACUUAACCUAGUACUGGCUGUCACUCCGGUGCCCCUCAAAACACACAGUCUCUUUCUGCGAGAGAGAGAGAAAGAUUGCGUGUUUAGAUAUUCAAGUGUCAUCUAUCUUUCAAGUGACUUUUUCACUUAGCUCAGCAGAGAAAACAUAGAAUAUCUAAGUGAUUAUGUAGGUCAUUCCUUUUAUAACGUUAUGUUACCCACUUCAAAAAGAAACAAAAAUAUCAUUUUUGGAACAGAAUGAAGUAAUAUCAUACUCCAUGAAAAAAUCUAGGGGUAGUGAAAAACUACCGCUCCUUCUUACCUCCCAAGACAAGAAGGAUCACCUAAGUUGUGCUCACAACUAGGGGUAACCCUGAAACUGAAUAAAAAUCUAACGGAAUCCCAGUCACCCUCCCUACCUUGGGAAAGAGCACAACAAAAUUUUAGCCCACCCAUGUUGCCCUGUCUGAGCUAUUGCUGACCCAUACGCAGGGCGGUGCGCACAGUUGAGGAAGGAGGUCCGUCUUGCUGGCAUACACUGAUGUGGUCAUUUUUACUGGCCACGCCCCUCCCGGUUGAUUGGCUCAUGGGCGAACUACCGGCUGACAGCCCAUUGGAUCGUGCACACAUGGCUAAUUAAAGGUAUGAUAUUUAAACUUUCUCUGUCUAUACACAUGGUUAUUCUGCCCCUGACAACGGCGUCUUAGCAUGCCGAAACGCGCGGUGCUGUGGUAUAUAGGGACAGUGGGAAAUUUAUUUGUGAAUGGAGGUUUAUUGGGACCCUAAUAUCUAUUUUGAAUCUCUGAGCCCUUUCUUUCAACUGGCCUCUGACGCAUGUCACAUGGGAGAUCUGGAGGAGUUCAGUGUUACUGUACUGACCCUCCAUUUUCCCCUGUAAUAGCAUUUUGAUGCUACCCUCCCCGAGAUGGACACCAUCCACCUCUUUAAAUCCCUUUUUAAUUGGUUUUCACACAGUUUCCUUCCUUUCUUGUGGCUUAUCAACAUGUUUUGAUAAUUAUUAAUAAAGCUUAGAUUUUUGAUAAGAUAUUUAUCUACUUUUGUUGUGUUCUUUCCCAAGGUACCCCCCUCUUUAGGGAGGGUGAAUGGGAUUCCGUUAUAAUUUUUUCACUUAAAGAAUAUUUCAAUGCUUUAUGUAAAUAUAUUUUUGGGAGUGCAAUCAUACUUUGUUUUUGUUUUGUUUUUCUGAAAGAUUAUAUCACUCCGGAACUGGAAAAAAAUGUUUUAUGUUUAAAACAAGUGUUCUGUGUUGUUGGUUAGUUAUCUUCUAACUUACACCAAUAAACCUUGUUAAAGCGUUUAUUGGGAUGAUAUGUGCUGAAUAGAUAAAUAUAAGCAGGGUCCUUAUGUAAACUUCAAAUUAGGGAUCGACCGAUUAUCGGUUUUACCGAUAUAAUCGGCCGAUAUUCAGUAUUUUCGGCAAUAUCGGUAUCGGCCAAUUCAGAUACCGAUAUUGCCGAUAAUACCUCCUGGGACCGCCAGGCUCAUUACAAGCCCGGCGGUCCUGGGGGGGAAGCGGGCAUCAAGCGCUUACUCACCUCCCAGCAGCUCCCCUGUGUAACUCUCGCGAGACCCGCGGCCGUCCGAGCGUUGCCAUGGGUCACCAUGGCAACGCUCCGCGCGACACGCUGGCCGCGAGAGUUGCACUGGGGAGCUGGAGGAGCUGCUGGGAGGUGAGUAAGCGCUUGCUGCCCGCCUCCCCCCAGCUCAGCCAAUACCACUGGACCACCAGGGACUGCUAUAUCCCCCUCCCUGGCCAGGUAUGAAACAGGGAGGAGGGACAACAAAAAUAAAUAUUAAAUAUAUAUUAAAAAAAUGUAAUAAAAAAUGCCCCCCCUCACACACACACUCCAUUAUAUACACAUACACUACACAAACACACUGUGUAUAUAAUGCAGUGUGUGUAUAUAAUGCAGUGUGUUUGUAUAAUGUGUGUAUAUAAUGUAGUGUUUGUGUAAUGUGUUUAUAUAAUGCACACUACACAAACACACUGCAUUAUAUACACACACACUACACAAACACACUGUGUAUAUAAUGCAGUGUGUAUACAAUGCAGUGUUUGUGUAGUGUGUGUAUACAAUAUAGUGUGCGUAUAUAAUGCAGUGUGUAGUGUGCGUAUAUAAUGCAGUGUGUGUAUAAUGCAGUGCGUGUAUACAAUGCAGUGUGUGUGUGUGUAGUGUGCUUAUAUAAUGCAGUGUGUUUAGUGUGUGUAUAUAAUUAAUGCAGUGUGUGUUUGCAUAGUGUGUUUAUAUAAUGCACACUACACAAACACUGCAUUAUAUAUAUAUACACACACACUAUACAAACACACACACUCUGCAUUAUAUAAACACACUACAUUCGUUAUAUACACUACAUAAACACACACACUUUGCAUUUAGUAUAUACUGCAUUCAUUUUACACACACUACCCACACACUACACAAUCACUCUGCUUUCAUUAUAUACACACACUACACUAAUACACACUGCAUCCACUACACACUAGACAAAUACACACUGCAUCCACUACACACUAGACAAAUACACACUGCAUCCACUACACAAACACACUACACAGACACACACUGCAUCCACACACACACUGCAUCCACACACACACACUACACAAACACACACUGCAUCCACUACACAAACAUACACUGCAUCCACUACACACACUACACAAACAUACACUGCAUCCACUACACAAACACAUACAGCUCCCCUGUCUAAACACACUGUAUACACUACAUGUGGCAUGUAUAUUUUGUGCAUUUACCUUUAGAAAUAGUUGUUAUUUUCCAAAAUGGUAAAUGUACAGAAUAUCGGCAAAUUAUAUCGGCUAUCGGCCUGAAAGUUCACGGAAUAUCGGUAUCGGUAUCGGCUCUAAAAAAUCAAUAUCGGUCGAUCCCUACUUCAAAUCGCAAAAUUGAGUUUAAAAUAUUUAAUUUAGAAAGAUUCUCCAAUCCAGCCGCAAGUUGGUAAUCUUACACUGUUGUGCGAUUCCAAAGUUCAGAGUUUAGUAAAUAUCCCUGAAUGACUGUGUUGCACCACCAUUUGUUAGGUGCCCUCAUCUUUUCAUGAUGGCAUGCAUGCUUGGAAUCCACUUGAGAUCUUUUAAUUUCAUGGUUCUCUUGCAGGAAAUUAUAAGACUGAAAGGGACACUAUAGUCACCAAAACAACUUAAGCUUAAUGAAGCAGUUCUUAUGCAUAGACCAGGAGUUUCCAAAUCCGCGGCCUGGGACCAUUAGCAGUGCGGCUCUGUUGCCGUUCGCACUGUUGGGUGGCAGGAAGCACUUUACAUACUGUGCUGCUCCUGGAGAGCGCUCGUGCAGGGAGCUGGCCGCCUUGUUAUGACGUCAUCUUGGCAUCACUGCUGGGCGCACAACAGAGCUAUCAAGGAGGAGCACAGAGCUUCCAGCCCAGCAGCAACCACUGGAGAGAAGAUCCAUUCCAGCCCUCCCAGAGCAAGUUAGGUACUGAAUGUAUGCAUGUAGUUUUUGUGUAUGUUUUGUCAGUGGUUAUGUGUGUGUGUGUGAUGGGUGGUCUGUGAUUGUGUGUGGAGGAUGGGUCUGUGUGUAAGUCAGUAAUUAUGUGUUUGUGGGUCUGAGUGUGUGUGCGUGUGUGCAGGGCUGCCAUCAGAAAUGUUGGGGCCCCUGACACAGCUCAAGGUCUGGGCCCCCCGGUGCCUGCACCCGAGUCCGCCCAAAGUGCUGCCCCUCCCUCCCCCCGAAUCCGCCCACAGGGAUGCAGUGUCUGCAGGGCCGGUGCAAGGAUUUUUGCCGCCCUAGGCAAAAGUAAAGUUUGCCGCCCCCCCAUGUGACAUCACAAUGCCCCACCCAUAUGAUCUGCCAUGUUAACUAACACCAGUGCUGCAGUGCCGCCGUGUUUACAUUAAAAGGCCUGCAGGGACAGGCUAGACACCAGAACCACUACAUUAAGCUGCAGUGGUUCUGGGGACUAUAGUGUCCCUUUAAUGUGAGGUAAAUUAGAGAUUAGUGCCAUGAAUAAUAUACUAGAUUGCCUACUUACAACCAGAUGAGGAUGAUGAUGGGCUCUAGCUGCCGUCUGGCUCCACUGGUCUGGUGUAGAACAGGCUCUCUGGAGGCGGUUUGUAACUGUGGUCACAAAAAUCAAUGUUCUGGGAGAACGGGAAGCAGCUCCAUUUUUUUGAGGGCCCUUUACACAGCUCAAGGUCUGGGUCCCAGGGUCCACCUUCAUGUUCCAAUGAGUUUGUUCACAAUGAGUUUGUUCACAGGGGGUGGAGUGUGUGUGUGGGGAUGUCCUGAUGUGUGUAAGGAAUGCAUUGUGUGAAUCUGUGUUUGUAUGUGUAAGGGCUGCAAGAUGAGUUGUGUAUGUAUGGGAUGCAGUGUGUGCGUCUGUAAGGGAUGCAUUGAGUGUGUGUAAGGGGUGCAUUGUGUGUUGCUGUGUGUAAGGGAUGCAUUGCUUGUGUACGUGUGUCUGUGUGUAAUGCAUUGUGUGUUUUUCUGUGUGCAAGGGGUGCAUUGUGUGUGAUGAAUGUCAGUCUCUCCCCCUCCCCCCCUCUCCCUCCAAUUUCCUUCUUCUCCCCCUCCCUCUCCAAUUUCCUUCCUCUCCCCUCCAAUUUCCUUCCUCUCCCCCGUCACUCAAAUUUCCUUCCUCUCCUCCGUCCCUCAAAUUUUCCUCUCCCCCGUCCCUCAAAUUUCCUUCCUCUCCCCCGUCCCUCAAAUUUCCUUCCUCUCCCCCAUCCCUCAAAUUUCCUUCCUCUCCCCCGUCCCUCAAUUUCCUUCCCUCUCUCCCUCCCUCGGAUUUCCUUCCUCUCCCCCUCCUCUCUCAAAUUUAAUUCCUUUCCCCUCCUCUCUCAAAUUUCAGUUCCUUUCCCCCAAGUUCGUUCCUUUCCCCUCCAUUUCUGUCCCCCCUCCCCUCGAAGAUUUGAUUCCUGUCCCCUCAGUUUGAUUCCUGUCCCCCCUCCCUCAAAUUUCCGAUUUCCAGCCCCUCCAUAAAUUUCGAUUUCCUCCCCUCCCAUUUCAUUCCUCCCCAUAAAUUUCAUUUCUUCCCCUCCGACACCGGUUGGGUCAGCUUGGCCCAGCCCAGUUACUCUGUGUGUGCUUCCUCUUCAGCUCCCUCGCGCACUGUAUUGAUGCCGGAGCCGGAAGAUGACGUCAUCUUCCGGCUCCGGCAUCAGUACGGUGCGCGAGGGAGCUGAAGAGGAAGCACACAGAGAGUGCUCCCUCGCGCGCCGGCUGGCUUUCAGGGCCAGCCUCUGGGGGCCCUGAGGUGACUGGCUGCUGGGCCCCCCAGGAGAAGAGGCUGGCCCAGUGGGUACAUACCGGGUCACCCUGCGACCCGGUAUGUACCAACUGAAUGUGGGGCCCGGACGACCUGAGCAGUCCGGGCCCCCAGGGCCGCUGGGCCCAUGACAACCGUUGCGGUUGUCAUGCCCUGAUGGCGGCCCUGCCUAUAUACACACACUCGCUACAUCCCCUAUGCACACUAUGCCCCUAUACACACACUCUCUCUACAGCCCCUAGCCAUACAUAUUACACCACAAACACAAAUGAAAUCGACCUAUUUACACAAUACCACACCACAAUCAGCUUACUCUACACACAGGCAAUCCUACAAACCGGCUCCAAACACAUGCACUAUACACUUUCCUGGCCCUUUUGUCCUCUGAUAUCCCANNNNNNNNNNNNNNNNNNNNNNNNNNNNNNNNNNNNNNNNNNNNNNNNNNNNNNNNNNNNNNNNNNNNNNNNNNNNNNNNNNNNNNNNNNNNNNNNNNNNCAGGCUUACUGGAUAAACCCCAAGUUUUGGUUCGAUUUUAAUAGGUGGAAUAUUGCGGGCCAGUCCUGGUGGGUUGUUCUCUGCCCAAACUCCUGGUAUAUUAAAUAAGGAUUCAUCACUCCUCGGGUUUUGGCUAGUCAACACUGUAUAAAGUCGCCACUCUUCUUCCUUUGGUACGGACAAUGUCAUAAUACCUGAAGGUCCAUUAAACUUUAAGGAUGUUGUUCCAUUUGGUUGGAACGUAAUCUGCGCUUGUAAUUUGGAUAGCAUAUCACGUCCCAGCAAUUGGACUGGACACUCAGGCAUAUAAAGGAAUUGAUGUUUUACUACGUGGCCUCCCAAUGUACAGAGUCGACUUUUAAGAACCGGGUUUUCAGCACUUCUUCCAGUUGCUCCUAUUACAGUAAUAGUUCUUCCAGAUGGAGGAGCAACUAGAUUAGUCACCACCGAAUGUUCAGCACCAGUGUCGAUCAUGAACGCACUCCUUUUUCCCCUAUUGAUACAUCGACCAUAGGCUCCGCUCGACCAAGGGGGAUGGAGCCCGGUCGGUAUCAAUAGUCCUCCAUGACCGUGUCAGCCAAUCCCACAAAGUCCCUACCUUCUCUAUCGCGAGACCUUUGCGCUGCUGGAUAGUACCUAUCUUCCUUACACUUCCUCUGUUCCCAUUACUCCCUCUAUUACCAUUACUCCCUCCGGGGCCUCCUCUACCUCUCGCUCUGCCUCUAAAGUUUCCGUAACCUGCCCUGGGUAAGUCUCUCUCAUACUGCUCUCUUUGUGGACACUCGUUCCUCCAAUGCCCUUCUUCCUUGCAGUACGCGCACUGAUUCCUACUCAAAGGCUCCCUAUUCCAUCUACCAUCGCCUCUAUCUGGGCCCCGUCUAUCUACGCCUGCGAUCGCUACCGCUAGCAUAUCUGCCUUUCUACGCAUCUUGCGCUCUUCCUCUUUCUUACUUUCUGUUUCCCUAUUCAUAUAUACUUUGUUCGCUACCUCCAUUGGUUGGGUGAUAGACAUACCUGCAAACCCUUCUAAUUUCUGUAGCUUGCGCUUAAUAUCUCCGUAAGCUUGGCUGACAAAGGCGGAGUUUACCAUUCGGGAAUUAUCAGCGUCUUCCGGAUUAAAGGGGGUAUACAAGCGGUAUGCCUCCAAUAAUCGGUCAUAAAAGACACUGGGCGCUUCAUCACUUUUCUGAAUCACCUCAACUGUCUUCGACAUGUUAAUAGCUUUCUUCCCUCCGGCUUUCAUGCCAGCAAUUAUAGCAUCUCUAUAGGCUUUAAGUUGAGCCAUAUCUGCGCCAUUUACAUUCCAGUCAGGAUCGGUGUUAGGGUAAUGUGUUGCGGCCCAUGCUGCCGGAUUGGCUUGAUUUAAAGCACGGGCUCUCUCCUCUAGCGCCUUAAUGGCCGCUUGGUUAAUCCUUGUCCUUUCCUCAUUAUUGAACAAUGUCAUUAAUAACUGCUGGCAAUCAGCCCAUGUCGGGUUAUGUGUCUGAACUAUCGAGGUGAACAGAUCGGUCAUAGCUUGUGGUUUCUCAGUGUACGAGGAAUUGUGGGUCUUCCAAUUCAAGAGAUCGGUAGUCGUGAACGGGACAUAUACGAAGACUGGGUCAGCAUGUGCCAUUUGACCUGCGGCAUCGAUAUAGGCUGACCCAGGAUUCAGACGAAGAGGCAUCUGAUAAUGUUUUAAUUGUUGGGUACCGGUCAGUUGUCGGGUUAGUAUGGGGCUACGUGGAGGGGCGUCAGUUAAAGGUUCCGGUCGAGAGGUAAUAGGGCAUGAGGAUGUGGGAACUUGAUUUUGGGAAAAGUUGGUGAAUAGUAUACUCCGAGCCGAGCUAGAAGAAGCUUGACCGGAAGUUUGAAGUGGCGCCAAAUCAGGAUAUUCAGAUCUAAUGGGGGUUGGUCCUGGUUCCGGAAGGGGAGUUUUAAUACGAGGUGGGGUGGAUUCUGUACUGGAGGAGGAAGCGGAAGUGGAUGGGGCAAUAGGGGAAGGGGUGCAGAACUUCCUGCAUUCGCGUCACUUCCUCUUAAAGGAAAGUAAGGGGGCGGCAAAGGGAUCUCGGACUCAGGGGGCGUGUCCAAAAUGGGCCUAACACCAGUUCUAGUGGACAAACAAGUCCUGGCCACCAUGAGGCGACAUUGCUCCUCGUGGCAUAUCCGGAUCCAUUUUGGCGAGUCGUUUACGGCCUGCCUCCAACAAUCAAUGUAUGGAAACUGUCCGUAAAGUUCAGGCCUACCUGAUACAGCCACGUGUACACGCUGUACCAGGGUUGGAUCCAAACUGCCACGCGGCGGCCAUGCCGCAACCAAAGUAGGCCACUCCCUAGUGCACAAAGUGACCAAGCGUACAGGAGACAUUUUAACCCCAAAAUCACAUGUUUUGAAUCCCUUUUUAAAAUUCUUUACCAUACAACCUAAGGGAUCCGAAAUCGUUGACUCUGACGCGCCCAUACUUAUCAAUGGAACGUCGUUGACAACGAAUACUAUGCACGCGUUCUUAUUCAACAGUCACACCCGUUUCCUCUGGCAACAGCACCACGUGGUACAGUUACCGAGUGAAACGUACACAAUAACACAAUAAUCACUCAGGGAAUUCCCGUACACACACAGCUGUUACACCAGUCACUAAAUAAUCAAUAUUAUGCCCUUUGGCGAAACUAUACAGUCACCCACGCUAUAAUUCUCUAUAUAUGAAUUACCCGUCUAUAACACACCCCAGUAACAUCGUCUUUUACUAGUAUCGGUUACAGUACGGUUAGCAUAGGUCAAAGCACAAUUUAAGGUCACAAUACAAUUAUUAGUGGUUACGGUGUUAAACAUGCAAUAGGCGACAAUGAUUAGUACUUAUAUACAGUGUCAGUAAAUAUACAGGGUUAUGGUACCGUGCACUAUGAUACAGCAACACACUAUUAACACUCUCGCUAGACGGCUGAGCUCGCGCUAUCUAACAAGAUAUACACUUUACUAACAAUCUUUAACACAUUUACAAUCCCAACUAAACUAUUGGCCAGUACCUUGAAUGGACUACCUAAAACUAUAUACACCCGUUUUGGUUAGCCACACUGCCCAAGCACCACAUAUAGCGAACUAGAGGGCGGAAUUUACAAAAUUGCCCUUCUAGUCUAUUUACUCUAUCAAAAGUCUAGUGGGUUCCAAAUUUACACGCCUUCCCACUUAGCCAAGAUAGGUUGAGAGCUAGCGAACCGAAUUUACACAGGCGCCGCUUAGUCUCCCGGUCCCUCCGACCUAGCGAACGUAAUAUACACCCUAGAACGCUAGUCUAGACAAGACACCGGUGUCCGGCUAGGGCUAUUUACACAGGACCCCGCCUGACUAACCAGAUCAAACGGUCUUACUAAAGAGCGUUCGAUCGAGCGGUGCGCCUUCGCUCCUUCCCUCCGACAGAGGGGGCAGAUUCCAUACACAGAUUUAAACCCCUUUUGGGCCUACCGCACAAUCGGUAUACCCCUAGUGGGUCUGCCGUCUAAAACAGCAGUUGUCUUACCUCCUCGUUCCUGAACCUGAGUUCACACUCAUCGACGGGGACACCCCAGCACUUCUUACGUAGAGGCCGAUGAUCUCCUGGACAACAGACCAGUGGCGCCGAGACGAAGGGAGGUCCACGCAGAAGUUCAGGGGUGCAGCCGUAGAGAACGUGGGCAAAGAUAGACCGUCUCACGCCUCUGCCUCUCAGCUACCGUUGAACGAUGAGUUCCCGGCCAAUGCACCAAAUGAUACCGGAGAAACUGACGGAAGCAAAGCACAGAGAGAUGGACACAGGUUUCUUCAGGAAGGAAGAGAUUCUUUAUUGGAUCACCGAUCGGGACUCAGAGGGACUAAUGUCACCAAAAAUACAGCAAGUUCUGAGCCCUGAACAAUAGUGCAGGCCCCUAUAUAGGCACAUAACUCCUCCCAUAUUAAGCUCCACCCGCACAUUCUCUUGACCAAUCAUUACAAAUAAGAAUUAACUUCCUGCUUGACCGCAUGGCUUGUCCAGCACAAUGGAGGAGGGGAAUACUACAUCCUGUAUUCUUGCACAUGCUCCGUACACUACUGAUCGUAUCUUGCCUCGUGCAACCAACUGAUCGAUACGUCAGCAUAUGCACGUACACAUGCCACGUGGUAAUCUCGGCCUACUAAAUUUAUUUUUACCGAGAUUCCACCACACUAGCAGCCAGAGAGUUCUAUUUUUACCCUCAACUUGAGUCCUGUCUCUUAUUGGGGGAAUCUGCUACAAGGGAUUGCUAUGCUAGGCAUAUUCCCUUGCUAUAAUCACUGAGCUCUUGUAAGAGCUUGUUCCUGCUUCGUUCUGAAGGGAGAUAGCUGCAGCCUGCGGUGCUUAUGGUGUCUGGUGGAGUGCUUGGAGUCCUCUGGAAGCGCUAGGAGCAUCUUUCAACGGAGGUACCCAGUCGGGGUGCCAGGUGAUCCGUUACAUUGGUGGCAAGCGGCGGGAUGGCAUCCUAGUGCGAGGAGAAGCAGCUCGGAGACACCGGUAACGUGUGGAGUUGUGCAGCGUCCUUAUCUUCAGCAACAUAAUGGAACCAGCAGUGGCUACAGCAAGCAUGGCGUAUAGCUACUCCGUACUAGAGUUUGGCACGAUGGUAGGGUUGCACCUGAAGUUUUACGGACCCAAUCCAGAGGAGAAAUACGUGCGGUUCGUGUGGGACAUGGUGACCCGGAACCUACAACACAGGGCGUUGAGGGAAGGCCAGUGGGCACGUUGGGAGAAACUCCAGCCACAGGUAGAGUGGGACGAGGAAGAAACCGAGGUGGCCGGUGGAGAUGGGACCGAGGUCUCUCUACCGGCCCUACAGGGAUGCUGGGCACCCGGCCCAGAUCCCCAGCGGCAGUAUGUUUUACAGGGAGGGGAGACAGUCGGUCUCACUCCCCAGCGGCAGAAUGUGUUAUUGGAGGAAGAGACAACCGGUCUCCCUCCCCAACAGCAACCAGAGGUACCCGAGGUAGAGGACCUCAUAGACUGGUCCUGGGAGGACCCCAUAGACUGGUCCUGGGAGGACCCCCUGCAGGCAGGUGGAGAUGGGACCGAGAUCUCUCCACCGGCCCUACAGGGAUGCUGGGCAACCGGCCCAGAUCCCCAACUAGAGCUGGAGUUACAGAAAGUGGAGAGCAUCGACCUCCCCCCCCAGCAGCAGCCGGAGUACCAGGGGGAGGUAAGUGAUAUUUCUCCUCCCCAGCCAACUCCUUUGUUCCCUGACCCCCCAGCAGAAGAGCUGGCAACUGGGCAGAGCGCCGCUGGCCUCUGUCCUCCCUUGUUUCCUUCCCCUGAGCCUGACUUUCUACAGGCUGCCCCAGCGGAAGGUGCCGUCCUUCCUCCCCAGCGGCAGUGCGUACCCCAGGGAGCUGAUGGUGUCGUCCGUCCUCCCCAGCAGCAGUGUGUAACCCAGGGAGCCGAAGGUGUCGUCCUUCCUCCCCAGCGGCAGUGUGUACCCCAGGGAGCUGAAGGUGUCGUCCUUCCUCCCCAGCGGCAGUGUGUCCUGCAGGGAGCAGAGACCGUCAGUCUCACACCCCAGCAGCAGGACAAAAUAAUGAAAGGGGAGACAGCUGGUCCGCCUCUCCACCAGCAGAGAGAGUGUCAGGGAGAGGAGCCUGUUAACCCCUCUCCCCAGCGGCAGUUGACAGUCCAGAGAGAGGAGCUUGUUACACCCUCUCUCCAGCGGCAGCCUAACCCACCAAGGGGAGAUGUUGAGCCCCGCAACUGUGCAGAUGGGACCGUAGUCUCUGCGCUUACAGCCCAAGGGGUAGAGACGGUCGGUCCUGUUCCCCAGCCCCAGAGCUGUGUACCCAGAGGGGAGACGGUCGGUCUCCCCCUCCCACAACCAGGCUCCAAUCAGGCUACUUCGGUGGUAGCACUGGCACCAGGGCAGAGUACCGCUGGUCUCUGCCCACUCAGCAACCCACCAAGGCAGUCUACCAGCUCCCCACACAGCCGUGGUGAGGCACCUGGACAUGGACAAGUUGCUACUUUAUCCAGGUGGAGUAAACAUUUAUUGUGGGUGGGCUGUACUGCUGUUUGUGCUUCGUGGGUGGGUUGCUGGACUAACCAGGGCACUGACCGGCAGGAGGUCAGAUACCCUGUUAGUCUGGGGGGCAAAGGGGAGAAGUGUGGCAAAACCGACCUCGCCACGUGUCCUUGGAGGGGGCUGCUUGCCCGCCUCUUGCCUUUGGACUAUGGCCCUGCAGGUUAAACUGUUUAUUUUCCCUGCAGAAAGGCUUAUUCGUGUGAUCUGAGUGCCAUUCAUCUAAUAAUGUGCAGUCAGAUCCAAGCUAUCUGGGGAUAUGUAGAAAUGUGUGUUUUAUGUACUAAAUGUGUCAGUAUGUAAUUUUAUGUCUUUUACUGUCUUUUUGUCUGCCAUGUGGGUAAUGGAGUUUGGCUCUGUCUUUGGAGAUAAUUAGAUUCCUUCUCCAAUUAUCUCCAGGGCAGAAGGGAGGAAGCCAGGAUGCAUUGUGGGGAUGUUUUACUUUUACUGUUUGAGCCAGGGGGAACAAAAGAUACUUUUACUAACUUUUGAACCCCUGGUCUGAUUCAUGCCAUUUUUUAAUAUGUUGUUCCCCUGAAUGGAUUGAUUGUGAAUAUGUAUUUUUAUGCGAAUGUGAUGUAUAUUUUGGGAGUUAUGAAUGUUGUGUAAAAACUGUAUUUUCCCUACCUAUGAUAAUUGUAUUUUCCUGUGUGUACAGAUAAUUAGUUUACAGGUAGAGGGGAGGGCUAUGUGUGGGAUGUAACUAUUGUGUGAUUGGUUAAUGUACGUUACUGUGUGUGUCCCUCCCCUUCAUGGGAGCACCUAAUAAAAAGGGCUGCAAGCUAGCAGCCAGAGAGUUCUAUUUUUACCCUCAACUUGAGUCCUGUCUCUUAUUGGGGGAAUCUGCUACAAGGGAUUGCUAUGCUAGGCAUAUUCCCUUGCUAUAAUCACUGAGCUCUUGUAAGAGCUUGUUCCUGCUUCGUUCUGAAGGGAGAUAGCUGCAGCCUGCGGUGCUUAUGGUGUCUGGUGGAGUGCUUGGAGUCCUCUGGAAGCGCUAGGAGCAUCUUUCAAUGGAGGUACCCAGUCGGGGUGCCAGGUGAUCCGUUACAGCAGCCAACUAUUUCAAUUGCCUAUAUAUAUUUAUAUAUAUAUAGAUAUAUAAAUAUAAAAACACCCUACAUAGCACAAUGACUUAUGCCGCUGGCAUAGAUUUUUUUUCCAGGGCUGCUUCGUAUCCCCAGUCCGACCCUGGACACAGUGGUAGUGUGAGGAAGAGGGUGAUUAGUGACAGUGAGGGGGUGACACAGUGACAGCGUGAGGGAGGGGGUGACUAGUGACAGUGACUCCCCAUCUUCCCCUUUUCAUUUCUACCUCUCUCUCUGCUCCCUCUGGUCUCUCCAAGGCUGAUGCUCCUUUACCCUGCUGGCUGUGAGAGGGCUCUGUGUGAGAGGAGAGUACAGGAAGUGAUUUCACUUCCUAGUCCCGCCUCUCCCCAUCACACAGAGCGCCACGUGGGACAGGAAGGAGACCUGGCAGAGAGAGAGAGCGCAGGUGAAGCUAAGGGUGAUGGGAAGAGGUAAUGUGCUGGGCGGUAGGUUGUGGAGCCUGUUAAAGGAAGCAUUAUUUAUUUAUUUUUUUGCCAUUCCAGUUGGAGAGAUCUCUGAUCUCUCCAGCUGGAGCAUGGCUGUGAGGCCGGGCCCCUGGCUGUCUCGGGCCCUCUGUCCAUGACCGAUUUGCCCGAGUGGUCAGUCCACCCCUGAGCAUAAUACUGUAUAUCUUUAUGAUAUGACCAAAUGUCACGACUACUAAUGUGAUCCAACACGCAAAAUUAUGUAAUAUCUACAUAGAAUACAAAAAUAGACAGAACGUAAACCAGUCCUUAGAAUGGCCAGAUUAAUAUGUUGAAAGACAGAGAAUGGUCAAGGGAAAGCCAAGGUCAAGAAAGCCAGAAGUACACAAGAUCGAUAACAAAGCCAAGUCAGGGAAACCAGAAAUCAUCAUAGUCAGCAAUUGCGAAAGUCAGAGGCUUGGCCUCUGACCCCAGAACGUACUUGUGCGUCGACAUCAUGACAUCACAAGCAUGUCCGUGUGACGAUUGGAGGUGGAGCUACAAAUGGCCGCAACCUCGUGGUUGGCGCCAAUUUGGAUCCCGCGUGUGAAGGGGACGGAUGCCCCAGCAGGUCGGCUCCCGACUCACUGCUGCACAGGUAAGCUCUUAAACCUGUCUGUGUAGUUGCACCGAUUGGGUGUGACCACGUGCAGCCGGGGGCCGCGACACAAAAUCCUCAUAUUAUUUACUUAAGAUGUAAAACACCAUGCUCGUGUAUUGGUGACAGGCCUGUCUUUGGGCACAGUGAGUGAGAAACCACUUUAGGCCCAAAAUUUACUUAUGUUACUUAGCUGUUCAUAAUGCUGAAUGUGUCAGAGGUGCUCCUAUUGGCUCUUGUCCCCGUGUCAUUUACCUGUCUAGAAGGUAACAGGCUUAGAAUUGGAGUGGACAUGGAAUGUUCUUUCACAGUUUUCCAGGUUGUAAUGAGUGUCUAUCAGAUACAAUGUCACGUUCAAAACCUACAUUCAUCAAAAUGACAACUGGUAAGCAAGCAGAGGAAAAGAGGUCACACUGUGUCCUUGUCUUGGUUUAACCAUUAGCAGCCAGAGCCAAUCCUAAAACCCAGGAGGAGAUAUAAACCCUUAUCAUCACUCUAGUAAUUCCAUGCUCUACUUAUCUGAGUGACAGAAGUUGUAUGUUUUUAAUAUGUACUAGAGUACUAGAGUUAGGUGAAAUGUGAACUUCCUGGCGGAUAUCCCUGUAAUAAAAUGUCGCUCAUGACUGUUGUGCCUGUUUUACUGUUGGUAAUUUUUUUUGUUGCAUUUUAACCUGCCUUUGCUGACAUCCAAAAUAAGCCACUAGCAAGUCAUGGUGCAUGCAAUAGUUUCUCACCCUUAGCUUCCUCUCUCACAAAACAUCUGUUUCCUAGUUUAAAGUCAUUGAGUUUCCUAAAAACUUAACUGUGCUAUUUCACAACAAUUGCUUACAUUAAGAAGCCAAGCUAAGAGAUUCUUUCAUGCCCAGCCCACAACAUAAAAUACAUUUUGGUUAAAUAACAUUAUUACAGGAGUGGCCAACAUUUGAUGACUAGGAUUACUUGUGCUUGUUAAAAAUAACUACCUUUAAAUCUACAUACCUCUGAAUCCCACACACAUAAUAGGCAAGCCCACACUCACUCAUACCAACAUACCACACUCUUGCAUACAUACAGAGUAUCCAUUUAACAAUUAAUUUAAUAAUGCAUAAGAAGGCAGCCUGUGGAAUAUUUACCUAGAUAUUUAUCUAAUAUUUAUCUAAAUAUUAAUGUUUAUGGUUUCAUUGAUGUAAUGCUUAGUUCACAGUAUAGCCAUAUGGUGUAACCGCAUCAUUAUUAUUAUUAUUAUCUCCAUUUAUAUAUACGCCAACAGAUUCCGUAGCGCUUUACAAUAUUAUGAGAGGGGGGAUUUAACUAUAAAUAGGACAAUUACAUGAAAACUUACAGAAACAAUAGGUUGAAGAGGACCCUACUCAAAUGAGCUUACAGUCUAUAGAAUUAUAUUUGUACCUAAGACAGGUGAUUUUAACUUGCUUUGAUAGAUUUAAAUCAGUACACUUUAAAUGCACAUUGAUCAUUAUUUGUGUAUAUUGUAUACAUUUGGUAAUUUCGGCGGCACCAUAAUUAAAUAUUCUGGGCAAUGCUACUCAAAAUAUCUCGUCAAAUCCUCUACUCCACUCCUAAAGAGCAAAUACACAGCUGCUUCACUGCACAGCAUGCUAAGGGUCUUGUUGACAGGUCGAUUGUGUGAUUGCCCACAGUUAAAGAUACCUUGGACACUGAGGUCACUGGGGACAAAGAGAAUCAUUUUGUUUAUCACACACCUCAGCACUUCUCACCACCCUCAUUCAAUGUCUCUCCUCUCAUUCUAAAGAUCUUCUUCAUCGUACUUCACCUCAUUCCAUGACUCCCUCCUUUCGUGCAUAUUUAUCAACCCAUCUACUUCCGCUAAUUGCAUUUUUCACAUUUAUCUGACUCUUCAUUUAAUAGAUUCAAUUUCCCUUACUAAGUGUCAUUCCACUAGUUCAGUGUUUCCCCCAUUACACCAUCACUCUACACCCCAUCAUUCCAUAGUGUGUGUUCUUUUUCUAUCUAUGGGCUCUACUCACUAGAUGGCAAUCCUUUCACCCUGUACCCCUUCAUCAUAAUUUAUUUACGCUCUCCUCAUUCCAUGACUAAAUGUCAAUUUUAUCAUUCUAUAUCCCUCACCCAUCAUCCCAUGUCCUUCCAACACUUUAUAUCUCCAUUAUUGCAUUGUGUGCUGGUCCCCUUUCUAUCCAGAUAAUCCUCUUUGUCAGUCCAUUUUUUGUAUCUUUUUUUGUGGCUGUACCAUAAACUAGGCCAAAGAAAAUCUCAAACUGCUCAGUAACAGACAGAUGUACCAUGGUUCUCUCUUUGCCAUGUUGCACUGGGGAUGGAAUACCCCAGAGUUAUAACAGUUAUUUACUAAACACCAUUUUUUUGUGAAUUGAAUGCAAACCACAAAACUGAGACAAACACAGCCAAGUUGUGACUAUGGCUCUGUUGGAGAAUUUUUCCCGAUCAUCUAUAUUUUGGAUUUAAUUAGCAAAAAUGUAUAUAACCUUAAUAGGUCCCUGUGUUAGACUUAAAUGAACAUUCCAUGGACCAUAACCACUACAGCCCACUGUAGUGGUUAUGGACUCUCUUAGCGUAAUCUGUCAAACUGUUUUAGAAAGGUUUGUCAAUCUACCUGGGUACGCAGGCCCUAUCCUGCAGGAAACUCCAAAUGUCUUUAUUGUGCUAAGCCAGGCUGAUCCACGAUGACCCUCAUUGGAUGAGAGCACUCAGCUGAUGCUCUUAGCCAAUGAGUGUGGCUCUGCAUGCCCCGCUAAGCAUACUAUCCUGCAGGGAAGUUAUGUAUAUGACUAUGGACGUCUGGCAAGACCCAUGUGAAUUUUCAAACAGUUCUAAAAUGAUUUUUCAAAUGACUCUUCGAGGAUUGCAGGACACUCCUGGCACCAUAACCACUACAGUGGUUGUUGUGUUUGAAUUGUUGUUUUUUUUACCUUUUUUCCUUAUAGGCAGAUUCAGAAUCACAAACACCCUCUGUAUCAAACUGUACUCAAUUCAAGUACCUCAAGCUAUACUAUUUUAUGGAGUUAAAGUAUCAUAUCUUUACCACUAUUUAUAGCUGACCACUCACAUUGAGAUUUAAAGUGUGUUUAGGCACAUUAAGUCAAAGUCUAAUUUUGCAUAAUAUUUUUCAUGUAUGUACGUAGUGGGGAAUCGUGAUGCAGCCUAGCACAAAUCUAAACCCAUUUACCCCCCCAAUAACGACAGACCACUUAGUAUGGAUGAACAGGCCACAGCAUUUAUUAUCACAAACUAAAUUACUGCAUAACACAUCCAUAACUUUAUUUAUUAAAUCUCUUCUUUCUGUAACCAAAACGUUAGACAUAAAUAAUCCUAAAUUAAUAUAUAUACAUAUAUAACUCCACCCAUAGUGUUAUACAGUGACCCAACCGUCCUGGCCAAUAAACAUACAGUGGUUCCUAAUCACCACUUCGUCUCACCUCCCCCCUCGUCAUAAAAAUCAUAUAUUUCCAAUGCCCACCAUCAGCCGACUUUAUCCACGCUCGAUGGGCACGACACCUCAGGCAACCUAAUGUUUAACCUUUUGAAGCAGGGGAGGUUGAGACCUAAAAAACUUGUUCAUCUCAUUCCAUAUACUUAAGCGUAACCACUCAAACUCAAUUGGCAAGGACAUACCCCCGGCUAGCUGUGAUGAAAUAUACCAAUAGGGCGGGCGGGAGGGAAGCUGUUCGCUGGCCCAAAUCCCAAGUGGCACUGAGGUAAGACCUCCCCCACACUAACUUACACAGAACAUAAUCCCACCCACACACUCUUCCCAACCAAUCCCAUGCAUCUAUCCCCACACUCCUACAUGUGCCCUUGUCCGCUUAGCUGCGCUAUCUCCCCAGGGCCUCAAUGCUCUUAAAACAGAUUUAUGAAAUACACUUUAGCUCAUUUAGCACUAGCAGUAUUUAAGUUGUCUUCCAUGUUGGAAUUAGUGUAGGACCAACGGAUAUUGGGGUACUGUGUCGUAGUGGUGGGCUGAAUCCCCAUAUAUGUUUGCUGAGAGGGGAUUUUAAGUAUCCUUAAAACAUCUAAAACUGUAUUUUUGUGUGUGCUCUGUUCCUUUGUAUUUAUUCUGCAUUUUGUAUAAAAGUCUGAUACAAGGCGUCAUCUAUCUCCUGACAUUAACUAAAGGUUCAUCUUUACCAAUUAAGUUGAAAACAGGGACAAUUUAUUGAAUGCUUCCAUUUCAGACAAUAUAUCAACUGAUGUUUGAUUCUUUUUCUCCACAAAAUAUAUACUUAACAACAUGUUAUGUUCAUGCUGGCAUGAAUGAAAGCUUUUUAUCGGUGAUUCAUAUUAUAUGGAAAAUAAAAUGUGUACUGUUUAGUUUAAAGAGGAAUGACUCCUUUAAAUCCUUGCUUCACAAGAUCAUUGUGCUUUUGGAAACCUGCACAUUCUAAUAGCUAUUCUCCUUAAUGCAACAUUCCUUGUUCCUUUUUACUGUCUAAAUUUAGAAAAAUGUUAGUUUCUAAGACUCCAAGAAAUAUAAAUGUGCUAUUUUUACACUAAAAUAAAUCCAGCUCAUAUUGGCAAUAUACAGUAUUUAUAAGCCAGGGAUCAAUGUGAAAGGUUGAAUAAAUGCAUAUGUUUGCUGUUAGAGGUUUUAUUUUACAAUUUAUUUCGCAAUGAACCAGACAGAAAGGCAGCUGUGUUAUCACAGUCAUAUCUUCACUUCCUGUCACUGGUAAGUCCUCCACUACUGAGAAAACAGUCAAAGUUUCCCUACAUGGGCCUUUCAGAUAGAGAAAUUUCUCAUAACGAGAGGAGGGCUUUAGUUUCUCAUUAUGAUAGCUGUCUGUGAUGCACCCUGUCUCCUGCUGCUCACACAACAUAUUCAGCACAGAUCUGUCUCCGACUGCUGGUCUGCAAGACCUCAUGGAGCACCCAGUUUCCUUCCUCUUCUCUCAUGCUCCAAAAUGACUAUACAGCUGCCUCUUGACUGUAGAAAUAUUCAGAUCCUUAUUGGUUAAGUGGGCAAAAGGGUUAUCUAGAGGUUACGGUUCAGUCAACUUGUCUAUUUAUAUUUCAAACUCUAGCACAAUAAUUUUAAUUCCAGACAUGAAGGAAAUAUUAAAUUGUCAGGAUAUCACCCCUGCUUGCACACAGGUGUGUCAUUGAAAAGGAUUAUUUCACUGCAUAAAUUAGUUCACUGGAUUGUUUGUGCCCAACAAAACAAUAUGUAUGAUGAAGACAAAACCAGCUAAAGAAUGGACAAGGCGAACUUUUGACCGAGGUCUCAACUGCAGAGCCUUCACAACUUUUUAUCAUUUAAUACAUUACUGUGGUGUAUAAGGAAAUGUUACUGGAAUAAAUAAAAUUAUACAAAAGUUCUAUGGUGUGUUGGAGUAUGUAUGUGUGCCUUAUGCCUAAAUAUGAAAGGGCAAUAUUGCAUGCCUCCCAAAAUCUCAAACGGUCAAAGGAGGACCCUUUAAUUGUGGAGGUAUGAUGAAGGGUGGGGCUUUUUUGAUAACUUUAAGGUUACUUACUAAUAGUUUAUUUAACUAAAAUGUAUUUUAAAACAAGAACAAUGUCUCUUAUUUACACAGACUGAUUUCUAAACACAUUUAUUGUAGUUUAAGGAGCAAGGCUUUUUUGACAUGGUAUGCGUUUGCGACCGAGGCCUUUUUGGCGUUUCUGCCAUGCAUUCAUUCCACAACUUCCUCCUUUCAGUUUAAGUGCACCCAUACAUAUUAUUAUAUAUGAUUUUUAAUGGAGAAAUGGGGCUUUCUUUUGAUACCCUAUAUAUUUGUGUAAUGCAAUAUUAAAUAGGCAGAAAAACCUUUUUUUGUUGUUGUCAGUUUUGCAUGCAAUAUUUUCUACACACCAAGUACAAGUACAGAAGACUACUCAAAAUAGAUUCAUUAAUUAGUCCUAAUUGUAAAAAUACCCAAUAUAUAUCUAGGAUUUUAAUUAAUUUUUAGAAGUUAUAAAACCAAUACGGCAAUUGGUGAAUUAUGAAAAUGAAAUUAUGAAAUUGUCCAUGAAUAGAUUACAACUUCAGUAGGUACAGAAUCCAAAACUGCUAAACAAAAGUAUAAAUAUGUUAAAAAAAAAUACAUCCUACAGACUGUGUAAUUAAGAGCAGUUUGACACUUUUUAUUUAACCGUUUUAUCACAAACCUAGGUCGUAAUUUUUCUUUGUGGGUAUUUUCCCCACACGUUUUAUUUUGGGGAAAUUCAACAUGGAUGUCCCACUACUGCUAACACCACAUAUUUGUAUUGUGCUUUUGUUCUCGAGGACAAUGAUACGCUACAUGUAUACCACUUCCCCUAAUCCAAGUCAUAAUCUAGCCCAUAAUCUAACCCCUUUUUCUACCAAUAAUCCAACCUCUAAUCCUACCCAUAAUCCAUCCCUAACCUAACCAAUAAUACUACCUAUAAUCCAAGUCCUAAUUGCACCCUAAUCCAACCUCCCGCCUGCAGAGGUACUACGUCAGUAGAGGUAUUUCCCAGCUCACACAGUACAUAAUGCUCUGUGAGUCCUCUCUACAGUGUGAUUGCAGCAUGAGGCUUGAUUAUUCAUACUUGAAUAAUCAAUUUCUUGAUUGAUAUUAUGGACUAUAUAUUCAUAUGUUUCGAAAUACGAUUUAUUUUUUUUUCCUUCAUCAUUUUAUUAUAUUUCUCAGACUCCUGUUAAUUUAUAUUGUUUUACUAUGAAAUAACAGUUAGUUUGCCUACUGCCUCUUGAUAAAUAAUAGUUUUAUUAAGUUCUGUAGAUACCUGUAUGUGCCAGUAGACACAGACUUAUUAAUGGCUUCAGUACUGCUUGCCUACUUUUACAAAGAUUUUUGCAGCCCUGGGUCAAAAAAUGCAUUGGUUUUAUGUAUUACUUAUCUUAAAAUAAACCCUUUUAAAGUUUUUUACAAAGCAUGACAUUUCUACAAAGAUAUUAUCGACCACCUAAACAGCAAAAAUAUUUAAAUCGUAAAGAACUAAUACUAUUUCCCAUUUCCAGGUCAUUUUUGUUUUGUUACUUGUGUAGAGAGUGUGAGUUUUCAUAAUGAUUUGCUUAAUUGGUUAUCUUUAGUUACAGACACCAUGAACAGUUUCAGGUAAAGGGGAAGUCCCAUUAGAAGCCACCACUGGGUUCCUAUUAGCAGAUUGAGUAGGCUGAUAUAUGAUUCAUCGUGGUCCAUUUCUAAAGGUUGUGGUAAAAAAAAAAACCAAAAAAAACUUAUGCAGAACAUAUUAAGUAUUAAAGUGGCUUUGACGUGUAAAAAUAAAAGGAAAUUAAAGAAAUAAAAAUGUAGAACUUGCUCAAAAGCCACCCUCGGCUGGGACGCAGGACGGUGUGGGCCAUGGCAGGGGGACAACUCCCCUUGUACCUUGACUAUCCUCUAUCCCCCUUUUCUAACCCCCUCUUUUCCCAUCUGCCUACACACCGGGAUUUGGGGUCCCGGGGCUGGGGCCGAAUGAGUUGACGGUAGAUAAGCAGAUACCGUAGUGGCACUAAUGAGUGAUAGGGACGAACAAAAUGUACACUCACGUAAGUUCACGGAUAAAACACGAUGACCUCUAACCCAAGACGCGGAACUUCGAGACCCUUCGGGGCCUGUUUGCCCGACACUUAGACGGGUAUUACUUAAAUAUGACGGACCUUUGAUAACCCGAUUGACAUACAUCUCAUCCCCCCCUGCAUGCGGGUGCAAUACCCAUACUACACGGAACCUCGACGCUUCCCACACGUUAGCUGGCGACAAGGACUCGGACACCACGACUGGGAUAUAGGGAAGCCUGAACAACGCGCGAGCUCUGCCAUAGGAAAUGGUCAUGGGAAAAUUCUAGACUCCGAACGCUUCACUUAAGCUAUAUGUCGAUACAUGCUCCCAAUAGGGUUUGGUUCUCGGAGUCUCACUGGGAUGAUACCCCGUUAUCUCCCAUAUUGUAACGAAGUGAGCACAUGUGCUCCUAAUGGGGGGAAGGAGCUCCAGAAACCCCCGUCCCGAAAUGUUGCAGUGGACCCGUAUCCCCACUGGUCCCGUGGACACACCGGCCACCGGGCGUGUGAGUUAUGUGUGUGUUUUUUCUUGAGUUCCCCGAGUUCUCUCUUACUUAUGUUUUACAAAUGUUCCCUGCCUGCUCUGACCUGCGUGCCAUAAAGUUUCACCUUUGGUGUAGCCCCAAACAUGUAAUUUACCAAAUUGUCCCAAGAUAUGUUCAGAUAAGCGGGCUGCUACUUGCUCCAUGUAAUACUGGUAGUGACACAUUGCCCACUAACCCCCACCAUGUAUAUUUAUUCAGGUACACAUGGCAAAUCCACUAGAGACCUGCGAACCCAAAUUACAUUUGGGCCCAAGAGCCACUUUACUGGCAACCGUUUGGUUACCCCAUCAGCUUACACACUUGGCUUAUUGUUGUUCUGAUUACGCACUACAACUGUGGAGACCUGCGAGUCUCGAUGUUAUAAUCUCACAAUCUCCACAACCAACGAUAUAUACUUCCGGAUAGGGAUCGAAGGUUAAGCUAAUGUAGGGAGGGAAGGUAGGGAAAGAAAUUGAAAAAGAAAUAUUCUGGGAUGCUUGGAAUAACGUUUGAAGAUAAUGGUUGUUGGUUAUAGCACUGUUGUUUUAUUGCAACUUGAUAACGUAUUGUAUAACUGCACUCUUAUACACCUGUCAAUAAAGAUAUUUACUAAAAAAAAAACUUGCUAAAAAGCCCAGAUAUAAAAUGAUACCUUUCAAUGUUGGAAGGUAUGAGCACAGGAUGAGUCUGGGGCAGGCCAUGUUUGGGCAUGCUAAUGAAGUAUGCAUGUCAUUGAUGUCACAGGGGACCUUACUGGACACCUGAAAGCAAACCUUAGACAAUGGUACAACAGGCCAAAUUUCACACAUACUCAUAUGGGAUUUCUAUAAGAUUAUGAAAAUAUUAAAGCAAACUCGUUUUAGCAAAUUCUUACAAGGACGUCACGCCACAUGUUUGUUUAAGAAAUCAACACAGCUCUGUGGCCUUUAACCCCUUAAGGACACAUAAUGGAAAUUUUGCUGGCCUUUUACUUUUGAAGCAGUGUCCUUAAGGAGUUAAUAAAUAAAUCCUUAUAUAUCUUAAAUUUAUAUUAUUCCAAAGUGUAAUAAGUGACGGAGACAUCUAAGAAAGUAUUAUUAAUUAUUGAAGAACUUUGUUAUGUCCCUCUGUAUCUUUGUAGUUUGAUAGUGAAACCCACGCAUCACUGCAUAUAAUAAGCCACUGUAGGAGGUAGGAGACAACUGUUUUAAGUCUUUAAUGUUAUAUACUAUGUUUAUUAGUGUCAACAUACAACAUUUUAUUUACACCUUGUGGCAUUAUUAGAAAGCUGAAUUUCUAUAAAUGCCAACAGAUGUCUUACUAACGUCCAUAAGAAAUAUAUUUGACCAUUUUUUACAUUUAUUUAAAAUUUGUCUUGUCACACAUACUGUAUGUGGCAAAGUGGCAUUUCUAAAAUAUAAAAUAAAACAAGAAUUGUGUGAAUUUACCUGAUUCGUUUUUUAAUACAAGAAAUCAGCAGUAAAAGAUGUAUACAAAUUUGAGAAAAAUUUAUUUUUCAUAUUUUUUUUAUAGUUGUUACUUGUCCCGUCCAGCGGUGGAACCAGGGCUGCCAUCAUAAAUGUUGGGGCCCCUGACACAGCUCAAGGUCUGGGCCCCCCGGCCCCCCAGUCCGUCCAAAGUGCUUCCCCCCUCCCACCCUCCCCCCCCGAAUCCCAUCACAAUGGGACAUCACAAUGCCCCACCCAUAUGAUCUGCCAUGAUAACUAACACUAGUGCUGCAGUGCCGCUGUGUUUACAUUAAAAGGCCUGCAGGGACAGGCUAGACACCAGAACCACUACAUUAAGCUGCAGUGGCUCUGGGGACUAUAGUGUCCCUUUAAUGUGAGGUAAAUUAGAGAUUAGUGCCACGAAUAAUAUACUAGAUUACAACCAGAUGAGGAUGAUGAUGGGCUCUAGCUGCCGUCUGACUCCACUGGUCUGGUGUACAACAGGCUCUCUGGAGGCGGUUUGUAACUGUGGUCACAAAAAUCACUGUUCUGGGAGAACGGGAAGCAGCUCCAUUUUUUUGAGGGCCCUUUACACAGCUCAAGGUCUGGGUCCCAGGGUCCACCUUCAUGUUCCACCAAUGAGUUUGUUCACAGGGAGUGGAGUGUGUGUGUGGGGGAUGUCCUGAUGUGUGUAAGGAAUGCAUUGUGUGAAUCUGUGUUUGUAUGUGUAAGGGCUGCAAGAUGAGUUUGUGUAUGUAUGGGAUGCAGUGUGUGCGUCUGUAAGGGAUGCAUUGAGUGUGUGUAAGGGGUGCAUUGUGUGUUGCUGUGUGUAAGGGAUGCAUUGCUUGUGUACGUGUGUCUGUGUGUAAUGCAUUGUGUGUUUUUCUGUGUGCAAGGUGUGCAUUGUGUGUGAUGGAUGUCAAUCUCUCCCCCUCCCCCCGUCAAUUUCCUUCUCCCCUCCCUCCCUCUCUCCAAUUUCCUUCUUCUCCCCCUCCCUCUCCAAUUUCCUUCUUCCCCCCUCCAAUUUCCUUCUUCUCCCCCUCCCUCUCAAUUUCCUUCUUCCCCCCUCCAAUUUCCUUCUUCUCCCUCUCAUUUCCUUCUCUCCCCCGUCCCUCAAAUUUCCUUCCCCUCCUCCCGUCCCUCAAAUUUCCUUCCUCUCCCCGUCCCUCAAAUUUCCUUCCUCUCCCCCGUCCCUCAAAUUUCCUUCCUCUCUCCCUCCCUCAAAUUUCCUUCCUCUCCCCCCUCCCUCAAAUUUAAUUCCUUUCCCCCCUCCCCCUCAAAUUUAAUUCCUCUCCUCCCCUCAAAUUUCAUUNNNNNNNNNNNNNNNNNNNNNNNNNNNNNNNNNNNNNNNNNNNNNNNNNNNNNNNNNNNNNNNNNNNNNNNNNNNNNNNNNNNNNNNNNNNNNNNNNNNNCUCGCAUCAGUACGGUGCGCGAGGGAGCUGAAGAGGAAGCACACAGAGAGUGCUCCCUCGCGCGCCGGACCGCCCGCCGGGUGUCUGCAGGGCCAGCCUCUGGGGGCCCCCCAGGAGAAGAGGCUGGCCCUGUGGGUACAUACCGGGUCGCAGGGCCCCCUGCGACCCGGUAUGUACCCACUGAAUGUGGGGCCCGCAGUCCGGGCCCCCCAGGACCGCCGGGCCCAUGACAACCGUUGCGGUUGUCAUGCCCUGAUGGCGGCCCUGCGUGUGUGUGUAUAGGUCUGUGUGUGGGUCUGUGAUUGUGUGUAUAUAUUUGUACGUAUGUGAUUGUGUGUAUAUGUUUGUGAUGGUGUGUAUAGGUUUGUGAUUGUAUGUGGGUGUGUGUGGGUCUGUGAUUGUGUGUAUAGGUCUGAGUGUGUACACCUGUAAUUAUGUGUGUGUAUGUAUGCGACUGUAUAGGUCUGGGAUUGUGUGUGUGUUUAUAUUUGGGAUUUUGUGUAUAGGUCUAUGAUUGUGUGUGUGGUUAUGUGUGCAUAUGUAUAUACGUGUGUGUGUGUGUGUGUGUGUAGAUGGCUCCCUAAAUUGGUAUCUUUAAAUAUGGCAAUACCACAUAAGGAUAAUCAAUAACAAAUAAGGGAGUUAUAUACUAAACAGAUUUUAUAUGCAGCCCAAUUCCUCUGCACUCAAUGUGGCCCAGGGAAGUCAAAAGGUUGGACACCCAUGGUAUAUAGAUCAUGCCUCUGAAGAUUCACUGCUCAAUUCUCUGCAAUUUAGUAGUUGGGUUUACAAAGGCUACAGAUACUCGAUCUGCUGCUUUUGCAAGCCAAUAUUUCAUAUAUCCAUAAAGGAAACAUUAUAAACAGUUUACAUUGUUUAUUUAUUUAUGCUGUGUAGUGAGUGCUUAGUCUGUUUUAUUUGUCUGAUCUCCUCUUCACUACCCAGCUCAGUCUAAGAACAUGGCUGGGAUCCAGGAAGAGGAGUGCUUGUGAUCUGUGAGAAGAGGCUGGGAUUAAAGUUAAGAAAAACGCAUUUAAGAUUUUCCAUGUAUACAAAAUUGUGUGUUUUUCUUAUUAACUUUAAUCAAUGCUCCAACCUACCUGUGCCCUGAAAUGGCCAAGGAAAAGUUUAACUGGAUCCUAAAUUAUAGGCAAAUCUGUCAAACCCUAUUUAAAUUGAACUUCUACUUUUUGAUACAGAAUAGGUACAGAUUUUUCCCAUUUUUACAUUUUUCUUAAUGCUUGCAAAAAAAUAAUUAUUCUGUUCUCUUCCCAAAUGUGCCUGUGGGACUUGGCAUCCUAUAUGCUGACACACACUCACUGCACACUGCAGUAAAUGACUCAUUUAUAAAUGUAUUCUGUGGAUGAAACCCUAACUAGGACAGGUUUGUUGUUGGCACCCAAUCCCACAGCUUGAAAGCUGUCUGGUAGAUGAUAUGCAUUCUUAUACACCUCUGGCAGAAACUGAUCCUAAACCCAUUUCAGGUUAAAGGGAAGCUACACUGAUCCGAUCACAUUAAAACCACCUACCUAAUAUCGUGUCAGUCCCCCUUGUGCUCCCAAAAUAGCUCUGAUGCAUUGAGGCAUGGACUCCACAAGACCUCUGAACAUGUCCUGGGAUAUAUGGCACCAAGACAUUAGCAGCAUAUCCUUUAACCCCUUAAGGACCAAACUUCUGGAAUAAAAGGGAAUCAUGACAUGUCAGACAUGUCAUGUGUCCUUAAGGGGUUAAGUCCUGCAAAUUGCGAGGUGUGGCCUCUGUAGAUCAGAUUUGUUGUUCCAGUACAUUCCACAGAUGCUCAAUUGGAUAGAGGUGUGAGUAAUUUUGAGGCUAAGGCAACACCUUGAACUCUUAGUCAUGGUCCUUAAACCAUUCCUAAACCAUUUUUUGCAGUGUGACAGGGUAUAUUAUCCUGCUGACAGAGGCCACUGUCAUCAGGGAACACCAUUGCGAUGAAAGGGUAUACAUGGUCUACAACAAUCCCUAGGUAGGUGCAUGUCAAAGUAACAUCCAUAUGCAUGCCAGGACCCACGGUUUCCUAGCAGAAUAUUGUCCAGAGCAUAACCCUGCCUCCAGCGGCCUGGCUUUUUCCUAUAGUGCAUCCUGCUGCCAUAUCUUCCCCAGGUAGAGGUCGCAACCAGCCAUCCACCUCUAAAACAAAAAAGGGUUUCAUAAGACCAAGCAAGUCUUCCAUUGCUCUAUGGUCCAGUUCUGAUGCUCACUUCCCCAUUUAAAGGUGCUUUUGGUGGUGGACAUCCUGCUGAUGUCUUUUGCGUUUUUGUUCAAUAGAAUUCUUCUCACAGAGAAGCAUUGGAGACAAGAUACUUACGCGCAGCAAUAUACUAGAUUCUUUCGUUCAAAUACUCGCUUUGAAAACAUUGGAAUUUCUAUUAAACGGCAAUAUCCAGCCAUAGACACAAGGGUUAACAGACUAUGGGCACUGCACACAGACCACUUCUGAAAUGGUCUUGGUGCUUAUAAUGUCCCUUUAAUAGUGUUUUUUUGUGCAUAGACUCUGUCCCUUUUUUCAGAGAAAUAGCAGUGUUUACAUUGGUCUUAAACCAUGCCUCUAGAGCCUGUUAUACCCACAGUUAUUAAAGGUUCAUGUAGAUACUUUGAAAAUCAAAGUUCUUCUCGUUUUGUCAUCAUCAUGCCCAGUAGGAUGCCCACUAUGUCUCCAAUGUAUAAGAAGCAUGGGAUUAGUCAAAAGUUAUCAAUCCUGAUAACUUCACUGGAAGUAGAGCAUCUGGCUUGGCACGGGAAUAAAGAUGAGUUUUAUAGAGAUUUUUUUUUUUUUACUUUUCUAAAAAAAAGAAAUGGUUGGGACAAUAAUCAAAAUAUCAACUCUCUAAUAUUAUAAAUAAAUAUAUUUAUUUUAAAUUCUAGUGUCCUUAUAACCUUUGAUACUGGAUAUUAACACUUUGCUUCACAGACAUCCAUUUCCUGCUGCAAUAUAUUUAUCUUAUGCAAGCAUUUAAAUCUUGGCUUAUAAAAAUAUAUUUGCUAAUUAACUUAUAGUACUUCACUUAAUACUUGUAGUCUGGAAACCAAGUGCUGAUGAAGGGACAGGCUCAAAGAUUUAAGACAUUAAGCAAUGGAAGAAUUGGCUGUUUCUGCUUCCAAUUAGAUUUUCCAAUAUAAUCUCACGUGGCUAUGCCAGAGAAUGUUUCUAGAAUUUGCUGAAUUUCUCCCAAUUAAUACAUUACGUUUUGAAACAUCAGCUCUUGAAUGAAACGAAUCUUGCACACCCCAUUUAUGCUUCUUUUUAUGUAUAUGCAAUUUAUUUGUAUUAUUUCCUAUAGCUGUUGGCAUUUGUACUUCAAAAAUCCAUUACCUUUUGGAUAAUAAAAACCUUUUAUUGUGUUAGCACCCUUUCUGUUACAUCUGUAAUCACAUUUUGCUUCCUUUCUUGGUAGCAAAGCGUAAAUAAUGUUUGUUUGGCAAUUUGAAGAUGUCCAAAAUUUGAUGCAGUGUCAGAUAUUCACAAAGAUCAUGAAUUUUAGGGUGAAAUGCAGUUUGAAAUAGUUUAUAUUUAUUUAGCAGUUACUAGAUAUAUUUGCCUGUACUUGCCAGUUUUCUCUCUGUUUCAGUAUUCAUCAGCUUCCCCCUCCACAGCAGCGGGGUCAGCUAGAGUGAACAGGGCUAACAUGGGAACUCAACAGCCAAUCAGGAUGGAAAGGUGGGGGGCGUCGGGCAGCAAUAAAGGGAAAUGUUCAGGCUACAAAACCUUUAUAUUAUUUGAACAAUGCAGUUAAUAAAAACAUGCAUUUUAUUUUAUUUAUUUAUUUUAAACUCUCUUUCUAACUGCCUAAAAUCCUAUCUUUUUGGUUUCGUUAAGCUAUAGAGCUGCUUGUUGCUGUUGAGCCAGUCCAUUCUCUUUUUGCCCUGAUCUUACUUCAUUUUUAGUGCAAGGCAGUGACCUGUCAAAUGUUACUUAUAAAGAAACAAAAUCUAACAUAUUAUGGACACUCACCCAGAUAACAAGUUGGUUAUAUAAAAAAUAAAUACAAUAAUAUGUUUGAAAUCGGGUUUUUUUAUUUUUAAAUUCUUUAUUUUAGCAGUGGCAUGUAUCAGUAUACAGAACUGGCUGCAUAAUGUGGCUUGCGCAGAAGCCAAAUAUGUAAUUGUCAAUACAGCGAAAUGAAAGCGGGUUUUUGUUGUUUUUUUUUUUUUUUUUUAAUUCUUUAUUUUGUCGUGCAUAAAUGGUACAAAAAGUACCUAUUCUGUCACAACAGCAGAGAUAGGUUAUAAACAGGCAUACAUUCGUGUGACAAAGAGUUAUUAAUGAUUAUACAGCACUUUUUUGUGUUAAUCUAUUGCGUUUGAUAGGGCAUGUCAGAGGUUAAAUGAGAUCUUCCUAGGGUGUACAAGACAUGUCAAUGCUCAUGAGUAAUAUCAAGCCUAAAAUUAAGGUUGGGUUCGUGGUUCUGAGACUAUGCGUGCAGGGAAGAUGCUUUGGUUGUAGAUAGGUGUCAGUAGUAGCUCUGAAACGUGUUCUUAGCAUACAGUACCGUGUAGAUCCUAUAUGUGGAAUUAAUUCCAAUGUGGGAUGCUGCUUAUCUGUGCUAUGGUGUCGUAGUGAAUUUGCUAUCCCUUCGGUUGCAUUUUCUCAGUAUGGUGCUCAGUGAUAGGUGUGUACUGUUUGAUACCCCUAACCAAGGGGGUCAGCGGGGGGGGUAGGGGGUUGUCAUCUCGUCUAUUGGAUGUGUGUGAGUUGGCGCAGUGGUAGGUGUCUGUGGCGGAUUCGGGACCCUUAAGGGGGGUCCCGGUGUCCGGUGGGUGUAGGUAGGUAACCCUAUUAUUUAUGUCAGGAUUUGAACUGCGCCAUGCUGUGCAACUUGCGAACUAUGAACUGAUGUAUAAACAUUCUUAACGUAAGUAUAGGUAUAAGCUGCUAUCACUCAAGCCCUAAUUUGAGCUGCACUAUGCUGAGUAACAUAUAAACAGGUAAAUAAACAUUCUAUCGUUAGCGGUGUCCAUAGACCCGGUUAUUCAUACUCUCUGUGCAGUGUCCUUGGGGUUAUUUCUUUCAGCUGCAUUCAUGUGGACUGUUGGUGUGCUGGGGCGGUGUGUGGGAUGAAGGGGACACUGUUAUCCCAGGUUCUCUCUAGGGUUUGUGUGUCCGCCGCUUUCAGUCCCAGAGUUUCAAGAAAGGUCGGGGCUUCUGCAAGAGAGGUAAGCGUGUGGGUAGUCCCAUUGUGAAUGGCCAACAGCGAUCCUGGUGCCCCCCACCUGUAGCUCAUGUUGGCUGCUCGCAGUUGUUGGGUCACUGGGUGGAGUGACCUGCGCCAUUGGAGGGUGGCCCUCGUUAGGUCUUGGUAAAAGGUUAGGCUGGAGUUUUCAAAUGAUAGUGGGGUUUUGCCCCGCAGUGCCGCCAUUAUCUGUCCCUUGUCUAGUGAGGAUAUGCAGCGUAGGAUGACAUCACGUGCUGUUUGUGAGGGAGCUCUUGGGGGGGCCUGCUACCCGGUAUAUACCAUCGGUUACCAUUUUUCUUGCCAACGCUGGAGGUAAGAUUGUUGCUAUUAGCCUUCUUAUGUAAUGUGGCAGCUCUUCUGAUGUGACACUCACUGGAAUGCCACGGAUUUUGAUAUUAUUGCGUCUAUGGCUGUUCUCGAGGGCAUUCAAGUCCAGGGUCAGAUUGUGUUGGGACUUUUGGAGCUGUUGCACCGAGGCCUGUAAGUUUGUCAAAUUUGUUGUGACUUCUGUCAUGUCAGCCUCUGUAGCACGCACCCGGUCGUUUGUGCUUCGUAAGUCAGCUCUUAGUCCUGCAAGCUCCUUCGCCAGCAUUUUGUGGAAAUCAUGCAGGAGUAUCUGCAGGUCAUGUUUUGUCGCUGGUGGCGAUCCCCCUGGGGGAGCUGGUGGUAUGGUGCCGAAGUUGGUGCUCCCUGGUUGAUCAGUGUGGUCCAUUUGUGCAGUAGCUGACUGGCUUUCUUCUGGGGCUGGUUUGGGCCUAGCGGGCCAUUGUAACAUAGCCCCUAUGUCUCUUCCUUCUGUCUGGUAGCUGGCUUUCUGGGAACGUCGUCCCAUGGCAGGCAUGUGGUCCACCAGACUGGGAUGGGGUUCGGUAGACAAGUUAGGUGUCAGGCCUUCAUACACUCCGCCAAGAAGCGCCUUCAGUGGCUGCGUGGAGUAGGCCCCGGCCCUACGUUGCCGUUUGGCGUCGUCUUUUUAAAAAAAAGGGGGGGGGCAUCUAUCGGUGCAGCUCGGUGUCGGGGUAUGGGUCUAGAAUCGUGGGCUCUAUGGAGAUUCUCCAGAUUGAGGCGAGAUCGCAAAGAUUAGAGCCGGAGCUGUCAGCAAUGGCGUCUGAUCAGCUCGGUGGUUAGCUCCGCCCCCUCCCACCCCGUGUGAGAUCCAUUUCUAAACUUUCACAUGAGGCUACUGGGCCCCUUGCAAGUCCUAAAGUUGACCCUCUGCUGGCCUAAUUGGCCUUAGCUGCUUCUCAGUUCUGCGCAAGGAGUUAAGAACACCCCACAGUAAUUAAAUCUCAUGAAGACUAUCUAAUUGGCCCAGUGCAGCCUUUUGCCACUCAUUCACAUUGGGCUCACAAUAUUUUUCAAUGGGAGUUUUUAUGUCCAUUUGUAUUCCUAACACUAUAGUUUACCCUUUUUAAAGAAAUGGUUUUGAUUCAUAGACUGUGCCAUUUAAGAGACACACCAUUGGCCAAAUACAACAAAUGGAAAAAAAACAACUAUUUAGUAGAUAUAGCCGCAGUAUGAAAACAUCCGAGCAAUUAAUCUGUUCUUUUUCAUUGAAAAAGCUUUAGUAUGCAGACUUUGCAAGCCCUCUCCUUCCUCAGGCCAGACUUUCUGGGAGGUCCUCCAUAGACAUCAUUUUCCCCAUCACUAGUAACGACAGACGAUAACUUGCCGAUAUUCUGUGCAUUUACCAUUUUGAAUAAAUAAACUAUUUCUAAAGGUAAAUGCACAAAAUAUACAAGCCACAUGCAAUGUGUUUAGACAGUGGAGCUGUGUGUAUUAGUGUAGUGUGUAUAUAAUGAAUGCAGAGUGUUUGUGUAGUGUGUAUAGUUAAUGCAGUGACUGUGUCGUGUGUGUAUAUAAUGAAUGCAGAGUGUGUGUGUUUGUGUAGAGUGUGUAUAGUGAAUGCAGUGUGUGUGUGUAGUGUGCGUAAAGUGAGUGCAGUGUGUAAAGCGAACGCAAUGUGUGUGUGUAGUGUACGUAUAGUGGAUGCAGGGUGUUUGUAUAGUGUGUGUAUAUAAUAUUAUGUAAUGUAGUGUGUGUGUAUAAAGUGUAGUGUGUGCCUUAUAUACACACUACAUUACAUUAUAUACACACACUACACUAUAUACACACUACACACUCUGCAUUAUAUACAGAGUGUAUAGUGUGUGUUUUCCUGAAGGGAUGUGAUUUGUGUAAAAUGGGGGUGGGGGGGGGGGCAAUCCCUGGUGGUCCAGUGGCAUGUACUGAGCUGUGGGGGGGCCGGCAGCAAGCUUUUACUUCCCUCCCAGCAGCUCCUCCAGCUCCCCAGUGUAAAUCUCGCGGCCAGCGUGCCGUGCGGAGCGCUGCCAUGGUAAGCCAUGGCAACUCUCUGACGGCCGCGGGUCUUGCGAGAUUCCUCUCCCCUCCCUCUGUUUUAGUGUUCUUUCCUCCCUCCUCCCCAGUCCNNNNNNNNNNNNNNNNNNNNNNNNNNNNNNNNNNNNNNNNNNNNNNNNNNNNNNNNNNNNNNNNNNNNNNNNNNNNNNNNNNNNNNNNNNNNNNNNNNNNUUCCCAUAGUGUUCUUCUCCCCCCUGUCCCAUAGUGUUCUUCUCCCCCCUGUCCCAUGGUGUUCUUCUCCCCCCUGUCCCAUGGUGUUCUUCUCCCCCCUGUCCCAUAGUGUUCUUCUCCCCCCUGUCCCAUAGUGUUCUUCUCCCCCCUGUCCCAUAGUGUUCUUCUCCCCCCUGUCCCAUAGUGUUCUUCUCCCCCCUGUCCCAUGGUGUUCUUCNNNNNNNNNNNNNNNNNNNNNNNNNNNNNNNNNNNNNNNNNNNNNNNNNNNNNNNNNNNNNNNNNNNNNNNNNNNNNNNNNNNNNNNNNNNNNNNNNNNNGUGCAGUAUUCUUGACUUUUCAUGUUAUCGUAAGGAGAAGGAGAUUGAACAGAGAAAAAUGUGUACAUUUUAAAUAAACAGGAAAAAAAAGUAUAAAAACAGGUAUGAAACAUACACAUCCACCAACAGACACACUGACACACAUUCAUUGACAGAUACUCACUCAGUGUCAGACACACACACACACUAUGAUACACAUAUACUCACUGGCGAAAACACACACACUCUGUCAGACACACACAUUCGCUAACAGACAUACACAUUGACUGACAGAUAUACACACACUGACACAAACAGACACUCUUACUAACAGACACAGACACGUUAUCCAACAGACACACACACUAGCACACUCACCAACACACGCACACUAACACACUCCCUAACAGACAGACAGACAUACACACCAGCCAAAGAAGUCUCUGGGCGGGUUUUUUGGGGGGGUUGCCUCUCUGAAGUUCCGCCCAACGCAGAUGCCUUGUCAGCCUCGCGGUAAAUUCACAGCCGGAACAAAUACCAGGUAUGCCAGUUGUUAAUAAGUAAUUUAGUGGUGGUAGGUUACCUUGUACAUCAACCAUCAUUAAGGGGUUAAAAGCACUUUAAAGCAAGAUUCACAUCAUUCUUCAGAUGCCCAAUAAUUGAGACUGUUCUUGCAGGUAAUGAAACAUUUUGAAAGUGCUAUUUCUUUCCUGUACUACAGGUUUUGCAGUAAUGAUUUUUCUGAAAAAGAAAGACCCGAGACAGACAAAUUUGAAUCCGUUAAGUGCUUGGACACAGAGUGAAGCUGAGGACAGAAUGCAUCAGAUUUCAAUUUCACAAUAGCACAGGGUACAGUUGUAAUUUAAAUGAUCAAGGAAUAAUAAGCACGGGAGAGAAAGGUAUGUUCAUUUAGCCUAUGGAAAAGACUAUAGUUUUUAUCAGGUUAUUUUCUGCUCUAUUAAGAAUAGCACGUACUACUUCUCUACAAUAAUGACCAUAAAAUGACAGUGCAGUAAUGCUAGGAUUUCAAUUACUGGAUAAGUAGCGAGAAUGCUGCGAUCUGCCAGGAGUUGUUCAGUUUCGCACCAAGGAAAAUGUUAGGAUAAAGAUAUACUGUCUGAAAAUGAAAACCUCAUUCAGUUGUUUUCAUUGACACCUGUGCAACUUUAUAAAUAUUUUGAAAUGUUUUUGUGUCCUGAGCAUAUUUUCAAAGAAAGGCCAAAGUUAUAUCAUUACAAUGAUUGUUAGUUUUUGUUUUUUUGUUUGUUUUUUUUUUUUUUAAUUCUUUUCUUGUUAACAUUUAUUUAGCAAAGUUAUCAAAAACAUUAUGUGAAUAACAGAGUUAUCCUGUGCCGGGAACAGAAAAAAAAUAAACAAGUGUGUGUACUGCAAAAUUUUAAUACAAUAAAAAAUAUCAUGGUUGGUGCAUAUGGUAACAGUGCCAACAUAAUAUUGCUACAUAAUAACAAAACUUAAAGGCAGUAUUUUCAAGAUAUUGCAUUAAAUAGCCAGUGAUUUGGCUAAAUCCCAGAGGAACAGGUACCAGCAAACGGGUACCAAAGAAAGAAGAAUGAGCUGAAAGGAAAUAAAUGUAUCCCAUGGUAGGAGGUAAGGUCUAAAAAGAGUAGAAGUAGAAGUAGAAGAGAGGGAGAAAAAGGGAGGGCAGUGAUAGAACCCUCCAUAUCCAUAUUCUGGAGGUCGAUCGCUGUCAAGUUUGUUUAUUUACAUUAUUGAACCAAAAGCCCAAUCUACACCAAAUCUAUUGCAAUUGCUAACUGUAUGUGAAAUUAGUUUUGAAAGCAGAUAUUAAUGUGGUUUCCGCGGCACUGAGCAAGGUGUGAGAUAGAUAGAUAUAUAUAUAUAUCUGCGAGUUGCAUGGCAGCUGGCCCCCGCGUACUUGGAGCCACCAGCUCGCCUAUCCGAAGGGCCGCAAAAAAGCAGAUAGCAAAAGCGGCCCGGAACAGGAGAACCUAAUCUAUAUAUCUAUAUCUAUUACACACACACACCUCUCCACCUCCUAUUCCUACCAUCUUAAUUAUAUUACUCACGCGUGUAAGCCUGCAGGCCUUGCAUUAGAUAGUUGAACCCUGCAACAUCUAGUACUCCUGUACCAAACUAAUUUACUUUAUAAGAACAGUAAUUCUUUAAAUUUCGUUCUUGAAGUUGUUUGGUCUUUUCAUUUUAUACACAUAUUGCUCUCUUUUUCCAUGUUGCUUACCUUACUUGCUCUGUUUAGUGAAAUAUUGGGUUAAGUAGAUAAAAACUUAUAUGGUCCUAUCGUAUAUAGAUUGAGUGAUUUCAAUUUUAAUUAAUAAGGACUCUCCAGGCACCAAGCUAACGUAUUUUAUAGCUUAUGUAUUUUUUCUGCAGGCCCAAUUAUGUAUGUUUGUUUAGUUUGUUUUUUGCAAAUAAUACAUGUUUUGUAGCCUUUUCUACCUUAAAGUAACACUAUAGAAUCAGGAACACAAACCUAUAUUUCUUACCCCAUAGUGUUAAAUCCACCACUUAGGUGGCUUGCUUCCUUAGAAAGGGUUAACUCAACUUAAUUCCAGCACUAUGUGGGCCACGGUUCUGCCUCCUUAGUAACAUCACCAAAAUUAGAUUUUUUGCCAAGCAUUGGAUUGGCAGAAAUCAGAAGGAGGCAGGAUGGGUGCAGAGCCAAGUGCAGUUUUUGCCAAUCAGCAUAUCCUCCUAGAGAUGCAUUGAAUCAAUGCAUCUCUCUGUGCAGAGCGGGGAGAUACCGAAUGCCAGUGCUGCCUACUGUGCAGCACUGCACCAGGAAGCACCUUCACUGGCCACGUGGAGGUGUUCCUAGGGGGCAAUGGAAACACUGCAUUUUCUCUGAUAGUGCCCAAAGGGAAUGAUUAUUAAGCUGUAGUUGUUCUGGUGACUAUAGUGUCCCUUUAACUCUACAUUUUUUACCCAAACUUUUAUAUUAAAAUAUUUCCUUGCUAGUUCUUGUACCUAUGUACAACCUAUGUAGUUUUCAUUCCUUCAUUGUGCAAUACCACAGUUAACCAGAUCAUCAGGAAGUAAAACUUUCUGUUGAUUAGUAGUUGUGGAAAUAUGGAUGCCUUGAAGAGCAUAUCUUAAUUGUGUGUUUUUUGGUUUUUUUUAUUAUGUCAUGUGUUUACUUAAAAAAACCCAAAAAAAAGUCUUAGCUUCAUGUAUCCAGUCGAUCGCUGUCAUCCACUCUGGGAGAGAGUUGGGUCAGACCUCCGAUCACUAAAUGGGGUACCCAGGGAGUACAUCUGUGCUGUUUGCUUGGUCUUUAGGGAUUAGAGGAUGAACCCUGGCAGGGCCUACAAAAAUAUUGGCCGGGUGAGCAUAAAAUAAAAAUGUAUUACUGACCCUAUAGUGUUAAUUACAAAGUCUAAUCCACCUAAAUAUAGUAAAAUCUUACAUUUAUUCCAGUCUGCUGCUGCUUCCUCUGCCCCUGAGCUUCCUGCUUGGCUGACAUCAUCAGAAGUGUUGAUCUGAGCCAAUCACAAUGCUUUCACAUAGGAGACUGUCAAGGAGGCAGAUCAGGGACAAGCCAAACACAACCCUGGCGAAUCACCUCAUUGAAUCAAUGCAUAUCUAUGAGGAAAGUUCAGUGUCUCUAUGCAGAGGAGGGAGACACUGAGUGGCAGUGCUGCACACUGUGCAGCACUGCCCCCAUGAAGAACCUCUAAUAGUCAUGAGGAGUGGAGGUAUCCCUUGGCUGUAAUGUAAACACUGCUUUUUCUCUGGAAAAAAAAAGUGUUGACUGCAAAAAGCCUUAACGCAAUGAUUAUACUCACCAGAACAAAUACAAUAAGGUAUAGUUGUUCUGGUGACCACAGUGUCCUUUUAAAGGACCACUAUAGUGCCAGGAAAACAUACCCCCUCCCGCCGGGCUCUGGAGAGAGGAAGGGGUUAAACACUUACCUUUCUCCAGCGCCGGGCGGGGAGCUGUACUCCUCCUUGCUCGCGACGUCAUCGGCUGAAUGAGCAUGCGCGGCAGGAGCCGCGCGCGCAUUCAGCCGGUCGCAUAGGAAAGCAUUUACAAUGCUUUCCUAUGGACGCUUGCGUGCUCUCACUGUGAUUUUCACAGUGAGAAGCACGCAAGCGCCUCUAGCGGCUGUCAAUGAGACAGCCACUAGAGGCUCUGGAGGCUGGAUUAACCUCAGUAUAAACAUAGCAGUUUCUCUGAAACUGCUAUGUUUAUAAAAAAAGGGUUAAUCCUAGAGGGACCUGGCACCCAGACCACUUCAUUAAGCUGAAGUGGUCUGGUGCCUAGAGUGGUCCUUUAAGCAGACUCCUUCCAAACUGCUGUGAAGGUUGGGUAAAAUGACUGCCUGUUGAGAUGGGGGUGGAUCAAUUUAUACCAAUUUCAUAGUUCUGUUUUCUGUCCUUUCUGCUUUGAAGGGAGGAGCUAACCCAUAACUAAAUACUGCCAUGCUUUACUCCAGAAGACAAUGACUUUAUGCCUGGUGCUUAUCGGCUAUAAUUUAAAUAAGUCAAAAAGAUAUCACUCCUGGGACUUGUUCUCAGAUUACAACUUAACUUUUAAUUGUUAAAUAAAAUUGCUAGCAUUUUAGUUUUAUACAAAAAAAAUUUCAUUAGGAACCGUGUGUGUGUGUGUGAGAUAGAUAUAUAUAGAUAUAUGUGUGUAUAUAUGUAUAUAUGUGUGUUAUUUAAAUUCUGCUUCAUUCAUAUACUGUCUACUACAAGAAAGAUGAAUUUUUACCCCUGAGGCAGCUACUUGAUGCAUGUCAAAGUAGCAUAAAAUUCUUUGCUAAAAAUAGAAUCAAACUCUAUGGGUCAGAGUCUGAAAUUGUAUGGUAACCACGAUAUGCUUUUUUACAAAAAUGUUCUCAUUAUUUUAGCUCAUUUAUUAUUAAGUUAAUUUAUAUUUAUUCCAAAGCAUGUAAAUGCAUCUUUUUAAAAAUCAUAUUAUGUAUUUAAAUGCUUUCGUUUUUAUUUAAAACUGAAAGUUGAUCUAAAUGGGAUUUGUCGGUCGUGUAAAUGUAAUUUACUUGUAAUCAGAUUAUUACAAAGAAAAUGCCAGAAUUGCAACUUUGACUUUGCAGAAAAAUAACACGCUAACUAGUGUCCAGAUUAUGCCUCUUCCUUGGCAAUCUUAUUUGCCAAUAGCAGCGAGUUGUUGUAUUUUUACUUUUUGAAAAUAAGGCAUAAUUAUUUCUUUUAAUUUUCUUUAUUCGUAGGUUUUGGUAGUUUGAAAAUAAAACGACUGCAUUCGACAGUCUUUUUUUAAAAAAAAAAAAACAAAUACUUAUGAGACCUGAGCAGGCUUGAUAAAGCAUAUUGGUUCUUAUCGGCCAACACAAUCUUCCAUGAAGUGAUGGACCAUAAAUUUCAGUGCGGAGUGCAGAGAAAAGGUGAUUUAGUUGUCACGAAAUAAGUGACAUUAUUAUUUGUCAAAAUAGAGAGUCAGCGCUAAGUAAUGGAUAAGGCAGCAACCACAAAGGCAAUCCCUCAAAGUACUCUUAAAACACAAUAGGAGAGAAAACAAAGAAAAAAGGCUGCGCCACGCAAAAUAAAUAUAAUAGGAUAACAAUAGUUUAUCCCAAUAAAAAGUCUUAACUUGACAGUUCUUUCUUUAGUUCAAAUGGUCUGUAACGUGUUUGGUCAGGGAUAGUGUCCACGUGGGCCUUCCCCGGAAGGAUCCAAUAAUAUGCAAAGACAAAAGAUAGAACCAAAAUAGUGCAAUAUAUCCAAUAGGGUAAAAUAGAAGAUAAAAAGGAAGACGGUAGUGCACUCACAUGAGUAAGAGCUAUAACUAGCUCUAGUAAGAACAGCGUACAGCGGUACAAUCCCCGCUUAUGGGAUAUGGUGCAGUUGUCUUGCUUCAAAAGUAUGUUCAACACUCAAAGAGAAUAAAAUAGAGACAACCAAUAGUGCUCUCUGAAUAAAACAAUGGUGUUAAUAUAUAUAUAAAAAGGUACUCACAAGGGUGGGGCAGACAAACUGCCCACUGGUAUAAGCACCUAGGAUUUCUUGGAGUCCACAACGAUAAAAAUGCCAGGUAAAAAACAAAAAUUAUUAGAGUGUAUAAAAGAUGAUUGGCACAAAUAAAAGUAACCAAAAGAUCUUUAAUGAGUAAAAUACACAAUAUAAAAUCCACAAACACGUUUCGCCUAAAAAGGCUUUCUCAAUAUGGAAUUGGAACAUAAUACCUGGCAGGGUGAGUUUAAAUAAGGUAAGAAUUAAUUAAAAUUGGUGCCUAAAAUCCGGUCAGCCAAUUAAAAUACAGAUAUAAGUAAUAUUAAUAAAACAUGUUGAUAAGAUAAAAAUAACAUUAGGAUGGAGUAGUAAACAUAGUGUAGUACAUGAAAUAUCAAAACGAGCGUUAGUACGCUGCAUAAAAACGUUUUAGUGCGGUCAGGUGACUAUAUUAGUGGCAGCCGUCGGCACGCAUGAGUAUCGCGGCCGCCGAGGGGAGGUGGGCGGGACGUGGGGGCUGAGACUAAAUAGCCAAUGAGGGACGGGGCGGGCAGGGAAGGCGGGGACAUGUCGAACGGCGAGAAUAGUGAUCGUAGCCGUCGGCAAGAUAGGGGGAGGGGCGGAACAAUAAGUGGAAAUAGGAAGUGGCAUGGGAUCAAUACAUUAACUGAAACAGAUAUAUAAAUACAAUAUCAAAAACAGAGUAAAAGAAUACAGAGGGAAUACACAGCAUGUAUAGUAAAUGCAAAUAAGUAAAAUUGUAAUGUGUACAUUUUUAUAAAAAAUUAAACAGAUCAAAUUCUGCAUUCAAACCAUGGGGCAUAAGUGUCUGGAGCUUGUGUACCCAUUCCAUUUCAGUUUUCCCAAGAAAGUUUUUAAUGUCACCUCCUCUCCCGGGAGUGGUAAAUUUUUUAUUCCCAUACAUUUUGACAAUCACGGGUUAUUAUUGUGUUUAAUAAAAUGUUUGGACACUUAAUGAUUCAGAUAUCCAUUUUUUAUGUUUCUGCAAUGUUCACUUAGUCUUAUUAUUAAAGGACCACUAUAGUGCCAGGAAAAUAUACUUGUUUUCCUGGCACUAUAGUGCCCUGAGGGUGCCCCCACCCUCAGGGCCCCCCUCCCGCUGGGCUCUGGGGAGAGGAAGGGUUUUAAAUCUCGACAGUGCCCCCAAGAGCCAAAUUUUAAGACUUCGGAGAAAUUGUUCACAAUUAAAUGAUUUUAAACAACAAGCAGAUUUAAAAAAAAAAAAAUUUAUUGAAAAAAAUUACUCUGAAUCAAUUUUAACAGAUACUGUCAAUAACAUUCAACCGAAAGAUAGAGACGAACUCUUGACAUAUAAAACAAAAGAGACUGAUGGUACUAUGUCCCUACAUAUUAUUUUUAAUUACAAUAAUAAAAGUGGCAAUAUUAAGAAAAUCAUAAAAAGACACUGGCACAUUCUAAAACAUGAUACUCUUAAAGGACCACUAUAGUGCCAGGAAAACAUACUUGUUUUCCUGGCACUAUAGUGCCCUGAGGGUGCCCCCACCCUCAGGGACCCCCUCCCGCCUGGCUCUGGAAAGGGGAAAAGGGGUAAUUUCUCUGAAACUGCUAUGUUUAUGAAAAAAUGGGUUAACCCUAGCUGGACCUGGCACCCAGACCACUUCAUUAAGCUGAAGUGGUCUGGGUGCCUAGAGUGGUCCUUUAACAAAACCCGAACAGCUCAAUAUAGUUUUUAGAGGAGCCCCUAUAGUUUUUAGAGGAGCUUCCCCCCCCCCCCCUCUGGACCGGGGGGGUCAUCCCGGUUUGCAAGGGCAUUAGCCAGCGCAUCAACCCGGACCUAAACAGCCGCUGGUGAGGAUUAGCCGCUGGGUGAAGGCCCACAAGAUGGCCGCCGCGCGCCGAUCAUGUGCGUGAGCUGCCUGUGAGAUCGAGCGGAUGCUUACCUAAAAGUGAGGAAGCCAACGGAGCAAAUGAAUGAGCACACACUGCUACCCUGCCGGGUCCUUGCAAAAAAUCUUGAGACUCACUGUGGCUGAACUCCCUGCUGUGACUCACCUGUGGCAUUGGGUGCCAUUCAGAUAACGUGACUCCUGCUAACACAGGGCAAGACCAACGCCAGCAAUGUAAUGACUCUUGUUAUCCUCAGUCUAUGCAUUACAUUUUUAGGACCCUGUGGUGUUGAUAGUUUAUCUACUUUCCUAACAAUACUUAGCAAGCGACUAUCUUAACUAAUUAACUUAAUCUCCUGAUGGCCUGACAUGUCUCCUAGCACUGUUUUAAUCUCUUUUGUUGUUAUAUGACAAGCAUUUAACUCCUCGUGUUCACUUGUUUUCUAGUGCUACAUGUUAGGCUGGCAGGUCCAGGUACUCAGGUCCUUGCCUAUAAUUUGACUCACUCCUGUACCUCACUUGUGAUGUAUACUAAACUUAGACAGCUCGCAUCUCAUAUUCAGUAUGCCCACCAGUUAAAUAUGCCUGCCUAGCCUGUUCAUUAAGGUUGAAUUCCCGUGCUGUCUGUGCCAUUACUAAUCUAGACGCAUGUAACCACACUACAACUACACUAGCAAAGUUACUCUAGCAAUGUUAACUGUGAAUCACCCUACCUUAUGCUAACGUUUUCGCUGUUUAACCAAUCUUGUUAUAAAAAUGUGCAAUUUCUCAUGCCACUGUCAAACCUAAACACAUCUUCAAACACGCUAUUGUGGCGUAUGUCGAUAACAUGUAACUAACUGCACAACAAAAAUAAAGAAUAAAAAAAAAAAAUUUUUUUAUUUAUCUGCUCGAAUGCCCUGUUGCCUCCAGUAUGUUGGAAUGACCACAAGGUGCUUAAAAAAACAUUGCAGAAAACAUUAAAAAUGGAUAUCUGAAUCAUUCAGUGUCCAAACAUUUUAUUAAACACAAUAAUGACCCAAGCUUGUUAAAAUGUGUGGGAAUAAAAAAAAAUGUACCACUCCCUGGAGAGGAGAUGACAUAAAAAACAUUCUUGGGAAAACUGAAAUGGAAUGGGUACACAAGCUCCAGACACUUAUGCCCCAUGGUUUGAAUGCAGAAUUUGAUCUGUUUAAUUUUUUAUAAAAAUUUACACAUUACAAUUUUACUUAUUUGCAUUUGUAUUUACUAUACAUGCGGUGUAUUUCCUCUGUAUUCUUUUACUCGGUUUUUGAUAUUGUAUUUAUAUAUCUGUUUCAGUUAAUGUAUUUAUCCCAUGCCACUUCCUAUUUCCACUUAUUAUUCACUAUUCUCGCUGUUCGACAUUUCCCUGGCCGCCCCCGUCCCUCAUUGGCUAUUUAGUCUCAUCCCCCACCUCCCCUCGCCGGCCGCAAUACUCAUGCGUGCCAACGGCUGCCCCUAGUGCACGUGCAUGCAGGGCCGCCAUCAGUAAUUUUGGGGCCUCUGACAAAGCACAAGGUCUGGAGUGUGUGUAAAUUUGUAGUGAAUGCAGAGUGUAUGUUAAUGUGUAGCAGAUGCAGAGUGUGUGUGUUAGUGUAGUGAAUGCAGAGUGUGUUAAUGUGUAGCGGAUGCAGAGAGUUUGUUAGUGUGUAGCGGAUGCAGAGAGUGUGUGUUAGUGUAGCGAAUGCAGAGUGUGUUAAUGUGUAGCGGAUGCAGGGAGUGUGUUAGUGUGUAGCGGAUGCAGGGAGUGUGUUAGUGUGUAGCGGAUGCAGAGAGUGUGUUAGUGUAGUGAAUGCAGAGAGUGUGUUAGUGUAGUGAAUGCAGAGAGUGUGUUAGUGUGUAGCGGAUGCAGAGAGUGUGUUAGUGUGUAGCGGAUGCAGUGUGUGUGUUAGUGUGUAGCGGAUGCAGUGUGUGUGUUAGUGUGUAGCGGAUGCAGAGUGUGUGUCAGUAUAGUGGAUGCAGUGAGUGUAUGUUGUAUUAGUGUAUGCGGUGUGUGUGUGUUGUAUUAGUGUAUGCGGUGUGUGUGUGUGUUGUUUUAGUGUAUAAAUGUGUAAUCUGGGGGAGGGGAAGGAAGGGGCAUUUUAACAUUAUUUUUUUUAUUAAUUUAAUUAAAUGUUUCUCCCCCCCCCCUGUUUCUUACCUGUGUCCAGAGAGAGGGGAGAUUUCAUGAUCCCUGGUGGUUCGGUGGCAUGGGGGCCUCCCUGUUAUUGCACAGGGGGUCCAGGCAGCACACAGCUUCUCCUCCUCUCUUUCUUCUAAUAACUCUUGCGAGACCCGCGGAGCGUUGCCAUGGUAACGGGUCUCGCGAGCGUUAUUAGAAGAAAGAAGAGAGGAGGAGAAGCUGUGUGCUGCCUGGGCCUCCUCUGCGGUAACAGGGAGCCGGGGGCCCGCGGCUGCACACAUAGAUAGCGAUAUUCGCUAUCUAUGUGUGCGGAGAAAGAAAGUGGGGCCUGGGACUGCCAGAGCAGUCCGGGCCCCCCAGGGCCGCCACAACCAUGACAACCGUCACGGUUGUCACCCCCUGAUGGCGGCCCUGCGCGCAUGCCAACUGCAUUUCCCAAAUCCCAUUGAGUCACAACUAUAGUCAUGUUAACGCACUAAAACGUUUUUUUUAUCCAGCGUAUUAACGCUCGUUUUGAUAUUUCAUGUACUACACUAUGUUUACUCUAUCCUAAUGUUAUUUUUAUCUUAUCAACAUGUUUUAUUAAUAUUACUUAUCUGUAUUUUAAUUGGCUGACCGGAUUUUAGGCACCAAUUUUUAUUAAUUCUUACCUUAUUUAAACUCACCCUGCCAGGUAUUUUGUUUUAAUUCCAUAUUGAGAAAGCCUUUUUUAGGCGAAACGCGUUUGUGGAUUUUAUAUUGUGUAUCUUACUCAUUAAAGAUAUUUUGGUGAGCUCUUACACCGGAGGGCACAAAAACAAUAAUCCUGGCAAGCCGAAUUAAGCCAACAGCCCACGGUGUCCAGAAACCGAUAUAGAACCACACGAGGAACAAAACGGUACAGGUCAUGCACCACAGUGAUUCACGAGCACAUGUACCGGCCAUGCGGCCUAUACUGCAGAGGAGCCUGAAGCCUGGGGGAGGCGGCCGAUCGCCCGGCAAGGGACCUGCUUGCAAGCGAGAACUACAAGAUGCCCAGCUACCCCCCCCUCUGGACCGGCGGGGGAUAUCCCGGUCCUCGCUGGGGACGAUUACCCCCACAGCAAGACGUGAACAAGCGACAACACAUGCGGGUAAACGGGACUGCCAAGGCCCAAACAAGAUGGCGCCACAGGCCCGACAGGCGACAAAAGGCUCCCCUACCAAACCACCUCUUCACACGCUGAACUUCUUUGAACGUCUCUGCACCAGCCUAUGGAAUGGGCUCCGCAGUAGGCGCCGGCUCUUCAAACAAGCGAGAAAAGAAGCGGCGGCAUGGAUUCGUCCUGCCACCCGACACCUACUGAGUGGUUGCCCGACCCGAGUCCCCAAAAGGGCCCUCAGACAGAGAAGAGGCGGGAGUUCGGAAUGGGGGAGAGAGGAGAACGGCUCCCCAGGCUCCAACAAUAGUAACCACAUAUGGCAGCACAAAAUAGCCACACACACCCGACCAACUCACCGACCAGCGGCAUCUGAAGCUUCUGACCAUUGCAGCAUGUCCCCACACUUCUGGACGCACGCUGAACACUCAUACCAAGCACCUAUCACCCCGGGGGCGACCCGGCGCCAGCAGCAAGGUACAGCCAAAAGACCCCAUCAACUCCUGCACAUUCAACGAUCUCAAACGGAGAUCCAGGGGCACAGACAACGGGGAGCUGUGGGACCACAUCUUUCCCAAAGACUGGACCAUGAUCUGCCCCUCACAGGCAUAGGCUAAGCUGAGCUGACAAGUGGAAUUCUCUGGGAAUUACUAUUGUCCAAAUAUGUUUUUCUUCGGAACGCUGAUUUGAUUUUUAUUUAUUUAUUUUUUAUUUAUUUUUCUUUUCAUGUGAUUAUAUCAGCAGUCCUGAUAGCUGAUAUAUCUCUUUUCUUGACUCUCGAUUGAUAGUGCCUUUAUCUACCACCCCAAGGGGGCCCCCUAGGGUGAGCAUGCUGACAGCCCAGAAAUAAGCAAUACGUUUUCUCCAGAUCUUAAAAUGCUGUUUCAAUGGUUUAGCACCCCUUUACAGUGGUCAUCCCACUGCAGCUUCAGACUACAGUGCUACUUAAACCCAAGAGCAAGCAGCUCAGACCCAUUGUGGGACAGGGAAAACACAGGGAGCAUAGUGGGGUAUUGGUCUACUUAAAUAAGCGUGUAUUGCAUAGCACCCCAAAGCUCUAGCCAUAUACAAACCUAAUCAAAAGUAUGCCUCCUCACCAUAGUUUUAUUCGUCCCAUAGCACUCAAACCUAUACCAGUUCUAGUAACCCCUCGCAGUUGGUUUAGCCUGUCUUGAACCCGCGCAUAGUUGCCAAACAUUACGUACCCAAAGUUAUGCAUGUCUAACUGUGAAUGCUUCUAAAUAAGCUAUGAUUAACAGAUACUAUCUGCUACUAAUCUAUGUUAAACAAGACUUCAUCUCCUAACUAAAAAUUGUGCAAGUACCAAUGUAUACUCCAUUGUUACUGAUGUUUGCAAAGCAUGAGGAUUGCCUUUGGGGUACCCCGUGCACAUAUGUUAUUCCAAAUGCACUGCAAAAAUAAAGAAUUUUUAAAAAAAAUAAAAAAAUAAAGAUAUUUUGGUUACUUUUAUUUGUGCCAAUCAUCUUUUAUACACUCUAUAAUAAUUUUUUGUUUUUUACCUGGCAUUUUUAUCGUUGUGGACUCCAAGAAAUCCUAGGUAGGGAUCAAACCACCAACGCUUAUACCAGUGGGCAGUUUGUCUGCCCCACCCUUGUGAGUACCUUUUUAUAUAUAUAUUAACACCAUUGUUUUAUUCAGAGAGCACUAUUGGUUGUCUCUAUUUUAUUCUCUUUGAGUGUUGAACAUACUUUUGAAGCAUGACACCUGCACCAUAUCCCAUAAGCGGGGAUUGUACCGCUGUACGCUGUUCUUACUAGAGCUAGUUAUAGCUCUUACUCAUGUGAGUGCACUACAGUCUUCCUUUUUAUCUUCUAUUUUACCCUAUUGGAUAUAUUGCACUAUUUUGGUUCUAUCUUUUGUUUUUGCAUAUUAUUGGAUCCUUCCGAGGAAGGCCCACGUGGACACUAUCCCUGACCAAGCACGUUACAGACCAUUUGACCUAAAGAAAGAACUGUCAAGUGGGAUAUACUAUUGUUAUCAUAUUAUAUUUAUUUUGUGUGGCGCAGCCCUUUUUCUUUGUGUUCUCUCCCAUUAUUAUUUGUCAGUUGCAAAAACAAAAGAUUAAUUGUAGUAUUUGAAACCCUGUCAGACAGUCGAUCUCCAAAAAUCCUUUAUCUGACUAGUAAGUAGUUUUUUGUUUUUUUUUUGUUUUUUUUUUUUUUAUCUUUUGUCUUAAACCGAAGGUUUGAAAAGAGGAGAGGCACGCACUUUUAAUUCUUGCAUACAUUAAAGGAAAACUGCAGUAUCCUGACACUAUUGAUGUAACAACACAUUUUAGCUCCUCGGAUUUAUUUGCCUCUUGUUAAAGUUAUUUUACUCUUAUUAUUUCCAGUGCCACACCAGUCUUGUCGCGGCUAACUCCGUCUCCCAUCCUGUGAUCAUUUGACAAUCUCAGCCAAUCCAAUGCAUUCCCAUAGCAAAACAUUGGGGGGCUAUUAUGCAUGUACUGCAAAUGCCAAUCAGCAUCUUCUCAAAGAGCUGCAUUUAACCAGUGCAUCUCUAUAUGGAGUGUUCAGUGUCUUCAUGCAGAGCGUGCAGCACUGACCCAUGAUGCACUUUUAAUGGCCCUCUGAGUGACUGCCACUAAAGGUAUUCCUAGGCAGUAAUGUAAACACUGCCUUUUCUCUGAAAAGGCAGUGCUUACAGCAAAAAAGCCUGCAAGAACAGGCUAUAGAUACCAGAGUCAUACAUUAAAGCAUCACUAUAGGGUCAGGAACACAAACGUAUUCCUGACCCUAUAGUGUUAAAACCACCAUCUAGCCCCCCUGGGCCCCUCAUGCCUCCAUAAACAUAGCAAAAUCUUGUUUCAAGCCAGAAGCUGUAGAUCUGCAUUCUAUUUGCCUAAAAAAACAAAAAAACAGUCUGCUGACAUCAUCAGAAGUGGUAGCCGGAUCCAAUUACAGUGCUUCCCCAUAGGAUUGGCUGAGACUGACAAGGAGACAGAUCAGGGGCAGAGCCAGCACAAUUCAAACACAGCCCUGGCCAAUCAGCAUCUCCUCAUAGAGAUGAAUUGAAUCAAGUGAAUCUCUAUGAGGAAAGUUCAGUGUCUGCAUGCAGAGGGUGGAGAUACUGAAUGUUUGGAUGCAUUUUAGGCAGCCAUGACCCAGGAAGGAUCUCUAACAGCUAUCUGAGGAGUGGCCAUUGAAGUUAUCACUAGGCUGUAAUGUAAACACUGCAUUUUCUCUGAAAAGACAGUGUUUACAGCAAAAAGCCUGAAGGUAAUGAUUCUACUCACCAAAGAAAAUUCAAUAAGCUGUAGUUGUUCUGGUGACUAUAGUGUCCCUUUAAGGUUUUUUUUUUAUUUUAAAUGUACCAUAUAUACUCGAGUGUAAGACGAGUUUUUCGGCACAUUUUUUGUGCUGAAAAACCCCCCACUCGUCUUAUAUUCGAGUCAAGGUCUGUAUUAUGGCAACUUACAUUUCCAUAAUACAGACCAGGACCUCCGGGUUACCAUGGCAACGCUCCGCGCGGCACUCGGACCGCGAGACUUACACUGGAGCUGACCGUAACGGAGGUAAACGGAGCUGACAGGAGCUGCAGGAAAGGUAAGUAACAGCUUGCUCCCAGCCCCCCUCCUGCACAGCCAAUCCACUGGACCACCAGGGAAUAAUAUAGCCCCCCUCCCUGGCCAUGUAUCAAGCAGGGAGGGGGGACAAAAAUAAAUAAAUCUUUAAAUAAUAUUAAAAUAAUUUUAAUAAUAUUAAAAAACAUUUUUUUUUAAAUUUAAUAUUAAAAUAAUAAUUAAAAAAAUAAUAAAAAUGCCCACCCCCUACCAAGGUUACACACUCUGCAUCACAUACACAAACACACUCUGCAUUAUAUACACACUCUGCAUUAUAUAUACACACUCUGCAUCAUACACACACACACACACACACUCUGCAUUAUAUAUAUACUGUAAAUAAAUAUUCAAUUAAUAUAAUUUUUGGGGGAUCUAAUUUUAUUUAGAAAUUUACCAGUAGCUGCUGCAUUUCCCACCCUAGUCUUAUACUCGAGUCAAGUUUUCCCAGUUUUUGGGGGUAAAAUUAGGGGUCUCGACUUAUAUUCGGGUUAAAUGAAAUGAUCACUGGUAAGUUAUCCUGAUAUGUCCUGGAGUUGAAUCGAAUACUUUCAUAUUUUGCAUUAAUUAAAUCUUGCAUACAAAUGUAAAAACAUAUGCUAAGAAUAAUUAAAAUACAAAAUAAAAUUGGGCUUUCUCGGCAUCCAAGAAAUACAAUGGAGAUUCUGUUCCCUACUGUAUACUUUGUCUUUUGUUAAUUUUGGAAGCCAUUCUUUAGAGAAGACCUUUCCAGUUGAAGUCUCACUAGAUUUAUUGUAGAAUAGGUUUGGUCAGUGUAUAUACUUAUUUUACAUCUUGGUUUGUGUAUUGUCAGUGGAAAAGACUGUCUAUGCAAACCUGUGUGUGUUAUCUCCUAAGAUUCCCAUUUUGUUCUACUGUAACUAAUUUGUGCAAUAAAUAUCACAACUGAAAUACGCUUUCAUUUUUUUUUUUUUUUAUUGUACAAUGUUCUUUUCUAUUAAACGUCGUAGAAAUUAUUACUGUGGACUUUAGGUUUUUUUGUUGUUUUUUUUGUUGUUGUUGUCUCACAGUGAGAGCACCACGGCUGAACACAAAAUAUGGUAGAUGCUUAUAUUAAAGGAUCACCAUAGGCACCCAGACCACUUCGGCUUAAUGAAGUGGUCUGGGUGCCAGGUCCAUCUAGAAUUAACCUUGCCUGCUGUAAACAUAGCAGUUUCAGAGAACCUAUGGGUUAAUCCAGCCUCUAGUGGCUGUCUCAUUGACAGCCGCUAGAGGCGCUUCUGCGCUUCUCACUGUGAUUUUCACAGUUUUCCUGGCACUAUACUGGUCCUUUAAUAUAAUAAUGUGUUCUAUAAAGAUGAUCUUAAUAUCUCUUCAUUUGUAUGAAUGUAGCAGUCCUAAGAAAGCCUCCUUACAGUUUCAUCAAGCUUUCAUUUGCAUUUAGCAGGCAAGAACAAAGUGUUCUCUUGAUGUUUUAAUUAAAACAGCAUGGAAUGGUGAAAAUAUUAUUGCUCCUCCAUGACUAUUUAGAUUUGGCUAGCAGCGUCCUUUAAAAGCAUCACAUCCAGUGCUUGUUGUCAGAAAUCAAAUUAUUCCUUUAAAACCUAUUUUGGCAAUGCUUUAAGGGACUCUAUAGCAUUUAUUGUGAUAGCAGGAAAAUUGAAAAUAAAAUGCAGCGACAGUGUUCCUAAUCUUAGUGUAAUUAAAAUCCUUUCUAGGUUUGUCCCCCUCCCCACUAAAGUAAUACAAUUAAAAAGAUUUUACCUGCUUUAGGUGUGACUAUAGUUCCUCUCCUGGCAAAGUUCAUCAUUAGUGAUGAUCUUGGUCAACCCAAUACUACCCCAUGCACAACAGUUGCUGUACUGCAACAAUCAGCACCUUGUCAUAGGGGGGGAGGAAGGGGUUGGAAUUAGUGCUGUGGAAGGACUGGCCACCCCUGGAAGUGGACACUGUACAAUAAAUCUAGCUGAGGCUGCAGUAGACUGGCAAAUAUGGGGAGGUGCAACCACUCCUCGCGAGGCACACAGAUGAAGGCUGCCGGAAUACAGCAUCAUAUCCUGGUGGCCUACACUCUGUGCGUUGAAGAAAUAGAAUUGAAGGGGUAAAGCUGCAGACAGAGUGAUGGACCAUAAAUGCUGCUUGUAAUGUUAAAGCUGCAUUCUGACUGUGCAGUAUGUGGGUCAUAUGUAAAUUGUGUGUAAAUGGGUCAGUUUGUCUGUUUGCCAGUAUGGAGUGCGUGUAUGGGUAUGUGUUUGCAACAGAAUGCACAGUGUGUGGCGCAGUAAUUGUGUGUGUCAAACAAUGUGUGUGAGUUGGUCAGUGAGGACAAAAAAAAGUCUAAUUUUAGUUUAUGAAAUUUGUAAGCUUUAUCCAUAUAUUGCAUGUAUUAUAUACAUUUUAUAAGCAUUGCUUAUGAAUGCAUAAGUCAUGUUUUAGAGAAUAAAAAUCUGAAUCACAUUACUUUAAAAAUACAGCCAGCACACACACUACAUAUAGAGCCAGCACACCUCGCAAGCAUACACACAGACCACAUACACACUAUGAAAGACUAUGGGGGUGCUAAGGGUGAGACAUUUAGGGUAAUUCAUAAAAUUUAGAAUUUCACACCCCUUUACUUGCUUUCUGAGUGACAGCUGUUAGAGGUGGUAUUAGGAAGCCAUGUAAACACUGCCUUUUCUCAUGAAAGUUGUCAUUCAUAGAAUAAUAUGUUGAGUGAGAAUAAACAAGACAGUGUGUACGGUGAGCUGUUAUAAAACUGUGAUUUUUAUUAUACUGUUAGACCCAUGACUGUCUGGCAUUCCAGGUUUCUGUCAGUGAUAAGUGCAGCAUUCAGUUAUUAUUCUCUAUUAUUAUCUAGAUGUGCUUAUUGACAACAUGCUGUGCAUCAUCAGUACAUCUGUACAUCUCAUGAAUUUAUGAUAAUUUGCCAUUUCCUGAUCGAGGUUUUAUAAAUAGAACAGCACAGUGGUAAUACAUUCAUGAAAAAUAAAACAUUAAAUAGGUAGGAAAUAGUUUCACAUUCCUCUCUGCAUUCAGCUUGCCAGGGUGCUUUAUCUGUGAGGAGUAUCCUAUUUUAAUUCAAUAUUAUACAAGUGGCAAUUUCUAUACUUUUUUUAUAAUUAAAUUAUAAACCCCCUCCCUGGCUGUCAAUCAGCCAGAGUGCUUCCUCAUUGUGUUAGUUCCUCAUUCUGUUCCUCAUUCUUUUAACUUCAGGCGUACACUCCUAUAGCUUUCUUUCUCUUUCUUUCCUUCUCCCCCAUUAAUCUUCUACAGACCUUAGACCUGCUGCUCCAGCUCGUUCGCAGAUCACAGGCCUGUGCACACAGAGGGCACAGAUUUAGAAUGAGAAGAGUAUCUUGCAAGAAAAAAGGGGUGAGCUUGCAAAGACUGCAACCAUAAGAACUACUGUUUUUGCAAACUCUUUUCAGUUAUUCCUCCAAUGACUGCAUCCAUUCAUUCGUUGGGGUAAAUCUACUAAACAGUGGUUUUUGUUUUUACGAAUGUAUCUAUAUUUUCAGUUUGGAGGGGAUUGAAUCAAUGCAUCUCUAUGGGGAAUGGAGAACAUGGAGAUGCUGUUCAAUCAGGGAGCACCUCUAGUGGCUGUCUGCGUGACUGUCCCUACAGGUGUUCCUAGGCGGUCUUAUAAACACUGAAGUUUCUCUGAAAAGGCAGUGUUUACAUUAAAAGGGCCGACUACCUACACCAGAACAAGCUGUAGUUGUUCUGGUGAAUAUAGUGUCCCUUUAACAGUGAUGUUGCUUGAAUAUACUGACUGCUCACACCUUUUGUAUAAAGAAUGCAAAAAGCUUUGCUGCUUUUGAUAGAGUUCAGUAUUUCACUUCAAAGAUGCAAAGAUAAAUAUUCCAUAGUAACCUGUACAGUAAUGACUUUCAUAGAACAGGUACCAUAUGGUUCACUUGUCUCCAAUGCAGUUAUGGACUUAAGACUAUGAAAUGAUGCUUGCAGCAAAUACUUGCACAGUGAAAGGCAGAUUGUAUAUACUUAGCUAAACAAUAGAGUAAACCACACCAAAAGUAAAUAAAAGUGGUAUAGAACUUCCCUUAAGACUCUAAAUUUAAAGGGACACUCCACUGCCCAAAUAAAAUAAAUAAAAACAAAUAACUGUAGUAUAUAUACUCCCAAUGUAAAUUUGCAUACAUUAACAUAUGCAUUUUUUUAAUUGGGGGCAUAUCUAAAGAUAGUUUAUAAUAGAUCUCUUGUCUGCAGCCUUUGCAAGCCUUCCCCUUCUAACCCCUCCCAGACUUUCUGUGGCGGUCCAAUCACAGAUUUCCCAAUGCAGCUAAAUGAAACGUCUUUGCAAGACAGGUACUUUGAGCAAUUGCUGCCUCUUGAGUUUAGCUCCACUGAGCUAACUAAGCAAAGAAAUAACUUAAAAUUAUGCAUAAAUGUGCCUGAAGGAGCUAUUGACCUGUUGAAAGUAGAACUGCGAUGAUAUAUAUUAUUUUAUAAGCAGUUCCCUGGAGCCUUAUGAAUAUGAUGGAUCUGUGCCACUGGGGACACACCAAAACAGCAUAAAAACCUCAAGGUUGGACCCAAAGCUAGGUUAACAUCCACUUUUCUAGAGGAUGUUUGAGUUACCAUUGUGUAUAGUGUUAGUGCAUGGCUGCCCAAUAGGUAUAUCCCCAGAUGUUGUAGAACUACAACUCCCAUGAUUCUUGGUAUGCAUUUAGAAUGACAAAGCAUCAUAGGAGUUGUAGUUCUAUUCUACAAAGUAGGGGGGUCUAUCUAUUGGGCAGCUCUGUGUGUUAGUAUAUUUAAAGGAGAUGUUAUUCACUAUAAAUCAAUGGUUCCCAAACUGUGUGCCGCAGAAUAUUUCCCCGGUGCUAUGAUUAUAGCACCGGGGAAACAUUACCGGUGAACAGGGACCCAGUCAUUUAAGGCCGCGACAGGGCAAUGUCGGCUGGGAGCAAGUGACAGUCUGUCACUUUCUCCCAGCAUCCUGCAGGGAGACAGCGUGGGAGGGAGAGGAGCAUGAAGCGCUCCAGAUCCCUCAUUACUACAGCAGCAGGACUCCAAGCCACCCUCCUCGCACAUAAGGUAAGCUAACAGGAGGGUGGCUGGAGAUAUAUAUAUAAAAAAAAAAAAAAAAUCACUUGUGUGUGAGUUCGUGUUUGUGUGUGUGUGUAUAUAUUUGACAGUGUGCAUCUGUGUCAUGGUGUGGGCAUGUAUCAAUGUUUGUGUGUGUCACGGUGCAUGUGUGUGUAUUUAUAUGCAUCUGUGUGUUAAGGUGCAUGAAUAUCUGUGUAAGUAUGUACGUAUGUGGUAGUGUAUGUGCAUACAUCCAAGCAAACUUCAGCACAACAUACAAGCACACUUCUGCAAUCUAACACAAAUAUUACAUACACACACCCCUGUAUUUACACACAAAAAUAUAUAUAUAUAUAUAUAUAUACACACCCCUUCACUUAAACACAAAUAUUUCACACAAAUGUCCAUCCACAUUUAAAAGUGAACAUUACAUUCAGACACACCCCUGUAUUAAAACACAAUAAUAUAUACAAGGAUCCCCCUUUAAACACCAACACUGUUCAUUACACUAUAGCAUCAGUAAAUGCUGCAGCGCUGUUCAGAUAUACAACCUAGAAAUUUUGACUUUGGGUGCCUUGGAAAAAUACUGAACUAUUAAGGGCGCCUUGAACCUAAACGUUUGGGAACCACAGCUAUAAAUGAUGAAUUGUUCCGUAUGAUAUUUAUCAAGUGUGAGUAAAGAGUUAAAUAUUUCUUAAAAUAAAGUUCCAGGUAUGUUAAAAUUACCUAGUAGCACAAUCUGGAACCAGUUCUAAUUUUUUUUCUGUUGAAUAGAAGAUAAGACACCAUACACGCAUGAGAGCUACACAAUGUAUUUCAGCUUCUCCUGCCUAAAGCAGUAAAAUAAAUUACAAAUUCUCAGGCAGAAAUUAAUUCAUUAAUGUGUUCUAUGAUAAGAAAAGCCAACCGUCACACUGCCUGUAUUUUAGUUGAGAGAUUUAUUUUAAAAUAUUUUAUAACAUCUUGCUGUGUGACUCUGUACCAUACAUUUUAAAUCUGUUUUAUAAAAAAGUAAAAUAUAUGUGCAAUAAAUAAAAACACUGUGCAUGUGUAAAUCUAACUUUUUUUGGGGGGGAGGGGAGGGGGGGGGGAUGGGUUAGGUACGGGAUGAGGGUGUUGCACUAAACCCCUAUCCUUGACAGCUCCCUUUCUUUUCUUUUUGUAAAUCUAACUCUACCUAUUAUUUGUGUUUAUUUUUGACACAGAAUUACAGUAAAAUAAUCUGAUUUUAUUUAAUCCUAGUGAUAAAUUAUUACAGAGUAAACAAGCACAUUCUACCUCUGAAAGUGAAGGUAGUAAAUCUGUAAGAUUGGCUAUCAUCCUAUUCUUUAAAAAAAUAAAUUGUUUCAAUUAAUACAUCAAAUAUACUAUUGAUUGCAGAAAGUGAGACACGUUGUGUGCUUUAUAACCAGUGCCAAACACAUUCUCUGAUUCCGUCUGAAACCACUGUAUACCACAAACACUGUGAUCAUCAGAGGGCAAAAACGGGCCAUGAGGAAAAUUCCAAUUUGCUUUUAAGCCUUGUAAUUACCAUGUGGAACAUACUAAUUGAUUGCUUUGUGGUUUAUACUGAAAAAGGCAGCACACACGGGUAAAUGUUAAACCUCCUGCACUUUGGGGACAUUCAGGUUCAUUCUCUGCCAUGAAUGAUCUAAUGCUUUCUAUAAUCUACUAGCUUCUUGCCCUGCCUAAUUAUUGAACUAAUGACACUGUUUUAUUCCUUCCACACCCAUCAGCAAAUUGCUCCUAUUUGCAAGAUGUACAGGAGUGAUUGAUAUUCGCUGUGUUUUUCAAUAUUUUGUCUCUUUUCUUCUGUCUUUAAUGGCCGGGUAAGGUCAGGAUGGUAGUUAAUUGUAUGUAAUUAUUUAUUAUUCUGACUUGAUGAAUGCCAGCCCCUUAGAUGUAACAUCCAGAAAGAUGAGGUGAGAAGGUCACGGCAUGUAAGCAUACUUGGGCAUUGUAGCACUUGUGAAGCCCACCAUUCUAUAAAAAGGUCACGCUAAGAUGGAGUGUUGAGGUUCAGAUGACUAAAUUGUCCAUGCAAUGCUGUUGAGUGCAGUUUCAAGAUGGAUAAUAUUCCUGAGUACUUAUUGAUAGUAUACCUAGUAGCCUACAGAGUAUUGCUUUUAAUGGACAUCAAAUUGCUUAUGUCCGGCUUAGAAACUGGGAAAUUAUAGUUUAAUAGCUGGAGAGAGCUGCCUUUUGGCUAUCUAUUCUAUCUCUAAAUAGAAUGUUUCUUAGUGCAGUUCAGGCAUUUUUUUAAUAUUUCUAAAAGUUUAAAUGACUUUCUAACUACUUUGCCUUGGAGCUCUGUGUUCCUUUAUAAUUGUCUACACGUUAUGUCUUUUCAAAGGAUUGUUUUUGUUUGUUUUAUUUCAGUAACUGUUGUAUAACUGGAGGGGUAUGUGUGAUGACCUUUUUAUAGCCAGAGUCUCAAUUCUCUGUCUUGUUCAAAGGCAAAUCCUUCAUUGGUGUGAGUAAUGCAGUAGAGAUAAGUUUAAAAUAAUUUUUGUUCCAGGUUGGCUAAUGACACCCCAAUAUACUGCCUGGGGUGUAGUUACACCAGUAGUUUGCCUGUGCGGAAUGCUGACUGUCAUGGUUCUUAGACUUUUUUUCAGUUUUCUGUUUUUGUAGCUGAUAUAAUUUUUUUGUAUUUGAAAUAAAAUGUAAAAAGUAAUUAUCUCUGCAGUUUUUUGGCUAGCGAUUUAUCACUUUGUUUUCUUUUAUUUCUGUAACAAGCUGUAAACUUGUAAUGAGUUAGUAGGAAAGAGAAUCCCAAAGGAUGCUGUUCUAAAACUGCCUAUGUACUUCAGUUUAGCUUGGAAAUAAUACACAGAUAUGCUGCUGUAGCGGAAUAUCACCAACAUCCAUCAUUUAACAAUGUGUUCUGUUCAGUUUCUCCACAGGGUAAAUACCAUUUACACAAUGUUCUCUUUAAUAUGAGAAUAUUAAUACAUAUUGAUGCUGAGAAUAGGCCCUUCAGUAUUAUGUGCUGCGGAGAGAACCUAAAUGAAAAGCUCUCAUUUACUUGUGUGGGUUUUUUAAAAGAAAAUUUUAUUUUAUUUUGUUUGCACAUGUAUAAAUUGAAAGGAAUUAAUGCUCCGUCAUACAUCAGACAAAUGUCUUUGAAUACAGGGCUCACCCUGAAUUCCUGUUGCUAUUUACAAACCUCCUCUCUGCCUCAACCAGGGUACGUGUCAGCAGAAUCUCUUUGAAAAACACUGUACUAAACUCAAACAGUCAAUCGAAUCAUGAUAGAAAUACUUCAGGCACCUGAAGUGAUUAUGGUGCCCAGAAUUAACGGACGUCCGCCUAAUGUAUGUAUUCAAACCUUUUGUAAACAGUUUGCUAGCGUACUAGGGCCCGUUGGCUGUUUGUCACAACCUUCAGUAAAGCCAUAGAGCUAAACCCUUCACCGCAGUGUGCAGACUUAUUGGCUGAGACUGUCGGCUGUGCACUCUAAGCCAAUGGGUUAAACCCUGCACUGCUGGCUAGCUCUCAACAAACGAGCUAAGCCCUGCACCUUUGUCUUUCUUGGAGGAGAUGACCAGCAGACCACAGGUAACCUGUAAAACCAUUGCAAACUGUUCCACUACUUGUCAUAGGAUCAUACUGGCUACAGUGUUCCAUAGUGGUUAUGGUGCUUGGAGUGUUUGUAUAAGUUAAAAUUUGCUUUUCUUGCCCUCUAAAUAAUGCCAAUACCACAUUCUCUAUUGAGUCCAGGUAGUAAUGGGGUACUUUGAUAGGCAUAUGACCUCAAUAGGCAACUUUCUCAUAGUUUUUCCCCCUACCCAAGAAAUUCGAAUUUCAAGGCGAAAGCAACCCACAAAAUGGAUCAUUCUGGAGCUGUAUCCACCAAAUGCCCUGUUUGGGUCCAGUUAUGGCAUGGUCAGCCCCUUUAAAUAGCAUAUGGUGGUAAUACAAACCCGUGUCAAAUUUUACACAUGACAGGGGGCUGUGGGCAAAUUAACGCCUUAUACUCUCAGAAAAAGGACUAGUGUUAGAUUAUACUAUGUCUCCUCUUGCCUUUUAAAACUUUGUUGUCUGUUGGAAUUUUCAAGCAUUUGAAAGACCUCAGCUGCUCUCAUGCUAAUGCCACAUUGAUUAAGUCUGUAGCAAUGGUAUUUGCAGUUGUAGCUAUUCAUACAUAAUGGCAGAUGAACCCUUGUGUACCAGUUGCUUGUUCCUCUGAUAGCAUUACAGUAGCUGACCUUAUUCAGUGUGGCAUGACACAAGUACUAUACCUUUUAUAUUUAAUUUACAGUCUAGGACAGUAACACCGAGAUGCAUGCCAAGAGAACACAUGCAAAUGUUACGGUUGGUUUAGGGUUUGGAAACAACACGGUUGAUCAGUUUUACAGCAUUCCAAAUAGUAAUGCCCACAUUUUAUAUUCACACUUUGCAGCAAAUGUAUGGACUCUGACAUUCCUCUAGUAGUUUAACAGUCUUUCAAGCAAUAAGACAGCUUCUUAUUGAGUGUUACCAUACAUUUUUAAAGGGACACUAUAGUCACCUGAACAUCUUCAGCUUAAUGAGGUUGUUCAGGUGAGAACUAUAGCUCCCUGCAGCCUUUCUCAUGUAAACACUGUAUCUUCUGAGAAAAUACAGUGUUUACAUUGAAAGCUAGGAACACCUCCAGUUGCAGUCACUCACAGUGAACCAGAGGGACUUCUGAGUUGAUGGAGGCAUAAUAUGAUCAGGCUAUCACAUGUCCGUAGACUGCUUGUUUUUCCUGAGUCUAACAGCAUGCAGAUUUACAGCUUCUGGCUUGAAUACAGUAAGAUUUUUACUAUAUUUAUGGAGGCAUGAGGGGCCCAGGGGUCAUGUUAACACUAUAGGGUCAGGAAUAGAUGUAGUUGCACUGGUGACUAUAGUGUCCCUUUACGUAUAUCAAAAGAAUCUUGUGUACAUAAACAAGUUCAUAUCUAUCGUUCAUUUUAUUAUUUAGCUUUUAGUUAAAAAGGAAAAUGUAGCACUUAAUUGUAGAUUAUGCUAACGUAGUUUACCUAUAAUAUUAAUUUUAGUAAUGACAGGAGGAGAGUAUUUUGCAUUAACUUUCUUUAAUUACUUCAGCAGCAAAUCUCAAUAUAAAGUACUAACCAAUCAGAAUGAAGAAACACAGUAAAUAAGCCUUAGUCUGCCCACACAAUUCCACUUUCUUUGGUGCGAAAUGUAAGGAUCAAUUAACUCCAAACGUAAGAACGGAAAACAGGAACUUGGAACCAUCAGAAUAGAUCCCCAUAAGGAAAAAACUGGCGGACAACGAAGAAAAACGACUAGCUUUGUGUAAGAUGAGUUUCACCCUGGAAAGAACAGAGAUAAUUGAAAGGCGAGAGCCAUGGCGUUGUAUCAUCAUAAACGACCAAUAUAACAUACUAACUCAUCCUGAGACAUCCAGUAGUAUUUGAACUAAUGUCUAACUGUGGUAAAAAAAAAAAAUCACCAAUAAGCACGAUACCAUAUUACAGUCCAAAUAACACCCCUAUGAACAAAAUAAGAUACAUAUAUGGGUGGGACAGAAGAAGAAAGAAUAGGGAGGGAAAAUACUCUCCUCCUGUCAUUACUAAAAUUAAGAUUAUAGGUACACUAUGUUGGCAUAAUCUACAAUUUUAUCACAUGACAAGAGGCUUCCUAUUUUACAUUUUUAACGCUUGAGGAAGAAGAGCAAAAGAAACAUGAGAAGGACGAAAAUAGAACACACGGAAUGUAUCUUCGUGUGACCAAUCAGCUGAACGCAUGAUAUCAGCAAGCGAAGCGGCCGACGAAAACGCCUGUGAUGCAGCCGCACUUCGUACCAAAUGCACUCUGAAACAAGAUACAAUGCCAGCUAAAGAUAGAAGCCAAUGUAAUCAUCUGGCCAAAGUAGUGGCCUAUACCGAUCGAUGUGGCUAGACAUAUGAGAUGAGUAAUUGACCCAUCGAGGAGCGACGAAGCGGAGCAGUAACUUCCAUGUAAUGUAAUAACGUCUUUACCACGCAGAGUUGAGGGUCUUGAGGAAAAAAACGGGAAAAAAAAGUCAUUGAGUCAGUCUUAGUGCUUUGAGAAACCAAAAUGAGACCCCGUCCACCUUGAAAGCUCGAACAUCGGAACCUGACGAUAGGACACCAAACAGAGCAAAAGCGUUGGUUUCACGGAGUGUUGCUGUAACAAUAAUGAAUUGCCUGGCCAGCCACAGAGAAAAUGCAGAACAAUGUCAGUGUCCCGAAGGUGUGCAUAUUUCGAGGCAGAGGACUUGACAAUUUAAUCCCACAGAGCAGUCUACAAACAAGUGGGUCUUGACCAACCGGUAGGCCCCGAAUCGGAAUGUGGGCCGCCGAACGUAAAAUGUUGAUGGAACAAUAGGCUAGUCCUGAUGAAAACAGAUGAGAUAAAAAGUUUAACACUAUGGGAAUAGGUACAGUAAAGGGAUCAGAGUCUCUUUCCAAACACCAGCCAGUCCAUUUGUUCCAGGAUGUGAGGUAGCUGCACCUAGUGCCAGGCGCCCACAAGUCCCAUGACAAGUCCCUAGUGACCUGUGAUAGACCGACCGACCAGGAUCCCCUGAAAUCGUCAAAGCCACGAGUUACAGAUGGUCAUGGAGGAUGAGGGGGUGAGGUGCCCCCUGAGUGUCGGUCAGGAGAUGAGAACAAAGGAAUGAGGAGAUGGUCUUUGGCGAUAGCUCCAAUUGGUCCGGGAACCAAGCCUGGCUCGGCCAUAACAAUGUGAUGAGGAGCAGAGAGGUUCCCUGAACUUGAACCUGUUGUAGGACUCUUGCCAACAUGGAGAACGGAGAAAAGGCAUAAGCUCCUCUCGGUGGCCAUCUCUGGAGAAACGCGUCCACCACUUCGCAUUCUGGAUCCGAAAGCCAGCUGAAGAACCUGGGAAGAUGGCGGUUGGUCUGGGAAGCGAAUAGGUCGAGUUGGAACGGGCCCUUGCAGUCGAUUUAGUCUCGUGGAGACGUGAAUCGUUGCUGUCCCUCGUUGUCGUACCAAUCCGCUGUGCAGUUGGAUAUCCCUGGAAUGUAUUCCACCCGCAACGUGAUGUUAUGGGAUAGACAAAAAACUGUAGAUGUCCUUGGUCACUUCCAAUAAAGUCUGUGAACCAGCACCGCCCAGGUGGUUGAUAUAUUGAAUGGCUGAGACAUUGUCCAUGCACAGCAGGAUACAGCAAUUGGUCAUGUUGCGAGCCAAGCUGCGAAUGGCGAAGGACCCCAUUCCAAGCAGUUGAUAUGUAGAUCGGUCUCUUCGCCCAAACAAGGUCCUCCGGUGGAUGAGUCCACACAGUGGACCUCCCCAGCCCCAGAGGCUGGCAUCCGACUCCACCACAAAGUCCGGUGAUGUGCCAAAUAUGACCUUCCCGUUCCAAGACUGCAUAUGUAGAAGUUACCAAUGGAGUUCCAUCUGUACUUCGGCGUUGAGUGGUACCUUCUGGUCGUAUGAGAGGCCGGAUCGCUGGUAGUGUGCCUUCCAUCUCUGCAUGGCCCGAUAAUGGUAAAUUGCUUGUAUGGAGGUCGAAAAGAGGCCGCCAAUCCGAGCCAACUGUCUAAGAGGAACGUGCUCCAUGUGUAGAAUCCUUCGAAUUUCUUUCCGAAUGGCCUUUAUUUUCUGGAGGGGUAGGCGUAGCACACAUGCAUUCAAGUCUAUUUCGAAUCACAGGAAUUGGAUAACUCGAGUCGACACCAGUGCUGACUUUUCCUGGUUGACUAUGAAGCACAAGGAUUCGAGAAAGCAUUCAGCAAAGUCCGUCUGAUAUUGUAGUCACGACACCAAAUCGCAGAAAAUCAGCAAAUCGUCCAGAUAAAUGAUGCAUCUUACCCCCAUAGAUCGGACACGAGCCAUGAUUUGGUUUCAGUAGUUUCGUGAAAAACACCAUGGGGCCGAGUUGAAUCCGAAUGGGAGACAAGUUAACUGGCACGGCCGACCUCGCCAAUGGAAACAGAGGAACCUGUGGUAUGAAGGGUCCACCGACUGGUAGGAGUCUUUGAGGUGUGAGCCAUCAUAAAACAGGUAGGUCGCUAAACGAGGACCACCUGUAUUGCAUUCUCAACAGAGCCAGAGUUUAGAGUAUCCUAGCGUGGACCACUCAAUGACUCUCUGUAGGUGGACCGCCCUGUAAUAAAUGGCCAGAUCUGAGAGUACUAGACCCCCUUAGAGUAUAGAUCAGAUAAGUAGGGAGUAUCUAAGUUGGGCUCUUUGUCCCUACGUCUCUUUCAUUUUAAUCAUAAAUGAUUGCAUACUAUUGAAAUAAAACAUUCAUAUUUUAUAUAAUUAAUUAUGCUCAACAGUUUACAUUGUUUGUGCACAGAGAGAGUAUACAUAAAAAGUAAGCAUGAACCCAGCUGUCAAACUUGCACUGAUGUGAAAUGUCUUCGUUUUGCAUUCAUCACUGGUUUCACCCACCAGACUCUAGGCAUCAGAGAAAGCAGUGCUGUCACUGCGAAAAAUGAGUUUCUAAGUUAAACCCUGCUCAGAAUGCAAAAUCCCUUGGCAGUUGAAGAAAAAAUAAAAAAAUGAAUGAAUGGAAUGUUUUAUUUCCCAGGGAUAAAUGUGAUGGAUGGUUUUCCACAUUUUCAAGUUUUUCUUGCGUGCUUUGAAGCAUUUACAAUCACUGUAUCAGUAGACCUGGCAGUUCUAAUAACCCCAAUACUCUAAAAGCAUUAUCCUAUUACAAUCUAGUUACCGUUACUGUAUGGAGAGAAAAAAAGAAACCAAGUUGCACGUUCCCUAUUUAUUUUCUCACACUGAUUUAUUUGCUGGGAGGUGGUGCAGAGCUUGCGUGGACAUGUGUUUCUCUGGGGUAUAAUUAUUCCAACUAUCUAAUUAUGUCAUUAUGAUUAUAGUUAACCAAACUGAAUAUGUAUAAAUCCGCAUGAGUUACACAUCAGUUUUUAAUAUUGCUUGAAACCCACAGCAGCUGAAUAUUUGUUUAGAUUUUUGUUCAAAUGACUUAAUUUAUGAUUAUUGAAAAAUGUGAGUGUGGCAAGGUGAAGUUGGUUGACAGUGUGUGUUGGGUGGCAGUUUGGCCAGCCUCCCCACACUGUGAUCUGUUAACCAGUGGUCUCCCUCCCUGUUGGUCCUGUGGACUGGCUAUCCAGUCAGCAGCUCCGCUGGGUGCAGAGUUGCAGACCAUAUGGUUGUCUUGCGAUCUCCGUCACUGGAAGUGUCAGAACGUUGCCAUGGUUUGCAUCUUUCGGAGCUGCAGACUCUGCUGGGCUCUCGCUCCCCAUUGCAGACUGAAUGGAGGGGGCGCCACAAUCUGCGACACACAGGGUAAGCCGCCAGGACCUCUACCGUUUCAGGCCCUCUUUCACGGACUGGGGCCAUAUUGAUCAGUACGCCCUAAGGCGAUUGAGGUGGCUUCCUAAGUCUCCUAAUUAGAGGGCCGUCUCCGAGUUAACUUGUAUGCUUUGGACCCAUGCACGGGUUGGCUCAGGGCAGCACACUGGUUGCGGAGCACUACACUACAUAUACGUUUUUUCACAUACCUCUCGAUUAUUUCGUUUUCAUGGCCUUGUGUUUAUAUGCCUGUUUCCCUUAUAGUAUUUACGAUCUGACUUGCGAGAGUUGUUGUACUACAUCAGCUGAAGGGUGUAGGUUUCUCCCUUUGGGUCUCAGACCAUAUUAAAUAAAUGUCACAUUCAUUGUAGUUUUAUUGCGGUUGUUUAUAAAACAUUAAAUCAUUCAGGACAAAGUUCUCAAUAUCACCAUGAUAAUUUGUUCCUCUAUCUAUUACAGUGUUUUAGUAACCUGGCUAGUAGUAAAGACGUAAAAUCAAUGUGAGGCAUGCUAGGAGCAUAUUGGAAUCCAGCCUGAUAAACUGACUAUUAACGUUAGCAGCUGGGGCACCUGGUAGUGCUGUUUGUGUCUGCAAUGAAAGCAAUGGAUUAAUACCGUGCAAUAGCCUGGAACGCUUCUAUUACUAGAAGAACAACAGUGUGGAAUAUAGAGCUUCGCUGUACAGCGUAUUAAAAUCCUCUGCAAUAGGUGAAUUUGGGUAACUUAAUUGUGGCCAAUAAGGUAUAGGUUUGAGCAUGAUAAACGUGGUCUGUUCCAAACAAUGCUACCAGCCUCAAAGUUAUAGAUGUAUUCUUCUUUUUAUUUUAUUUUUAUUCUUUAGUUUGGUAGUGCAGUUGAUGGGUUACAGGCUAUGCAUGUCAUAACGUGGAAAAUCAAACCUGAAUCGAAACAUAACCAGAUUACACACAUCCGUUUACAGAUAGGAAAAUAAUAACACCCUGCACUAAUUUUAUGAUUAGGUCACGUCUGUCUAUUCUAUGGGUAGGCCGUGUGGUGUGGUUGUCUGUGGUCACUUCGUGACAGGGAGUAAGCACACCGUGAUCGUAAAGCUACCCGUAGUUGAGUUUGCUUCGGCACGGUUGUAUUCAGGGGUUAGAUUACUGCCGUACAUUUGGAUGCAGUCCACUAUUUGUGUCAUGGGUAGCUGGCUUUAGAGGUGGAGGCGGGUGAGUAAGUCCCUGCCUUUGUCAAUUAGGCGUGUAGAGGGUGCAUGGUCUAGCUCCGUCAUAACUUGGGUCAAGUUGAGUCAAGUAUAUGAAUUAUGUAAGACUGAGAAGUGCUGAGCUGCUCUCAUAAAUCCGUAAGGCGUAAUAAGUGGGAUCCUACCAACUUAGUCAUAGAUGUAAAUAAUGAAAGCAACAGAAUAAAGUAAAAGAACAAAACAUAAUCAUAACUAGGCUGACCUGUAUGCAUUAGAUAUAAUGUUGUUAGGAACAAUAACAAUUGAGCCCGGUGGAUCUGCAUUCUUGCUGGUUGGGUCACCACUGUUUUCUUGGAGCUGCCUCUGGGAGUAAAUGGGACCGUUUUCUCUGGGUCCCAUAUGUGUGCUGUGGAGGUGGUAGGUGUCUUUUGAGCUCUAUUGUCUGGCGAUAGUCCCAGAGCCUACAAAAAAGCCAGAGCUUCCGAGAUGGAAGUGAGCUUUAGUGUAGUGUCCUGGUGGGUCACCGCUAGGGUUCUUGGCAUCAGCCAGCGAUAGUCCACUUUUACUUGUUGAGUUUGUGUGGUUACGGUGCACAGUGACUUUAUCCAUUGCAGCUUGUUCCUUGUAAUGUCUUGAAAAAAGGUGAGUCUUAACGACUCAAAGUCCAGUGGGGUCUUAUCUCUCAUUGCUGUGAGUAUGCGACGUUUGUCUAUAAUGGAGUGACAGCGUACAAUUACAUCAUGCAGAGCCGUAGCUGGCACUUGCUGUGCUUUACUGAUGUGCAAAUGCCAAUCAAAUUCGACUUUCUUGGCCUGAGUGUGGGGCAGCAACAUCUCUAGUAGCCUCCGUAGAUAGUGAGGUAGUUCGGUCGGACUUAGAGUCCGGUAUUCCCCGAAUUUUUAUGUUCAUCUGUUGGUUGCGGCCCUCCAUUGUAUCUAGUUUGAGCUGGAACACUGAGUUAGUGGCUUGCAGUUGGUGCAGGGUAUCGCCCACAUUUUUCAUUUCUUGGCUCAGCUCUGGCCUGUGGGGGUUUGGUUCCAGGUCAGGGUCGGCUACCAUUUUGUGACUCUGGGGCCGUUGUAAAAGGAUCCUAUAUCCCGAGUAUCCUUGGGAGUCCCGGCUUGGGGUUUUUGAGAUUUUCUCACCAUGUUGGUAUCAGCAAGCAGGGGCCACUUGGGCGUCGAUUGGAGCCCACGCUUGUUCCAAGCCCCUUUCUGAGCGUUGCGGGAAGGCCUCCGUCAGCAUUCAUGUAGAUAGGGGUCUUGCAGCGGAUUUUCCUGCCCUUCAGGGCGUAUAAAAAGGGCAUUGGCUUGCAACUCUUGGUGCCAGGGUGAUCAGGCCUGGAGCCUAAUGGGGCCGUGGAUAUCAGCAGAUUGUACGAUUGCUUUCAGGAGCACUGGAGGGUAGCGUCCAUGCAGUUCAGCAGCUUCUGCUAUAGAUGCCUCCUCUGCUCUGUUAAUUUACUUUGAUCAUUUCUGAGAGCCCCAUUGCUGAUCUGAGUGUCCCAGUCUUUAUUUAGAAUGCUUAGAAAACAGUCACAUAUAACUGCAGUAGAUAGGUUUCCACAGAUAUCCUUGAGAUCUUUUACUAUUCUAGUACUUUCAGUAAUGGAAUCUAAGUUUUAAUUAACAGAUUUUUCUCCUUUUUAAAUAUACCACCCACUACCCCGUAAAGAUAAAUAAAUCUUCUUAAUGCAUCCUGGAGUUUGGAAGAUGUCACAGAUACUGUUACACACUCGGAUGACAAUAUUCAGAUAAUUUGGUGACUGGGUUUCAUUGAAGAAACACCUAUAUUUAAAAUAUAACGUAGUGCUAGAAGAAAUGCAAGCUGUCACGGAAGGGGAUGGGAAGUGAUCAAUAAAUCAGAUGAAUUGUAUUGUACGCUCUGUCUUCGUUUAAUUAACUUCACUUGAUUUACAGCAUGCUCUGUUAGUUAAGGUUCCAGGAGUUUCUUAGUGCUCCCUCCCCCCCUACAUGUUUAGUAAUACCGUAUCAGAAUGCUUUGACUUCUUAGCUGUUUUUACUUGGCUCCGCACCCCACUUCUGUUAUGUUGAGCCUAAAGAUUCUCAGCAUGCUCUUGUUAGGUCUCCUGAGCUAAGCCCUGCAGUGUGUGGCUAGCUGAUUUGCUGAGAGUGUUAGCUGAUGACUCUCAGCCAAUUAGCUUUGCAUCGCUGAACCAAGGUUCCGCUGAGCUAACAAAAAAUGUUCAAAACAUCAGCACCUGUGCACCUUCGUCCAGUAGGAAGCGUUGAGGCAAUUUGCAGGAAGUGUAUAUAAUAACUUUUUUUUUUUUUUUUAAUAAGCAGGGCACUGUAUUUUCAGAGUACAAAUUAAAUUGUGCAUAUGCACAGUACAUUCAAUUAGUGUGUUCAUAACCUGACAUUUAAUCAAAUAUAGCUUCUUGAGUGUUAUGAAGUUCACAACUUUACAUCUUAAAUUUUUAAUACAGCAUACGGAUCAAACUUAAAGGGGCAUGCAUCACUGGGCAAUUUUUUUAACCCAGCAAGCAAACCCUUUUAAACAAAUAUACAAAUCAAAAUAAAGCAAUACAAACUUUAAAAAGAAUUUGUAUUAUCUAAGACUUGCCACAUUGAUAAUCUAUCCUUAAUGUUAAAUGAUAGCAAAUGAGUUGGAAACAAAAAUCCCACAAAUAUUUUAGUUAUAUCAACUUGUUUAUAGCAAUAGCUGCUGUGUAGCAGAAUAUACUGCAGAUGUAGUGCGGCAGGAAAAAUGGGUCAUUGCUAGCCUAGCCUAAGGGUUGAUGCACCAAUCACUACCUCAUAAGAUCUAAUACAGUGAAAUGUAUUGAUCUUGUAAGUAAUAUAGGUUGAAAGCAAUUAAUGCAGAAUGUAGCUAUUUGUCUGACUUCUGGUUGUUGGGUUUUAUUUAUUUAUUUUCUCCCAGUGAUGGCAUACACUGUCAUGCAGUAAAAAUACCGGGGGGUUAAAUCCCUGUUGGUACUAAGGACCCCUGGGUAUCUUUCGAUACUUGGGUCUGCCGGAUGUCAGCUGGGGCCACAUUUAGUGAUCUCACUCAGCCACAGGAUUUAUUUCACUGCCCCUAGCCUCCAACAUAAAAAAGGGAUUCCAAGGUAUCUUUCCAUACCUGAGGGUACCUGUUGGGGCCAAUGUUGGUUCCCCAUACUGACAGGAGAGCUAUGCACUCAAAGUGAGUACUAAGCAUUAUCAGCAGAGAGAAUCCCUUGAUAGGUGGGAUUAGAGGCUGGGACUGGUACUAGGAUUAGUAAUAUAUAAUAUAUAUGUAUAUAUUAAUACAGGGAGUGCAGAAUUAUUAGGCAAAUGAGUAUUUUGACCACAUCAUCCUCUUUAUGCAUGUUGUCUUACUCCAAGCUGUAUAGGCUCGAAAGCCUACUACCAAUUAAGCAUAUUAGGUGAUGUGCAUCUCUGUAAUGAGAAGGGGUGUGGUCUAAUGACAUCAACACCCUAUAUCAGGUGUGCAUAAUUAUUAGGCAACUUCCUUUCCUUUGGCAAAAUGGGUCAAAAGAAGGACUUGACAGGCUCAGAAAAGUCAAAAAUAGUGAGAUAUCUUGCAGAGGGAUGCAGCACUCUUAAAAUUGCAAAGCUUCUGAAGCGUGAUCAUCGAACAAUCAAGCGUUUCAUUCAAAAUAGUCAACAGGGUCGCAAGAAGCGUGUGGAAAAACCAAGGCGCAAAAUAACUGCCCAUGAACUGAGAAAAGUCAAGCGUGCAGCUGCCACGAUGCCACUUGCCACCAGUUUGGCCAUAUUUCAGAGCUGCAACAUCACUGGAGUGCCCAAAAGCACAAGGUGUGCAAUACUCAGAGACAUGGCCAAGGUAAGAAAGGCUGAAAGACGACCACCACUGAACAAGACACACAAGCUGAAACGUCAAGACUGGGCCAAGAAAUAUCUCAAGACUGAUUUUUCUAAGGUUUUAUGGACUGAUGAAAUGAGAGUGAGUCUUGAUGGGCCAGAUGGAUGGGCCCGUGGCUGGAUUGGUAAAGGGCAGAGAGCUCCAGUCCGACUCAGGCGCCAGCAAGGUGGAGGUGGAGUACUGGUUUGGGCUGGUAUCAUCAAAGAUGAGCUUGUGGGGCCUUUUCGGGUUGAGGAUGGAGUCAAGCUCAACUCCCAGUCCUACUGCCAGUUCCUGGAAGACACCUUCUUCAAGCAGUGGUACAGGAAGAAGUCUGCAUCCUUCAAGAAAAACAUGAUUUUCAUGCAGGACAAUGCUCCAUCACACGCGUCCAAGUACUCCACAGCGUGGCUGGCAAGAAAGGGUAUAAAAGAAGAAAAUCUAAUGACAUGGCCUCCUUGUUCACCUGAUCUGAACCCCAUUGAGAACCUGUGGUCCAUCAUCAAAUGUGAGAUUUACAAGGAGGGAAAACAGUACACCUCUCUGAACAGUGUCUGGGAGGCUGUGGUUGCUGCUGCACGCAAUGUUGAUGGUGAACAGAUCAAAACACUGACAGAAUCCAUGGAUGGCAGGCUUUUGAGUGUCCUUGCAAAGAAAGGUGGCUAUAUUGGUCACUGAUUUGUUUUUGUUUUGUUUUUGAAUGUCAGAAAUGUAUAUUUGUGAAUGUUGAGAUGUUAUAUUGGUUUCACUGGUAAUAAUAAAUAAUUGAAAUGGGUAUAUAUUUGUUUUUUGUUAAGUUGCCUAAUAAUUAUGCACAGUAAUAGUCACCUGCACACACAGAUAUCCCCCUAACAUAGCUAUAACUAAAAACAAACUAAAAACUACUUCCAAAAAUAUUCAGCUUUGAUAUUAAUGAGUUUUUUGGGUUCAUUGAGAACAUGGUUGUUGUUCAAUAAUAAAAUUAAUCCUCAAAAAUACAACUUGCCUAAUAAUUCUGCACUCCUGUAUAUAUGUAUAUAUUAAUAUAUAUGUGUGUGUGUAUAUAUAUAUAUAUAUAAUAUAUAUAUAUUUGUAUGUGUGUGUGUGUGUGUGUGUGUAUAUAUAUAUAUAUAUAUAUAUAUGUGUAUAUAUAUAUAUGUGUGUGUGUGUGUGUGUGUAUACACACACACCCUAAUCCCUAUCCAUAUAUUUAUAUAUAUAUUUUUAUAUAUAUAUAUAUAUAUAUAUAUAAAAUAUACAAACACACAAAAAAACCAAAAAUGUUAUGGUGGGGGGAAAAGUCUGUGGACAGUUAAUUCUAUGUUAAACAAAAAUCUGCACACCAGUUAAGCCAUAAGACUUGCUUUUCCCACAGAAAUCACAAAUUUGAAGUGAUGUUACUACCGCAAAGGAUUCUAGGUGGGCAUAUGCAAAUUAGUUAAACUUUUGCUUCCCAAGCACUACCAAGCCUCAAAAGCAAACCAGUAACCAACCUCAUGCUGAUGAUUUGCAUUAACAACGAAACAGCUGUCCAUGAGUGGUUCAUUGGCUUUGCAUCUUAAGUUGUUUCAAAGCUGUUGUAUACAGCAAACACAGAUUCAAAGGAAUCCAAUACAACCUUUUUAUUACAUACUACGAAAAGAGGUCUGGUAUUCAUCCAACAUUAGUGAAUACCACACAGCUACCAUAUUGUCAUAUCAUUUCAUACUGUGCUCAUAGACACUACAUAUACUACCCAGGUUGAGCUACGGAAGUAAAUGUGGAAACCUAUGAGCCUUUGGACAUGUGUAUUUACUUGUCUCUACCUCCAAUUCCACAAUUGCUGUGUGGGAUCAUUUUUAAAAAACACUUUUUUUAAAUUCCUGGUCAUACGCUACUUAGUCAGUCACCCAUUACCGCUUUAACUCUGUCCACUCCCAACCUUAAAGCGGCACUGUCAUCAUCUGGGACUUUGCAGAAUUGCAAACACCCCCGGCGGUGACAUCGCUGCUGGUGGUCCAGUGGCUGGAAGUGCAGGUAAAGUUAAAAUUUACUUAACUGAACCUGUCCCUCAAGGGCAUGGCCAUAUUCCUUCGGCCGAUACUCUUCAGCUUGCCAGGAGCCGACUUCAUUGCUGUACUCUUCCGCAUGUGCGAGGGUACAGCAUUGAUGUCUGUAGAGGAUCCCGCAAGACCACAAGAUCCUCAAUAGACAUACCCAAUUCUCUGCAACCGUCACUGGUGAUGGCUGGGUGAUUGACACUUCUAGAUGGCUGUAGCUAUGCCCAGUGUUUAGAAAUGUCUACAUUGUCUCUGUAUAUGUUUUGACUGGGUUGGAUUUUCAGUGAAAUGCCAAUACAGUCAAAAUGAGUUUUUUCAAAUGAAAUACUAAUUUUUCAAGGGGGAGUGGAGGGUGACAGUGCCGCUUUAAUCUACAGGGGUAGCAUUCCAUGGCAUCACUAAAAUUAUUUUUGUCCUUCCUUCCUGCUUGGGUCUUGCCUCGAAAUUGAAAUAACCUCUUCCUGAAUAUUCACCUGAGCCUACAUUUUAGUUGCCAGUGGUUUAUGGAGUUAACCCUCCUGUAUGAAAUCCCCACAUACACCUAGUCCAAUCCCGCAGGAUUAGGUCUCCUCUCAUAUGGUCAUUUCUGGUGCUUCCCCGUAAUGGCUUUCCCUACAAUGGGUUCGAGACACUUCUACACAAUAUUAUAUUUGGGAACUCUAGCGGAGUUCUAGCAAGGACUCUUCUCCGCUGGAUCCACCAAUGUCUAACCAGAAACAAUAAAACAGCCAAGGAAUACCCCACCUCCUUCCCAGAGACUGGACGAUAUACAGUUCUGAGAGAACAACUGAACUUUAUUAUCACAUACACGGCUUUUAUGCCCAGUCCCAUGCAAGGGGUUUCUCAUACAAUAAUGCAGGGUUUUCAAUCCCAAAAUCCUCUGUGCCUGAGAGAUAAUUGCCUGAGAAUACUCCUCUAAUUAUUUCCCAGGUACAGAAAAUCCAACAAAAUAUCCUGUACCCCAAAAGUAUCUAAACCAUACCCAGGAACCCCACAAAAAGUACAUUCCCCGAUAGCCCCUAUCUGUGUGUCCAACAUGUCCAAGAAUCACUUAGAUCAGUUCAGCCGAACAGGAAUUCCACCAUGGUAAACUUUUGACCGGACAGACACGGGGCGCUAGCCUGAAACCGUUCCAGAGAAAUAGGUGUCCUGGCCGGUCUCAGUUUGUGAGUUUCCCGUGCGAACACCAUACACCAUACAAGGGAAUCUCUUAUUUUCAGGAUACGAAUGCUCCUCCUGUUUGGUAGUUCAUAUCUCCCGAACGUCGUUCGUGUAGGUGGUCGGGAACUGGAACGGGCAGCGGUCUAAGGUUUACCGGUGUUCGUGCGGGUGCCUAGCUGAAAAGAGUUCCAGGCACUCGAGGACCAAGUACUGCUGCCCAUGUUCGGGAGACAAGAUGGGGAAGCACUCAUUAAUUGUUUCCAUUGCGGUUUCGCACUUGAGUGUUUGGUGUCAUCGUUCUAAUGGGGCACGUGGGUGGUCCUCGUUUGGGAGACGAAGGGAUUCCAUUAGUAUACAGUCUCCCGAACAGCCAAAGAGGAACCACACAAAACAGGGGAAAAACACACGAAAGGUGGAAGUUCUGUUACAGGGGAUACGGACAGCCUAGAAAGGGGAAUACAAAGUGUCUGGCAAGCUUCCAUUCCGCUACAGGAACAUCAUAUGUUUUGUCAAACCUGGAGUUGUGUGUUAUCAUGCCAUGCGCGCUCGCAAACGUGGUCUGUUUAGUUUUGUUAUGUCCUAUUUUGGUUUUUAUUUUCUUUCUUUUAGCUUAGGCUACCAUGGACUUUCAUGUCAUGAAGUAUGUAUGCCUAUGCUUUCUAGCACUACAAGGAGAGCUUACUAACAAUACCCUAUGUAUUGACUUAGCAGUACUCGAGGUUCAUGUAGAAUUGUAUUUCUUUAUUUGUGGCAAUUAUUUAGGACAAAUAUUUACCAUUGCAUGCAGUGUAAUGUUUGUAACCCUGACUGCCUGCUUUUUGCUCCCAUAUGUAGGUGUAUGGUUUCUUUGGGGGGGGGAUGGGGGGGGAGGGUUGUAUGUUGUGGAAAACCAAUAAAAUACAAGUUUUAAAAGUUUAUAAGUAAGCAAAUUGUGGAAACUGUAUUGUUGGUAGAAAUUAACUUUUUUCUAAUUCUUUAAAUUAAUAAAAACAAAUCUAAAGGAUUUGAUUAAUUAGAGCACCUUUGGAGUCUUAUAUUGGAGUAAAUUUGUGGUUUCAUUUAAACUGUGGUCUGGGGAUUUAAAAUAAAUUUUAGAGGAAACUAGGAAUUACCCAAAAUUUAGAUGAUGAAAAUGGAAUAUGCGUGGGAAUGUCCUAUGUGUUCUAAUUAAUAUAGAAAUGUGUGAGGUCAGGUGAAGGACAACUCUGGUUCAUGGGAGUAAGGAUUCUCUAAGCUCUGGGUGUGUUGCAGACUAGGGCUAGAGCUCUGAUGCUAUCAGGGAAUGUUCUUUCAGUCUGCAGCCAAUCAGAGCGCUUGUAGGAAUUGGGUUGGAAUGGGUAAAGGCAUGCUGCUGUAGACUCAGACUGCAGUGAGGAGUGAUACAGCUACACCAUGGUAAGUUUGGAAAAUAACUAUUACAACUACAUGUACCCUCCAUUUUAAGGCUCCCCUGCUGUGAAAGAUAAGCGUAAAAGAAACUGAUUUAGACCGGUGAAAUGAAAGUUGGUACAAAAUAGAAUGGCACCAAACAGAAUGAAAUGGAAAAUGAAACUGACAUUCUUCAACAAUUACAUUACACAUAUAUGUCACACACAAAUGUAUAAAGCAUGCACUACAUCAACAUAUACAUACAGCAGACACAUUAAAUACACGGAUAUGCCUCAUACAAUAUAAACAUAUUUAGUAAAUCACAUUCAUACUGAUAGAAUUUUGCAUAUUACAUACAUAUAUGUCAGGGUGUGAUAUGCAGGCUUAUACACUAACCAACCACCUCUAGCAAAUUGAAAUUCAAAUUGCAAAGAAAGAUGUUAAUACUAAUGAGUUGGAGAAUUUCUCUGUUGCCUACAUUUUGCUGUAAAUUUGCUAUUUGCAGGGCUUAGAUCAGGAGAGCUAACUGAAGCUCCUAAGCAUCUAUUAGCGACUUUUAGAUAGUUGAGUCUGGAAACAAUGCCUGGUUGACCCCAGCUAAGAAGUCUAAUUCUGGAGGGCAAAAUGAAUGAUCCAUUGGAAGAUAUUUUUUUCCCCUCUCCCUCUCUCAUUUGACUUGUUCUGGUAUAGUGGAUGUUUGUUUUCAAACCUUGAUUUAGAAAACUUAUAGCCUUUGUUUCAGGCUUAUAAACUUGUAUUUUAAUUAUUCCCAAAUCAGAUAUCAAAUGUGAAUUAGUUAAAUAAUGUAAUACGAUAUAUAUAUAUUUUAUUUUUAUUUUAUUUUUUUUAUGAAUUGGCGUACAUUUAUUUUGGUGGUUUAUUUCCUAGUGGAUUAAGCAAAAAAUUAUAUGACCUACAACUAAUAUUUUAUGUGUCUCUUUGAAAUAAGAAUUUUAUAGUGAUAUAAGUUAUAAUUUUCUUCUGCAUGUUUGGAAUUGUGUGUGUGUAUAAUAUAUAUAUGUAUAUGUGUGUGUGUAGGCCUGAAUUUGUUGGAGGAGUUUUCCCUAUAUAAACGCUACCCCCCCUGUUUUCCCUUCUUUAGGGGCUUUGCAGGGUGCCACAUGCCACGCCCACACAUUUUUCUCGUUACUGUCACCGAGAGGCCAACACCCCGCCACACUGACUUGUGGCUAUGAUCCCCCACUGGCCAAACCAUAGAUAGAGCCUCUGAUUGCCACUUGGCAACUAGCAGGGAUCCACCUGUCACAGAGCUAGCUAGCCAGCCAGUUCUAUAUACGGAGUUCCAUCUAGGGCUUUCAAUUAGCCUUUUUAUUAAUUUCUUUAUAGGAUGUCACAAGAUUCUAUCCAAGGAGACGACUUUUCUCUCCAGAGCACUCCAGCCGGGCCCAGCACUCCUGUUAGACCAGGCUUACCCACUGACUCUAUCGUUCCUGCUACACCCGGGUCACUGAGGACCAUACCCAAACUAGCCGCGGAACUACAACGCAGAAACAUCCCUUACUCUGCCACUGCUAGGAAAGCAGAACGUUAUAAGUUUGUUAGCAGCUCAGUCUAGAAAACCCAUGUCUAGCACAAGUUCACAAGAGUUCCAGGGCGAAAGUUGUGGACAAUUUCAAGACACCUUGUCAUCUAUCUUGUCUACCCUCAAGUUGCUUAACGAGAGGAUGACAAAGAUAGAGACCAUCAUCCCUACCACUAGCAGUGCACCUGACCUUUUAGCCUCCACGUCUGAACCUGCAAACUACCAGGGUAAUGCCAUUGCUUUUGCACCCGCGCCCACCACUUCAUGUGUUAUUACCCCAGCUCACUCCGUCCCCUCCUCCAUUAAGAAAGACAUCCUUAAUGGCAAGGACGUCAGCCUUGUCAAUUCUUCGCAGGACAUACUAGAGAAUAGAGCCUUCAAUUACGGGGGACAUCCCCAAAUUCGUUUUCGGUUUUGGGUUAUACAGAGAUGUCAUCUCCUCUGUAUACCCCCCAGAGGCAUGAAGAAUUCAACAUUUAUUUACACAAGGUGGUGUACCUGGGGCACAACUAUGGGGGCUUUGCUUUCUGCGAUUAUCACAAGUCAGUGUCCGCUAAAUCAGCAGCAGCUCUGGCCCAGUUCAACAUGCGUAUAGAUUGGAGUCAGUUAGACACAGAGCUGUUCUGCAGGGAUUUCUCCGGCUUGAGGCCCCCAUCUUGUGCAGUAUGUUUCUCCCUCUCUCACUCCUCCAACUUGUGUCCCUGCGAAGCAGACACCUCUGUCACAGCCCUCCACUUCCUACCCCUCCACCACCCCCUCCCUCAGUCAGGAUAGGGGACAGAGAGAUAAGAGAGGCAGACCAGUUGUAUUCUUGAGCAAGGCACAGGUAUGCAACAAUUUUAAUGCAGGAACCUGUAAUUACACCACUUGUAGGUUGUUGCACAUUUGCUCCAUCCGCUUUAGAGCACAUACAAAAUCCAUGUUACCCUCUACGCUUUUCCCUUAGAAAUGACUGAUGGAAGUCAACAUUGUCGCGCUAGCCUACCACUUGUGCAUCCACCCCUCCCACCACUUGGUGCAAUUUUUGAUUUCAGUAUUUUCCAAUGGGUUUCACACAUGGCUAGUAGCACUCACCUCUGACGCACUAGAAGGCCAGAACUUACUCUCUGCUACAAACGACCCAUCUGCUGUUGACGAGUUGCUACGGAAUGAGACCUCGUCAGGUUUUAUGAUUGGCCCUUUUCCGCACCCUCCUUUUUCUACAUGGUGCACAAACCCUAUUGGAGUGGUUACCAACAACACUUCUAAUAAAAAAUGUUUAAUCGUUGAUUUAUCCGCGCCUCAUUCUUAUCACAAUCCUAGUUUAGCCCUAAUACGGGCUAAAGAAUUUUCUCUCCAUUACGCCACCGUGCAUCAUGCCAUACAAGCCAUUCUACUGGCCGGUGAACAAGCCUGGCUCAGUAAGACUGAUAUUACAAACGCGUCCAAAUUACUACCUAUCCAUCCGUCACUCUGGCAUAUCCAUGGCGUCAAAUGGAGGGAUAAUUAUUACUUUGCCACCAGACUCACCUUCGGCUCCAUGAGCAGCCCAAAACUGUUUGACAUCUUUGCAGAGACUCUAUGCUGGCUGCUCCUGAACACGGUCAUACACUUAUUUGGAUGAUUUCUUACUGGUCGAGACAGGUUCACUUACACUACGUAGCAUCCUUGGCACCACAUCACUGUUUUCAACACUAGGUGUUCCAUUGUCCCCAGAUAAAACAAUAGGCCCCACAACACAGUUGGUAUUCCUGGGUAUCGCACUAGACCCGGUGUCCUUGCAGGCACGCCUCCCUGAUGUGAAAUUAAUACGCAUUAGACAAGAAUUGGACAAGUUCCUACAAAAAGGUUCUGGUACAAGGAGGGAUCUCUAGUCUUUACCGGGAUACCUCAAUUUCGUGAUUGCUAUCAUUUCACAGGGGAGAUCUUUUAUCUCCAGGUUACUCUGCCUCCUGCCUGACGAUGGCACCAUAGUCCUCAAUUCCCCAGCCGUAGCAGAUUUUAUGUAUGUGGAAGCAGCUCCUGGCAGAGUGGAAUGGCAUUUCCAUGUACAUCCCCCCACUGACCAACCACUCCCCCGUAAUUUGGACUGAUGCAGCAGCCCACACGAGGUUCGCUGCAAUUUUUAGUAACCACUGGUUUAGGGAUGCUUGGCCAUUCAGCCAUUUUCGAGAUCUACCCCAUUGUAGCGGCCACUCAUACUUGGGGUCACCUGUGGUAAGGCAGUUAAGUGUUGUAGCGGAGUAGCAGGGGUUAAUCCAAUAGCUCUCCGCUGGGAACAAAGAUUCAGCAUACAAAAUCACAGGAACACAGCAUAAUCCACCUCCCCAAGGACUAGACGACACAUAGUCUGGGAGUCAACUGAUGACUUUAUUCACAGGUCUGCUUUUAUGCAUUUCUCCCAUGCAAGGGAGGUAACUUUCCUAAUUAGUACAGUAGCCAAUCAUAACAUGGUCACCUCCCAUCCCUCUCCUCCCCUUAGAUUAACACUUAAACAGAUUAAUGGGGACAGAGUUUUCCCCACUUUAUGGAUGUCCCCUAAAUACAGGGGGUACAGGUUCAAAUAAGGGGUCCCUUGGUAGGUCUGAUCUGGGUGAGCAACAUACUCAAAAUUCACCCAGAUCGGACCAGGGGUUCGGAAGUUACAGGCAUUGAGAGAUUUGACCGACCGCAGUAGCCGAAAACAGUUCCAUGAAUUCUGGCCCUGCGGUCGGUCUUUUCUAGUGAACGCAAAGUCCCGAACGGUUUAGGCAUCCAAGCAACUGUUACCAUUCGUAUGAAUCUCUUCGUUUGGGGGAUUCCAUCUACCGAACGCCGGGGCGUUCGUGUGUUUGGUUCGUGCUUUCUGAGCAUGCUGGAGGUCUUAGCGGUACUUGGUUAGUCGAAUGCCCGGUUUGAGUUCCAGGCGUUCGACGACCAAGUACUGCUGUUCGUGCGGAAGAUGGCUGCCGCCACAUGUUCGGUAGGCGAAAUGGCGGCCACACAUACAGGUACUUAAUUCCCUUCGCAACAUUGUAGCUUUCAGUUAAUUGGAAACACACAACCACCCCGGGGUGGUCUCCCGUUCGGUAGUUUCGGGGCAUUCGCAUUCAGAACAGUAAGAAUACCAUUAGGGUCCGUUCGUGCAUUUAGUCACUGCUUUAGCAUCCAUUCGCAUGUAAUGAUUCCACUGUUCAUUCGCACAAAACAGUUAGUCCAAGUGGCAGGGUUUGCCACAAGUGUACAAGGUAAUUUGGCGGCUUGCAAGAUCAUCAAUAAAGGGUGCUCUUCCUCCUUGACCAUAAUGCGUUUGGUACGAAAGUUGACGUGUGCGAACACAUUCCGGGCAUUCAAAAUACGGCAGCUGACGCUUUGUCCCGGUCUAAUUUUCAGGUAUUCUUCAAGGUGCAUCACUCUGCCAACAAGCUCCCAUCCUGAACACCAACAUUUCUGGAGCUAAUCAGGGACUAAUGGGAUUAUUGACCCACGGAUGAUCACUCUCACACACGCCCUGUCAGGUAACACUAAGACGGCAUACGAUAGGACGUUGACUGUUUUCUGCCGUGGGACCUCGGUUUACAAACGACUCGGUUAACAUAAUUUUCGAUUUACACAUGAAAAUCCAUUGAAAAUAAGGCCUUGGACUUACAAUUUUCUUUCAUAAUGCAAAGCAAGUUUCCCCAGGAUGCAUUGCACUUGGGAGGUUUUUUUAACACCGCCCCCUGCAUGCUGCAGCCUGUGGGUAGCACGUGGUGUCGAGUGUGGAGGUGUUGGAGCGGCUUUUGCAUCGAGUUUUGUAGUCAUUCUGGGAAUUUUUUGCAGUUGUUUUGGGACUUUUUGUUGCAUUUCUCAAGCUGUGGAAAGGUAGGGAGCUGAGCUUUGUCGUUUGCAUGCCUUUUAUUGUGUGUUCUGCAUUGUGGGUUGGUUUCCAUGCCAGCUCAUAUUGACUUUUUUUCUGACCUCCAGAAUGGAUUAAUUGGUUUUCAAUGCAUUCCUAUGGGAAACCGCGUUUCGGUUUACAAAUUUUUCGCAAUAAGAAACGUCACGGUGAACGCAUUAAAUUUGUAAACCAAGGUACAAAUGUAAAAAAAUAACAAAAACACACACACACACACACACACACACACACACACUUCAAAGAGACUUACAUAAAAUAAUUAGUUGUUUGUGUGUGUGUGUGUAUAUAUAUAUCUAUCCGUGCUCAGAGGGGCAAUAUCUCUUUAAAGUAUUAUCACUUUUGAGAUAAUUUUAUGCUACCGGUUCUCAGAUUUAAACCAUUUCUGUCAUUCAUAAGAUAAGUUAUGAAUAUUGUCAUUGUGAAAUUCAUGGUUUGCACAUGAUUAUCUGAUGUAUACACAUUUAAAAUUGUUUAGAAUAAUGUGUUCCCUAUGUAUCAUUAGCACCAUUUCAAUUUCUCUUCUCUGCAUUCAUUAUCAACUGCUUUAGGCUGACCAGGAAAACCAGAAAAGACAUUUUGAAUUGCUUUCUUAAUGUAUCUCUCUUGGAUAGUAGCAAACAUCAGGAAAACAGGAUUAAGUUGAAUAUAAUCUAAUACCCAUUAUGCAUGCCAAUGCCCCCUAAAUUACAGUUUAUUAUAGAUAAAGGAGAAUAAAAUGCUAUAUCUUAUCCCUGAACGCUUUUCAAUAUCAACACUGACUUUUCAGACAAAAGGCAGGGUUUACAUUGCUGUCUGGUGAGACCUCUAGCGACAGUCACUCAGACGGCCUCUAGAGGUGCUUCCUGGUUUAGUGCUUCUCACUGUGCUGCACCUAUGUUAAUGUUCCUUAUAGGGAUGCAUGGAUUAAAUGCAUCUCUAUAAGAAGUUGAUUGUCGCAGUGCAUGCGCAAUAGUCUCCCAAUGCUUUCCUAUGGGGGGAAGCAUUGGAUUGGCUGAGAUCUUCAAAAUGUAUUAACUCAGCCAUGGUGGUGAUGCCAGCCGCGGUGUCACCAGCAUGGUGUGGGAAAAAAGGUGAAUGAAAACACCUUUCCCAUGUGAUUGGAGGGGGGGAAGGUCAUGUAAACAUACACACACACACUUACUGACAGAGACAUUCACCAGCCGACACACUCACACACACUCACACACACUCACUGACCAACAUACACACUCACUCACAAAUAAUAAUUUUUUAUUUAAAUCCACCCAGCCUCCCUACCUUUUGAGAGCUGGAGUAGAUAGGCUUUCCCUGGGGUCCAGUGGGGCUGCUGUCAUCUCCCUGCUCAGCUCCCUCUCGCGCACUGUUUAGUAAUGUGGGAGUGACACCUUACCCGGCUCCUGGGAUUGCUUCAAAUCGUGCAAGAGCGGUUACAGCUCCCUCGCCGCCGCACUAAGUCAGCCGCCUGCCGCACUAAUUCAGCUCGUCAUGAGCCAGCCGCCCCCUCACUCCCUCAGCUAUUCAUGAGCCGGCCUCCCUCUUCCUUAGUCAGCCUGCCUCAGCCCUCCGUGGGCCGACUGCCCGCCUCUGCCCUCAGGCAGCCGGUCACCUCGGGGGCUGCACAGAUUCACAAAUCCCAGGCGCCAGGACAGAUUUCAUUGUCGCCAUGGCAACCGGGGAUUCGUCUAGCCCUGGAUUAAUCUAAGCCGUGUAAGAUCUCUCUGUAUCCUUUAGAAUGAUAUUUGGGCACUUUUGUUUUGUACCUAUUAUUUUUAACAGAUGGAAUCAUAGGCAUUGCAAUAGUAUAUCAGUAACAUACUUUCAUAUACUUAGAAAACUUUACAAUUGGUGAAACUGAAUUAAUGACUACACAGGACUGAAUUUAAAGGGUUACUAUAUUUAAAGGUUCUGCUAUACCUGAUACCUGACCUUAUUUUUAAAUGGAUCAUCUCUAUUGAUUUAAUCACCAGGCCAAGUAUCAGUAAGACACGUGCACGGUGUACAUGAAGCAGUGGAGGGAGACUGGAAAUCCUUAACAUCUCAGAGGGAACCUUAUAGCCACUGGAUACUGAAGUCUUUGGAAAAAAAAUAUUUUAAGUUGCAAAACACUCUGUGUUAACCAAGUAGCAAAAUAUACACAUAUAUACAAAUACACACUGGCAAUAGCCCGGAUCCUGUUUUUGCACUCAGUACAGCGAUAUUCAUUUGCAGAUUGUCUUCAACAAAUUCCUGGAAACAUUUUUGGAGGGAUUUAACUUUUUGGGAUUUUUAAACACUGAGUAAUUUUUGCAGACUUUUGACUGCCCGUUCGUUCAUGGUGUAAAAUGCUUAUGCCCCUUCAUCCUAAAUGUAUUGUAUUGAAUUCUGGUGGAAAUAUGUAUUUUAAAAUAGAUAGAUACUAAUAUAUCACCAGUGUAAUCAUUGACAUUAUGAGACUUGAAGAAUUCAUGGAUUAAUUUGUUUUGCAAAAUUUUGACCUUUACAUUUUUGCAGUAGAAAUCAAGAUUGUGCAGACCACAUAAAGUGUUUCCAAUAUGGCUUUUACAAGUGGCCAUGGUGCAAGGAACAUAUGUAUAGUGUUUUAGCUUGAACACUGCAUAUGGGGAUAUUUGUACUUGAGUUGCACCCGUGACUAAGGCAGCCUGAAACAAUGUUCCUUCCCUCUGUCCCCUUCCCAGGUUAGACCUUGCACAUGCACUCUGAGCAGUUGAAACAGUCUAAUCAAAUACCUGUGGCACCCGUGCAAACUAGGUUUAUGCCUAUUUUUCACAAACAUGUAUUCCUGACCCUAUAGUGUUAACACCACCAUCUAGCCCCCCCAUGGCCGCUCAUGCCUCCCUGAAUAUAGCAAAAUCUUACUUGUAUUCAAGCCUGAAGCUUGCGGUUUGCUUCAGAAUACCAAGCUGUCUACUGACAUCAUCAUAAGUGGUGGCCUGAUCCAAUCACAGUGCUUCUCCAUAGGAUUGGCUGAGACUGACAAGGAGACAGAUCAGGGGCAGAGCCAGCACAAUUCAAACACUGCCCUAGCCAAUCAGCAUCUCUUCAUAGAGAUGAAUUGAAGCAAUGAAUCUCUAUGAGAAUGUUCAGUGUCUGCAUGAGGGUGGAGAUACUGAAUGUUUGGAUGCAUUUUAGGCAGCCAUGACCCAGGAAGGAUCUCUAACAGCUAUCUGAGGAGAGGCCAGUGAAGUUAUCACUAGGCUGUAAUGUAAACACUGCAUUUUCUCUGAAAAGACAGUGUUUACAGCAAAAAGCCUGAAAGUAAUGAUUCUACUCACCAGAACAAAUUCAAUAAGCUGUAGUUGUUCUGGUGACUAUAGUGUCCCUUUAAAGCUUUAUAAUGGGUAGACCUAAUGCUAUUGUAAAUAAAAUAAAUAAGUAUAAAUGUAUGUUUUGUUUGUUUGUUUAUUUACUUUUUACAAAUGUCUUCAAUUGUUCUCUUCCAGAUCAGAAACUUAAGACCAAAACUGAAAUUGAGAUUUGACACUGUGCUGUUUUACAGCACUCAUCUGCCCUCUGGUGGUAAGUAUUCUUUUUAGCAUGUGUAAAUUUGCCAAACGUUUUUUUUUUUUUUAUUUACAAUGUGACAAGUAAUGAAAAUGCUGAC
rnacentral:lncRNA from 1 species